AAAAAAGUUUGUCGUGCCCUCUACUUUUGUCUUGGCUUUUUAUCAAACAUCACAGCAUGUCCUGUUUGCGGUGGUCUUGGCUUGCAUUGUAUGUUCUUUUCUAACUUUAUUGGUUGUCUCUUAUGGACAUGUGUGUAGUAGUGAGUGUGUUGCGUGAGUGAGUGUAUAUAUGAUCAUCAAUUUCAAUAAAACGUGCAUGAUAUAUGAUAAUUUUUCAGCUUAUUGAAUAAUUAUUUCGUAGUCUUGACUUCCUUUCCCUAUUUUUUGUUCCUUUUUCUUCUCAAAUUUAAUUUUUUGUUCCUUUUUCUUCCUUUCCCUGUCGGAUUACCAAUUCCUGGUAAUUGGUGCCUGUUAAAAUGGGUUGAAUUAAAGCUCUUGGCAUUUGGUAUAAGAUUUGGUUUAUCCGAUAGACUUCAGUUGUAAAGCUUACAGCAUGUCUUCUUGGAGGCUGUAUUUGAAUGUCCCAACAUGUUGAUAGGAUUUGGAUAGUCUUAAAUACCAGGGCAGCUUUCUUAGCAAAGGGAGAUUGAAAAGGCAUGAUCUAGGAGAAGCUUCUACUUUCUUAAGAGAAGCUUCUACUUUCUUAAGCCAUUGUUUAAGGGUUGUUUUUGCAGUAUUCGUUGGGGUCUAGUAGUUCCACAAUUGUUCCAAUUGUCCAUUCAGCUUAAAUUGCUGUGCAUUGUACUAAAAUUGCUUUACUUGUUUGAUUGGUCUGAAAGUUGAAGAAAAGUAUUAAAAUAAUUUCAUUUUAUUGCUAUGAGAAUAGUUGUUUCACUAUUUAUUUACUUUACAGAAGAUUCCUGACUAGUUUCCUUUAGACUUGACACUGGAAAAAUUGCAAUGGGUUAAGCUGUGAAAAAUUAUAUGCUUAGUGAACGCCAGCACAUUCUCCCAUCUUUUAACUAUCUGUGGACACUGUUGACAUAGUCUAAUCUGAAAUUUUUCUCCAUGCUUAAAUUGUAAUCGACACAUUAUUGUUUACUGAAUUUUACAGCUUGUCAUUUUCUGGAUGGUGAUGGUUUAUUUAUUUGUGUGUUUCUUGACAGAUCACAUGUGAAUUUAUUAAUGUGACUAGAUGGAAGAUUGCCAUAUGUGGCGAAUAUAUGAAGUCAAGACUAAAGGUACAGCCAAUUGUCUCAUUUUUCAGAGUUAUAAUUGUGCGGCUUACACACUUGCUUUUUUCUUUGCCAUUUUUCUUUUGAUAUGAAAUGAGUUUGUUUCUUUUCUUCUUUUCUUUACACUCUUAUUAUAUUCGUUGAGCAUAUUUUAACAGACAUGCUCUCGUGGAAUGGCUUGCAAUUUUAUCCACUGUUUCUGCAACCCUGGCGGAGACUAUGAAUGGGCUGAUUGGGAUAAACCACCUCCGAGAUAUUGGGUGAAAAAGAUGGCUGCUUUAUUUGGUUAUUCUGAUGAAUCUGGGACCUGGAAUCAAGAACGCUCAGGNNNNNNNNNNNNNNNNNNNNNNNNNNNNNNNNNNNNNNNNNNNNNNNNNNNNNNNNNNNNNNNNNNNNNNNNNNNNNNNNNNNNNNNNNNNNNNNNNNNNNNNNNNNNNNNNNNNNNNNNNNNNNNNNNNNNNNNNNNNNNNNNNNNNNNNNNNNNNNNNNNNNNNNNNNNNNNNNNNNNNNNNNNNNNNNNNCAAUAAAAAAAAUCUGCUGUACCGUACAUCCGCCUUGGCCGUACAGCAGUGUGGCGUAAUGACCAUGUUCCAAGCAUGGCAAGAAAAUAAUUAGAUUCAACAAGAAGCCUUUGGUGAUGUAGCAUUGCAAUCUUAUGUACAAGGGAUGAUGAUCCAAACUAUGAUCAAAUUUUCAUUAUUUAAUGUAUUUACUGCUGAUGUUAGAAAUCUUCUGGUUAUUUAUGAUUUUGUAAUUUCUUAUAUAGGCAUCAUUAUAGAAGGUCUAGAUCAAGGGAGGCUGAUCGUGUGAAAAGUGGUUCUGGCAGAAGCCAUGAUGAUGAACGUCAAGUUCAUGAAACAACUUGGAGUCGGAGGCGCUCCAAUUAUCACAGUGAAAGCAGAAGUGAUGAGGCUAAUUCUGAUGGAAGUUGGUCAGAUAUGGACAGAGACUAAUUUUAUGUAUUGAAUUUGGAUUAUUUAGUUAUGAGAGUAGGAUAUCUCAUAUUUUGGCUAUUGAAGUUCAAUUUGUAAUAUAUACUAAUAAUAUUUAAAUGUGAAAUGAAAGAUUUUGUGAUAUAAAUCAAUUUCUUUUUAUUAUUUUGUGGUGCUUUUAAUUUUACAAAUAAAUCAAUAGGCAAUGAUCCAAUUUAAUUUUUUAUUUUUUAAAAAAUAAAUUAACUAGUGAUACCAUGGUAACAAUAAUCAUAGACACUAAUAAAAUAUCAAUAACUACUAACACUAUGGUGUCAUAAUAUCGGUGAUACUGUAGUAAUAGUAAUCAUUGACACCACUUACAAGUGUCACUAUUUUUCUGACUCCCAGAUUACUGACACAAUUAACAAGUGUCAGUGAAAGUAAUUUCUGACACUAUUCUAAAGUCAGUAAAGACCAUUUUUCUAGUAGUGCUUGUAACUCUUUUUUACUAGUAAAAUAUUUCCUUUUGUUUUCGCCCGUGGAUUCUUUUUACUAGUAAAAUAUUUCCUUUUGUUUUCGCCCAUGGACGUAGGCUAAAAGCCGAACCAAGUAAUUUCUAGUGUUCUCUUUUGUGCUUGUUCUUUAUUUGUCUUCCAAUUUUAUUUUAGCUGCAUGUCUGCUUCACCCACCAAUUUCCUAACAUAUUAUUAUAAACGAAGAGCGUUAUUCCUAUUUAUGCUCUGCUUGUAACUUUUUUAAUUACCACUAUUAAAUCAUCGAGUUCAUGGCCAACGUAUACAAAAAGCAAAAAUUCUUGAAUUUGCAGCUAUUAAAGAUGCAUAUUGCUACAUUCCAUUUUCACUGUAACGUGGAGCAGCGGCAAAUAUCUAUUAACUCCCAAUAUUUUAAGGGAGCACGAUACGAGACCCGUGUGUUGAAAAAUUCAAAAUUGGAACUCAAAUAUAAGCAUUCAAAUUUGGUUAAUGCAUCAAUUGACCAUCUUGCAUACACAUGCAUGCAUUCAGCAUUGGAGAGGCAAAUUUCAAGAUAAAUUGCUAAGGUAGACACCUAAUUUCCAAUGUGCUCGAGGAAAUUAUGAGCCUUGCUGGAGGCUUUGACAUCUUUGACGUGUAUCCUUCACUCGAAUUUCUUAGUUCCAUAACAUGGGUCAAGGCUAGAGUAUUGAGCAUUCAUAAGAAGAUGGAUAAGAUUCUUGAAGAAAUUCUCAUAGAACAUAGGUUGCAAAGGAAUGGGAAUCAUGUCAAAGCUGAUGAUCAGGAAGAUAUUGUUGACAGUCUUUUAAGUUAUGAGGAGGAUAAUAAGAGUAAGUUUCAUCUCACAAUUAACUAGAUUAAAGCUAUCAUUUUGGUAAGUCCUUUACACUAAUGCCAUAAUUAUACAUAAUCGAGACAAUAACUAUAUAGACCAACAAGAUCAAUAUACUGUAAAAGACAAUAACUAUAUGGACUAACAAGAUCUAUGAAUUUCAGGACAUUUUCACUGCGGGGAGUGAGACUUCAGCAACAUCAAUUGAAUGGGAAAUGUCAUAACUAAUAAAGAACCAUGGAGUUAUGAAGAAGGCACAAGAAGAGGUAAGAAAGGCAUUCAAAGGAAAGAGCAAAAUCGAAGAGCCGGACAUCCAAAACCUAGAUUACUUGAAAGCAAUUAUCAAAGAAACUUUCAGGUUACACCCUCUAAUAAGCUUUCGGACAGAAGCUGUGAAUACAACUUGUUUAGUCAAUAGAAGCUUAUCAUCUACUAUUGGGUUUAAGACACCUAAAGAUAUAUGGUCAAGAAGGCCUGCAAAGUAUGAAAAUUUUAGUGAGGUCCUAUUUAUGUUCAUCUAAAAUCAAGGCAAGCUUGAUAUUAGAGCCUUGAAAAGGGUCUUUAUUGGAUACCCUAAUAGAGUUAAAGGGUAUAAGAUCUGGUGGGGAGAGCAAAAGAAGUGUAUUAUUAGUAGGGAUAUAGUGUUCCACAAAUCUAUAUUACUCAAAGAAAGUGUAACAACCAACUUUGAUGAAUACGCUGAUAAUAAUUUUGAAAUAGUAAUUGACAUUUCAAAGCUUAAGGUGGAGUUUUCUAAUGACAGAUAUCAUGAAAAAGAGGAAUAUGAUUAUAAGAAUGGAACAAAUGGUGGAGUUGAAGACAUUUCGCUACCAGAUUUGCAACUAUUUGACUUGCAGAACUAUCAAUUAGCUAAAGACAGAAUUAAAAGGCAAACUAAAGCAUUAGUGAAGUAUGGUUAUAUUGAUUUAAUUGCCUACCCAUUGUUAAGUGUUGAUGACAUUGAGGAGCCUAGAAGUUACUCUAAACCUAUUGAAAGUGAGGAUAACGUUAAAUGGUUUUUUUCUAUGCAAAAAGUGAUGGACUCCCUGCAAAGAAACCAUACCUAGACACUUGUACCAAACCCAGGCAAUAGAAAGCUAGUUAGUUGUAUGUGGAUAUUUAAGAAGAAUGAGGGAAUUCCAGGUAUUGAACCUUCAAGGUAUAAAGCAAAGCUUGUAGCUAGAGAGCUUACACAAAAAAGGGUGUGGAUUUGUUAACUUUGUUAGAUAUGGAGCUUGAACAAACGGAUGUUAAAACUAUCUUCCUUCAUGGUAAUCUUGAAAAAUAGAUACUAAUGGUUCAACCUGAAUGAUGUGAGUGCAAAGGAAAAGAAGGUCAUAUGUGUUUACUAUAUAAGUCCUUGCAUAGAAAUCUCCUAGAUAAUGGUAUGGAAGAUUUGAUGAGUUAUAAUCACAAAUUAAUACCACCAAAGCAAAUUUGAUAGUUGUGUUCAUUAUGGUGGCUCAGAUCAAGGUGGAGUUGUAUAUCUGCCUCUUUAUGUGGAUGAUAUGCUAAUUAUAGGCAAAGACAACUAUGAGAUACAUCAAUUAAAAAAAUUGUUAAAAGGAUAGUUUGAAAUGAAGAACCUUGGCAAUGCCAAAAAGAUCCUUGGCCUGGAAAUCUAAAAAAAUAGAGUUGCCAAUACCUUGUUUCUAAGUUAAGAAAAGUAUAUUAAGAAGGUUUUAGAGAGGUUUGAUAUGCAUGACUGCAAACAUGUUCUAACUCCUUUUGGUCCCCAAUUCAAGUUGUCAACAGCACAAUCCUGAAAGGCUGAAAAGCUACAGAUGAAUGAGAUACAAUAUGCACAAGCUGUAGAGAGCCUUAUAUAUGCAGUGGUCUGCGUUAGACUUGAUACAACCUGUUGUCAGCAGAUUUUUUAGUCGUCUAAGCAAAACUCAUUGAAGUGCAAUCAAAUGGAAAAUGAGAUAUCUCAAAGGUUCUUUUGCUUGUGGUUUGUUGUAUAGAAAGUGAUGCAAAUGAAGUUGCGGAUUAUGUGGAUUCUAAUUUUACUGGAGACUUGGAUAAAAGAAGGUCUAUUUAAGGGUAUAUGUUUAUGUUAAAUAUGUGCAUGAUAAGUUGGAAAGCAUCUCUAGAGCCAGCCAAUGGUGGCAUUAUCUUCAACUAAGGCUAAAUUUGUUAUAGCAACAAAGGUAGUUAAGGAGGCCGUGUCGAUUAAAGGUGUUCUCAAUGAACUUUAGUUGAAUCAGGAAACAAACCAAGAUUUAUGUGAUAAUCAAAGUGCCACUCAAUUGAUUAAAAAUCAGGUCUAUCAUCAGUAGUCCAAGCAUAUAGAUGUAAAGUUGCAGUUUAUCAGAGAUGAAAUUGUAAGGGGGAGCUGUGGCUGUGUGCAAGAUCCAUACAGAUGUAAAUCCUGCUAAUGCACUUACUAAAGUGCUUCCUACUGUAAAAUUUGAGUUAUAUAUAAACUUAAUGGGUGUUUUGCCCAAAUCAAACUAAAUUCAGGAGUGAAUUGUAAUUGAUUGAAGGGUUUUUAGAUAAUGCUUUGUUGAAGGGAUUAUCUGAAUCAAUUGCAAGGUGGAUAAUGUGAAGAUAUAAGCAUUUGAGUUUUUGGACUCAAAUGAAAAAUGAGAAGAACUUGUGGACAUUAUGCAUAUUGACUUUAGUUAAAGAUUUCUGUUUGAUAUUUUUUGCUUACGUGGCAGAUUUAGUUAUAAUUUGUUAAUGCGUUUCCAGUAUAAAUAGAAGCUGACAAGCAGAGCCUGAUAUGAGAGCUCUUUCUUCUUCGUCUGUUAACCAAAUUACAUGGGAUCUAUUACAUUGUGAUAUGUGCAAAUUCUUCUGUAGAAUCCAUUUGUAUUUUGAUAGUAUUGAUCAAUAAUGAGAGCAGAUUUUUCUUCACAAACUAGUUGCUUGUGCCUUUGUUCAUUCUUUUGUAGGUUUGUUCUUGGUUCUGUUUUCUUGUUUUCAUUAAAUUGAGGAAUAAUAUGGCCAAAGAGUCCUCAGCAAUCAGCAUAUGGUAAUUUGUUCAUGUAUGACUCAAGAUGCAGAAGGUAAUAUUUUAAAAUCUUCGGAAGUUCAAAUAUGUGUUGUGUUUACAAGUACAUUCAUAAAUACAUUUCACUCUUUCUCUCAGCUAUGUGGAAACUAUUGCUUCCAAAAUGGUUGGGUUGUCUAAGUUGAUCAAAGAGACUCUGGGAUGUAAAUUUCUAUAAUGCAUUCAGUAAGUUUUAUGUUAUUUAAACUUUUUUUGUUUUUCAUGUUAUUUAGACUGCUUCUGUCGUCAUUAUUUCUAUAUACAGUGAUAAGAAUCAAUUUCAAAUCAACCACAACCAAGACAAUGAUAACAAGGCAACCAUGAACCAUACAAAAGGAAGGAAUAAAUUUUCCUCAAAUCAUUUUGAAGUCAAUCUAGCUUUUUGCUCAGCCUUAGCUAAAGGCUUACCAAGUUCAAGACUUGUCAACAACGACUAGUAUUAGUUUUGGCCUAAACUUUCUCAAAUCACGAUCUUUGUGGAUAUAAUAGGAAACUCUCCUAUGUCAAGCCAUAACAUAGUCCUAAAAUAGCUCCUUAUCUUUCUAUGAAUUGUAUAAGAACAUGUAAAGAAAAUAUGUGAAAAGAAAUAAUAUUUUUCUUCAGCUAUUCAAUCGAUAUCAAAUUAUCUUUUAUGGUAUCAAAGUAGAUGGCUGAAAAUUUUUGCAGAACCACAACUCACUAUUCAAUCCUUUCAUCAAUGUGCCAAUCUUGUUUCUAUUAAACUCACAUUAAAUAAUUAUCUUUUAUGGAAGUCUCAAGUCCUUCCUUUAAUCAAAAGCCUUGAGAUGGAGCAUCACAUUGUAAAAGACAAGACUCCAACGAAAAUGGUUACACAAGGUGGGAAAGAAAUAAUAAAUCCAGAAUUUAUUCAAUGGAUGAAUAAUGAUGGAUUAUUGAUGACAUGGCUUAGAGGGAUGAUGGUUGAAGAUGUUCUAAGCUUGAUUAUAGAAGGCCAAACUGCUUGUGAAGCAUGGCUUUCCAUUAAAGAGCAAAUGCUUCCAGCCACCAAGGAACAAGAAUCUUGGUUGAAGGAUAGCCUCUGCUCUCUUUAAAAGGGAAAUACAAAGCUCGAAGAAUUUCUUAAUAAAUUCAAAUCAUUGUGUGACAACUUGACAGUAAUUGGGAAACCAAUUUCAGAUAAAGACAAAGUCUUCCAACUUGCACGAUCCUUGGGGCCUAAGUACGCGGAUUUCAUGACUACCAUGCUAACUAAACCUCCAUAUCCAACUUUAAAGCAUUUCAUCCUUGCCCUUCAGAAUCAUGAACAAACCAUAAUGGUGAAAACAAAGUCAUUAAUUCUCAAAAAAGACAAACUGCCUCAGAUGCUCAAACUGCUCCAAAAAAUAAUGCCAACCAUCAAGAAAAAGAAGAUAUCAUUAUUUGCCAAAUAUGUGGAAAAAAGGGCCACAAUGUUGCUGUGAAUCUAAUAUUGUUUUAUUAUUGGUUUAUGUUGAUGAUGUGAUAAUAACGGGCAAUAAUAGCAAAAUGAUUCAACACAUCAUCCAUACUCUUAGUUCUCAAUUUGCCUUAAAAGAUCUUGGCUUAUUAAAUUAUUUCUUAGGUAUUGAAAUCAAGAAAUUUAAACAAGGUAUCUUUCUUCCGCAGGCCAAAUACACAAGGGAUUUACUUGACAAAACAAAGAUGCAAGAUAGUACAUUCGUUGCCACUCUAAUGGCUGUGAAACAGAUACCAAGAUUUGAUGAUGCACAAUCCGUUAAUGCUACUGAGUAUCGACAAAUAGUGGGAAGUCUUCAAUACCUCACUUCUACCAGACCAGAUAUCACACAUGCGGUCAACAAAGUGUGUCAAAAAUUCCAACAACCAACAAAGGUUGAUCUCGAGCUGUCAAACGGAUAUUGCGAUACCUCAAAAAGACACUUAACUUUGGACUUCGCUAUUUGAAACAAAGUUCCUUGACACUUUAUGGGUUCUCAAAUUCAGAUUGGGUGGGUUGCCCUUUAACUUGAUGAAGUACGAGUGGCUUCUGCAUUUACCUUGGAUCAUCGUUUAAAAAAGCAAACCAUCGUUGCUCGUUCCAGUACAGAAGCUGAAUAUCAUUGCAUGGUAUCUACGGCAGUCAAACUCACUUGACUUACAUACAUAUUCAAAGAGAUUGGCAUAAACCUGAUAAAGCCUCCAGUUCUUAUAUGCGACAAUAUCAGCUCCCUUCAUAUGUCAAAAAAUCUUUUUUUUUCCAUGCACGGACCAAGCACAUUGAGCUUGAUUAUCACUUUGUUCGUGAGAAAGUAACAAGUAGAUUACUGAACACAAGAUAUAUUCCAUCAUCACAGCAAACGGUAGAUUUAUUCAGUAAACCAUUGUCCAAAGCAUUGUUCUCAAAAUUUCGGCACAAACUUGGAAUACACACCAUGGCAAUUCUUACUUUGAAGGGGGCUGAUAAGAAUUAUUUUCAAAUCAACCACAACCAAGACAAUGACAGCAAGGCAAUCAUGAACUCUACAAAAGGAAGGAAUAAAUUUUCCUCAAAUCAUUUUGAAGUCAAUUUAGCAUUUUGCUCAGCCUUAGCUAAAGGCUUACCAAGUUCAAGACUUGUCAACAACGGCUAGUAUUAGUUUUAGCCUAAACUUUUCCAAAUCACAAUCUUUGUGGAUAUAAUAGGAAACUCUCGUAUGUCAAGCCAUAACAUAGUCCUAAAAUAGCUCUUUAUCUUUGUAUAAAUUGUAUAAGAUCAUGCAAAGAAAAUGUGUGAAAAGAAAUAAUAUUUUUCUCCAGCUAUUCAAUCGAUAUCAAAUUAUCUUUUAUACAGCAGCUUGUUUACUAAAGAGUUUCGUUUGCCCUUGUUUGUGGGAUCAAGACCUCAAUUUCCUGUAUUUCAGACUAUUUGUGUGAUUAUUCAAUGCCAUUAGUGUACGUACUCAAGAUUCCUUUCCAUCACCCAGUUGGAUCGCUUAAUUAAAGGACUGAUGAUACUUGUUUUAAAAUAUUUUGAACUAAGUUGGUCAGUUAGCAUGACAAAUCAAAUUCUCCAAAUUGCACCCAUAUAGCCGCAUUUUUGUGUUUUAAUACUCACAUAAUGAAUCCUUUUUUUAUGACGUUUAAAGAUUUUUUUUUUUCCCUAUUGUCUCUGAUUAUCAUCAGGUCAUUCUCUAUAAAAUUAUGUGCAAAUUUCUACUACUGUCGUGUGUAAAUGCUUAGGCAGAGCCUGACCAGCAGUAUUUCGUUUCAUUUUAUAAACAUUCCAGCGCUCCUAAAACCAUCAAGGAAAGGAAAAUAAUGUGCAGCAGCAGUUGGAUCUUCUUUCAGUAUUCUUUGAAUAUUUUCUGCCCGGAGGCCUAAGGAAUGUAAAAUGUUGUUUUGCACAUGGCACAUGCUAGGUACUAAGAAAGCAAACAGAGCAAUUUUGGUGGGUUGAAUAGUCUACCGAAGCAAAGAUUUGAGUUCACAUAUAGGCAAGGAAAAUGAAUUUAACAAAAAUAUUUAUGGAAUAAAGUGCAGUUUUUUUUAUUUGACUUGGAUGUUCAAAGUCCGAAUUUUGAUUUUCUUUCAUCCCAGUAUUGUUGACCGUCUUGUAUGUAAGAAAGUCAUCGACCAAAAUGAUGAAAAAGUAAUUUAUAAGUUUAUUUUGUAUCGUGAGGCAUUUCGACAUUCCCGAUUUCUGCAUGCUGCAUAAUCUCUUGAACUGUAAUCUCUAUAUUAGAGGUCUGAUGUUAGCGGUAAUCAAAUAAAAUUUUAAAGUAAGAGACUCAUUUCACUUAUUUGGCAUAUAUCUGAACAUAUUUGUAGUACAGCAGAAUGCUGAGGUGCCACAGAAAUGCCCGUGUCUGUGCUUUGAUUGUAGCCUGUAUAAUCUUCUCAAUGAGUUCAUGGGCUCUAUUGAUACAAGCAAGAAUUCCCUAAUUCGGACCAAUUCAAGGUACAAAUAUUUACAGGUUCAUUUUUCAGAUUCAUGUGAUGUAGUAUGCUUCCAUGUUUUUUCUUUUUUUUUUUCGUCUUUCAAUAUUAAUUUUUGUUUGUCUUUGAACUCUCAAUGACAGGAAGUUUGAUCCGGUGAAGUUUAAUCCGGCAGAGUAUGACGGAACGUUUAAUCCGUCGGAGCCUCAAGCCGAUUCCUUUUAAGUCAAACUCCCCGGUAGCAGCUCCUUUGCCUUGACAUGGUUAAAAACCAGCAAGAAAAUGUUAUUAAGUCAUGAAGUAUAUGAAAAAUAAUUUGCAGCGGAAAUAUUUGAAUUGCAAUUCUCAUACAAUAUAUAAAAUUACCAUAAUCUAGAAAUCGUAUCUUUGCUUUUUCGCUGAAGUAAUCUAGACUCCCAGAUCACGAUCUGUCACCACCAAUCUUAUUAGAUCAUGAUUUGUCACAGUGAUCUUUCAGAUUAUGACUCAAGAUUGAUCUGCACUUGACAUGUGGGCGCUUUUAUCACUGCUAAAAGCAACUAGCAAGAGAAAAUUUUCUCUCAAAGUUAGAGAGAAAAAAUCUUUUUUCUCUGAUUUGUAUAUUGUGGCUACUGUCUCCUUUUAAAGAAAACAAGUCAUUUUAUAUCUCUAUUUGGUGGAAACCCUAGGCUCAUAUUUAUAUUCUUAUUUUUAAUUCUAUUAAAUCAAAUUUGAUUUAAAUUAAAAAAUAAUAAAACCAAAAGUGGCGUUACUUGUUCUUAUUAUUGGGGCCCACCUUGUAAAAUAACACAAGGCCCCCUACACACAAAUAUAUUAAAUGGAGUCUCCCACUAAAUAAUAUAUUAGGACUUUUAACUCAAAUAGCUAAUUAUCUUACUUAUUAACCCGGGGAUCAUAUGGGUGCAUAUAAUAGUGGCUACAAUAAUUAGACCUCUAAUUAAACUAAUCCAAUUAUUUAAUUCAAAAUCUACUCUAUUAAAAGAUUGGAACUGACAUCCAUAAUUGCAUUCUAUCUAGGAUAGUGUUCUCAAAUAAUAAUGCGACCCAUGCCACAUUGAUUUUCUUACUGAACAAUCAUUUGUACCAUAUCGCUAAUUAAAUUGAUGCCUCAAUUGUUCAAUCAAUUUAAUUACAUAUUGUUCCUUGAUACUUACUGGUUUUCUCUAAUGAUCAUUUUCAAUAUAUUAAUUAUAUUGACACUCUCUGUCCAGAGAAUUCUAUGAUCAAAUACUGAAAACCCGUGAAGAGAUGUAUUGUACAAAUUCUAUAUUGUUAAUCUAUAAUCUCACUGCUCAUAAUUGUUUUCACCAAGAUACCGGGUAAUCUUGACUAUAAAUGCAUGUCGUGCCCAUUAGUAACUCAAAUGAAAUGACAAUCACAAACACGAAAAUAUAAUUAACUCAAGAUUAAGAUUGCAAUAAAAUCAAUGCCUAUUAGAUUUAAUAAGUUUAACGGUCAUUUUAAGGUUAAUUAAAUCUCAUAUGUGAUCCAGCUCAAUAUAGUCAAAUUACAUCAGUAAAUUCAUACAUAAUUAAGGCAAAUCAUUCAAUGAAUUUACUACAGUCUAAACAUAAAUAGAGCGUCCAACUCUAUUUACCAACUGCGAACUUAAUUUAUUUAAUCAUGAGAUAACUUAUAUUUAUGUCUUCUAUGAAUCCAUAUGAUGAUCACAUCAAUACUUAAAAUAAGAUUAAAUGGACCUGAUUCAAAAUAUUUAUGCAAGUAAGAUUUUUGAAAAAUAUCUCAAAUAUUUUAUUAAUUAGAAAAUAAAUAAAUAUGCUUUAAAGAGCACAUAAUCCCAACAUUAUAUGCUUUCAUUUUGAUAGUGUCUUCUUGCUUCUUCACAAUCUCAUUUUUGUUCAAUUAAACAAAUAUAUAUAUAUAUAUAUAUAUAUAUAUAUAUAAAGUUGGGACUUGAGGAGGUGAUGUGGCAUCACCAUUUCUCAUCUUUGUACAUUCUCUAUUAUCUAAUAAAUAGAGAAAUUUUCUUUUAAAUUUAACUUUUCAUCUUUUCACAAUUAAUUUAAUUGUAAAUGUUUUAAUGAGGCAUAUUCUUUGUAAUGAACAUCCAAGGAGGAGUGUUAUGAAUUUAUUAAAAUAAAUGUAGAUGGUCAUAAUAUAUAUUUCUUAGUCUUCUCACUAUCUCUCAUUAGCAACAUUUAGCUUCCCUAUAACUCCCACUAUCUCAUAAGGAAUUAUGAUCCAUAAUUUUUCAUUAAUUUCAUGGAGUGAUUAUGUAACUAUAAAAGGAGAGCUCAUCUUUUUGUUUUGUACACACACAAUUGAAAUGAAUAAAAUCACUCUACAACAUAUUCUCUCACUUUAUUCUUUAUUUUGCGUUGCUUCUUUAUUUGUAUUGUUGGUUAAUAGUUUUUUUUAUUUUUUAUAAGGCUGCCUCAUCUUUAAAAAAAAAUCAAUUCAUAUUUUUUAUCAGUUUCAUCAAGUGUAAAGUAAGAAAAAAUGAUAAUACUAAAUUCUUUUUUCAAAGCCGCGUGAAGCGCGGUUCUAUUUUCUAGUUACAAAUAAAUGCGUGUUACUAGCUAGUAUGCCCCAUCUCUGCCCACACCCCUCACCUUGCAAUUCAACCAUUUUAAUUUAUAGUAUCAAUUUUAACAUAUAUAUAAUUGGUAACCUGAUUGCUCGCAACGAAGAUUUAGAUUUCAUAAUCAAUAAAUACACUUGGUAAGAAGCACCAAAUAUGUAUGUAAAGAGUUAAUUUUUACUCAUUCACAUAAAAUAACUCGAAAUCUCCUCUUUAAUUCAUCUUAUUUGAUUGCAAUACAUCGAUUAAACAAUAAAGGCUGAAAAUCAAUAGAUGGAUGGUGGGGAAAGUUUGUGCAUUUGGAGUCGGAAAUUGAGUAAUUGUUUGCUUUAUGGAGGGCAGGUAGUGGUGGAGAAGAAAAUUAAACAGGGGCUGCAGUGAACUGUUCUACAAGAGCUAUAUCUUACCUUUUAUGUAAGGUAGCCGAGCCCUAACAUAUAAUUAAUGUUAUAUGGCUGCAUCUGUGAUUCAUAUGAUCUAAAUUGAUUUCUGUUAAUUUAGUCAUCUUUUCUUUCUUCAACUCUCAGACAAGAGGUUUAAUCCAUCGGAGUUGUGAAGAAUUGAGUUGUGAAUUUGGGGACUAAAAUGUAAUCGAAAGAGAGUUACUGGGCUAUAGUGUAGAUCUUAUUCAGUAUUGGGGUCGAUAUGAAAAUACUUUGCUGAUGUGGCAAAGUUUGUUAUGGUCGUUGGAAGCGUUUCUGGAAAAUUUCCAGAAACCUCAGUAUAAAAGGGGCUGAUGAACAGCCUCUGGUGUACGUGUGUCUUCUCUUUCUUUUCUCAUCCAAAUUCUGUAAUUCUUGCUUUAAUAGAAAGCUUGUAAUCUCCUCUAUAAUGUGUGAUCGAGGUGUAAUCAGUUUGAGUAAUAAAAGCUUGUGAGUUUUCCUUCAAACGGUGUCGUUUUGGUUAAGCUCAUCAGUUGUGUGCUUCUGUGUUUGGCGUUUUUCUUCUGUGAUUCUUGAUCUGUUUCUGGAAUCUUUUUCUGGUAAUUUGUUCUCACAAAUUAACAGGAGUGUAACCGGAAGACUUGUGGACAUGCUGUUACAAGCACUAUGUAUGUAUAAAAUAACGAUGGAGCUUCCAAUUCCCUCGAAAGAAAAUCAAGUUAAUUGCUUAAUCUGGAUCCGUUUCAGGGAUUUUAAAAUUGGUUUUGAAUAAUAUGAAAAAAUAGGUUCUUAUAGUUUCUUCACCAAAAUCAUUCUAAAUGUGUAUGUUAAAUCUAAAAUUAAAUAAAAAUUUUUGAGGAAAAUUAAAUUCGUAGAUUUUAAGUCUGGCUGCGCUUCUACAGUUAGGGUAUGGAAAAUCCUCUACAUUACAAAUAUAAUUUAACACUUCAUUAUAGUUUAAAUAAUGUGAUUUAGCCUCAACUUUGCAUUUUAAUAUGUGCGAAAAUGGCUAUUUCUUUUCAAUUUGGAUUCAGAUUCUCUUCCAAUAUCAUUUUUUUUUUAAUUUUUUGAAAAUCUUGAGACAAGUGGCAAAAAGAUUAUUGAAUGGCCAAAAAUUUUAUUGCUUUUGUUUUACAAAAUCAAUUUCUUAAAUUAGAAAAGUAAAAUAAUAAACUUUCACGAACAAACCAAAUUCUUCUUUUUCCUAAUCCACUUUCCUUGGUUUUCUACCUUCAUCAUCUUCUCCUUUCGAGAUUGAGCAAUGGCAGCUAUGGGCAAGACUUCAACAAAUAUUUAAAACCCUAAAGCCAUAGGGUAACAAAGUUAUAAGGAAUUGAAAUAUAAAGCCAUGGGGUAACACAGUUAAUUUAGUUUUGUAAAACUUCAAUAGACAAACAAGAAAAAGAGAAAGUACAUGUGUUUAACAUAUUGAUUGACCAGCAAAAACACAAAUAUUGUUUACCUCGGGUUUUAUAAGACUUGGGAUGUCUUAUCAUCUGAGCUUAUCCCAUUUUGGAGUAAAACCCCAUAUGAAUAUGAAUAUGUACCAUGAAAUUAACACGAAUAAUACUCAACUCCAAUUCAUAAGAAUAAUUCAAAUUAUAAUGCUGAUAAUUGAUAUCUCCGUGAACAAUACACAUGUACAGAGGAUCGGAAGUAUGGGAGGUCCUGGACCCCAAGCUUUAAAAAUGACCUUUAUCUAGGUAAAUUUUAUUCUUUACCCCCUCAGUUCCAUAGUUCUCACAUAUUGCAAGCUGUGUUAAUAAAGUUUGUUGUUUCCAUAUACCCCCAUCGAAUGAAAAUUCUGGUUUCACCAUACGCAGGCACGAGAACAAUCAGCAGAUUUGAAAGAGCUAAUUAUUCAUUUUUAUUUUUCUGCUGCAAAUAUCUUUUAUGUAUACUUUAAUUACAAGCGUACACGUGAUACUAGGAAUCAGUUGGCACUUAUCUAGCUAGGAAUCAGUUGAACAAAUUCUUCUCUUGUACUAUUAGUACUCGGUGAACUCGAUGAGAAAUGGUGAAGUUAUAUUUUUCCAAACCUGAUGUCAGACACUUACUGGUAUAUAUGCGUUGAUGGAAUGAGAUUUGUUGUUUCCAUAAUAAGCAUAUAUAUUAUAUGAUAACAUUGAUAAUUGGUUUAUUAAAACAUGAUUAUUGUCAUAAAACUGAAAUAUUUGUUAGUGCUUCAUGGGCUAUUGCGUUUAAAUGGGGCUGUUCCGGGACAUUGAAUGAAUGCAACAAGUAAGUCAAGAAAGUGAAAUUGGAGCUGGUACCGGGACUUUGAAUGAAUGCAACAUGUAAGUCAAGAACGUGAAAGAACUGCAAUUAGUCUCUUAAACUCAUUGUUACAUUUUCCAUGUAACUACGUAAUCAUCAUUGCCAAGGAAAAAUUGUGUAGUUGAAGGGUCCACACAAAAUAGUAAGGGGUCGACGGCAUUGGCACUACAUUUUAAUCUUAUUCAAUGAUAUUCAAGGGAUCAUGUGUAUCACAUCAUCUGUUAUUCCAAUAAAUUCAAAGGAUCAUAUGUAUCACAUCAUUUGUAGUUCCAAGAAAUUCAAUGGAUCAUGCGUAUCACUUCAUUUGUAAUUCCAAUGGGAUGAGCUCAAUUGGGUUAAUUUAGCAUCUCGUAGCAUAAACAAGAAAUUGUUUUUGGAAAUAUUGUAAAGACAUCCAUCCAAGGGAGUAUGUAUGUAUGUAUAUGUGUGUGUGUGUGUGUACACACACGUUGAUUCGUUUAACUAAAAUAAAUAGAAGAAGUCAUCAAUGAUCCAUAUGGUCUCCUAUAGUGAGCGUAAACAGUAUUAAUUUGAUUAUUAUAGACAUCCGGUAUCUUAUUAAAUCCGACCAAUUAAAUAUAUACAUAUAACUUGAUUGAAUCUCAUCGAUCACUAUUAUUUGUCUAUUGAAGUUUACAAUAUUUUAAUAACUAGGCUACCUUAUGUCUUUGUAUUUCGUUUCUCGAGAAAACUUAGACUAUCUUCAUUGAAUCACGUUAUUCGUACAACAAUUCAAUAAAAUCAUGACAUAUACAUGCUAUUUGUAUUCUAAAAUUUUCAAUCAUUUAUAGUUAUCAACUUAUCAUUGUGAUGAGGUAUACCUUGUACCGGAUUAUUUCCACCUACAGGAACUUUCCUCAGACUCCUGUGAUGGAGUAACCCUUCUGUCGCACUUUUAUGGACUAAACUUUCUGUCACGGAGAGUUCAAGACAAAGGUUAAGAAAAUUAAAAAUGCAAUAAAAACAAAAACAAAAAUACGAAAUAGUGGAGCGAUAUAUAAAAUUAAUGUUCUUCAAUUAAUUGGACCAAUUUCAUGUUCUUAAUUAGUUACGCACCUUGGAUAGCUGAGAAAUUCCGAAUUCUUGCUUCUAUUACCAAGGGAAAUGAAAUCAUUGAUAUAAUAACUAUACAUGCAACAAGCAAAGUGCAGACCGGAGCAUUAUUCCUAUAACAGUUUGACAUAUUACUUUUUUGAAAAAAGAAAAAAAAAGAAUGGAGAUUAUUCAAUUCUAUCAAUCCUUUUAUACAAUCACUGAGAAGGAAAGACUUCCAAAAUUCAAGCUUUGAAUUGUAUAAGUCAAAAUUAUUAAUUGCUAGAAAAUUCUCUUCAAAAAACAAAAAACAAAAAGAAGAACAAAAUUCCUGCUUUUAAUUUCACGGCUUUGAACAAGACCCUAAUUAAUGUUCUACAUUAGCAAGAACCUAGUUUUAACAUUUCUAUCACACAGGUCGUCGACUUCUGUACCUUCAUAAUAUUGAAUUUUAACCGUUAUAUAUGAUUUAUGAUGUAUAUAUGAGUAAGGGCAUUUCCGUCAUUUGAAUAGGAUGAUCCAGUUGGUUUUAACUCUUAAAAGUAAAAGCUACAGGUCAAUGAAUAGGUUCCCCUUACACACCAGCCGUGGAGAUAGAGAUUCUUUAAUUUGUGUUUGUGCAUUGGGAUACUUUGCUCAAAAGGUUUUGAGUGUGCAGUCUAUUGCAAAAAAAUAACAAUAAUUAUAAUCAGGGCUGCCACUGAAAGUUCUAGCUAGCUUCAUCCUCCUUCUCAUGACUGGAUCCCAUUCCGUCCAUGCGAUGACUUGAUAUUUCAGAUUGAGUGUAGAGUGUAGACACUUAAAAUAAAAAUAAAAUGGUUUCAAAUUGAAUGGUAAGCACUAAGGCGACAAAUUUCUUGCAUAUAUAUGUAGUUGAAUUGUCAAUAUAUGAAUUUAUGAAAUGAGAAGUUCGGGUAUUUUACGCCAAGCAAUUUUUAGUGUCUGUUUAAUUAUGUUUAUGGUCCAAUUGUCACGGCAAUUUCAUUCCAAUAGCCAAUGGCUUUGACUCUUGUUGUUUAUGAAAGCAAAUCCAGAAAACUAAAACGGCAGAAGACUUUGCGUUUACAGCUGAAAUCACUUAAGCUCAACGACAUAGAGUCUUGCGUUUUGAAGAGUAAAAGAAAUACUCUUCUGAACGACAUGUGAGUUUGUCGUUUAAGUUUAAGUGAAGCACGCUUGUAUCACAUGCUUGUGUUCAGCUUGCAAAGGUUCGUUAGAAGCCGUUAAAUGCAUGAGGAACUCACGUGAGUUGCUGGGGAACUUCUGGGUUCGUUAUUGAAGCUGUUAUCGAGCAGCUGAUGUGGCAGCAAUAGAUUGGUGUACAGAGAGAGCUGAAGAGAGAGAAGGGGACUGGUUUAUAUAUAGUCAGUUCUGAUCUUUCUUAGCUAUAUAAGCAUUACUCUGUAAUUCAUCUUGUUAAAUCAAUAAAGUUGUUCUUUGCCCUCCCAUGGAUGUAAGCUAGAGAAAUCUAGCUGAACCACGUUAAGUUUCUUUUGUUCUUUGAUUGCUCUACUUAUGUUGAUUCUUUAAUCCAAAUUGGUUAAUCGUCUAGUUCCAUAAAUUCAUCUUAGUCGUAGCUUUUCAGUCAUCAAUCUUGCAACAUCUUGAUUAGUUGGUUGGUGAUCUUAGGGCAGAAUCUAAGGUUGCUUAGUCUGUUCAUAGCACCUUAGUUUCUACAAUUAGUAUCAGAACUUAGUCUACAAACCAAUUACGAGUAUGGCUUCAACCAAGAUCGAUCUUGAGAAGUUUACAGGCAAGAAUGAUUUCAACAUGUGGAAAGUGAAGAUAGAGGCCCUGCUGAUAACACAUGGGUUAGGAGAUGCACUUAAACCUAUCACCAAAAAAGAAAAGAAAGAAGUAUCAUCCUCUAAGACACCUGAAAUGGCUGCCGAGAUAGACAAAAAGGCCAGAAGCACCAUCAUAUUGAGCCUUGGUGACUCAGUGAUAAGGGAGUUUGCCAAAGAGAAGACUGUUGCAGACCUAUGGGCCAAACUAGAAAAGAUUUAUAUGACAAAGUCUUUGGCUAAUAGGUUGUAUAUCAAAAGGAGGAUGUUCACUCUGAAAAUGGCUGAAGGGUCCUCUCUUGAUGAUCAUAUCUAUGAAUUCAAUCAAGUUUGUGACACACUUGAAACCAUUGAUGAGGGGCUGGAUGAUGAAGGAAAGGUAUUGCUUCUGGUGAGUUCUUUACCUCAGUCUAUUCAAAUCUUGUUGAUGCCCUUAUGUAUGGAAGAUCAACAUUAUCAUUAGAUGAGGUUAAGGCUGCCUUGAAUACUAGAGGGCUGCAAGAAAAUUCUGGGAAUAUGAUGCAUGCUGAAGGAUUAUCAGUUAAGGGUAAGUUUAACAAGAAUGAUGGAAAGAAGAAAAAAACAAAAGCAAGAUAAGUCUAAAUUAUAAAACAGAAAGUGCUUUCCUUGUCACAAAGAAGGCCACUUCAAGAAAGACUGUCAAGAACUAAAGAACAAGAACAAGGAAAGAAAUGGUGAUGCAGCUACAGUGGAGGAAGAAGGUUAUGAAUCUGCUGGUGUAUGUGUGGCUACAAAGGAUCUCCAGAGAGGUAAAUGGAUACUAGAUUCUGGUUGCACCUUUCAUAUGUGCCCAUUUAAAACUUACUUCUCUGAUUACCAUAAUUUAGAUGGGGGAAAAAUAAUGAUGGGUAACAAUGCUGUAUGUAAAGUCAUAGGCAUAGGAAAUGUGAGUCUUAGGCUUCAUGAUGGGACAAUUUGGGAACUUAGAGAGGUUAGAUAUGUUCCUGACUUAAAGAGGAACUUAAUCUCACUAGGUUUGAUUGAUCAGAAUGGGUUUAGUAUUAAGCUUGAAUCUGGCAGAUUGUUGAUCAUGAAGGGCACUAAGAUAGUGAUGAAAGGUUCAAAAAGGAAUGCAGUAUAUGUUCUAGAUGAUGAGGCAGUUACAGGAAUAACAGAUGUCAUUAUUGGCACUAGUGAGCACUAGGCUGUGGCACCUAAGAUUGGGGCAUAUGAGUGUUAAGCGGUUAAAAGAGCUUGAAAAACAAGGAGUUCUGGGGAAUGAUAAGACAGAAGAGUUAGAUUUUCGUGAAGAUUGUGUCUUUGGGAAGUCCACGAGAAACAGUUUCAAGCACUCAACUAGCAAAUCUAUUGGCAUCCUAGACUACAUACACUCUGAUCUCUAGGGACCAGCACAGACCAGCUCAUUAAGUGGUAAUAGCUAUUUUUUGUCAAUAAUUAAUGAUUAUUCAAGAAGAGUUUGGGUCUAUAUACUGAAACACAAAGAUCAAGUCUUUAGCAAAUUUAAAGAAUGGAAAACCUUAGUUAAAAAUCAAACUGGAAAGAAGGUUAAGAAACUGAGAACAGAUAAUGGACUUGAGUUAUGCAAUCAGCAAUUUAACAGCAACUGUGCAAAUAAGGGGAUAGCAAGGCACAAAACAGUGAGGUUAACACCUCAGUAAAAUGGAUUGGCAGAAAGGAUAAACAGGACCCUGAUGGAUAAGGUGAGGUGUAUGCUGGUGCAAGCACAGCUACCAAAACACCUCUGGGCAGAAACCUUAUUAACAGCUAGCUAUCUGGUGAAUUUAAGUCCCUCUGCUGCUCUAGACUUUAAGACUCCAUUUGAAAUGUGGCAUGGAAAACCAGCAAGCUAUGUCAAUCUCAAAGUGUUUGGAUGUCCUGCUUAUGCACAUGUCAAUCAAGGAAAGUUAGCACCUAGGGCUCUUAAAGGUCAGUUCCUAGGCUAUCCUGAUGGAGUUAAAGGAUACAAACUAUAGUGUACUGAUCUAGAACCUCCAAGGUGCAUAAUAAGCAGAGAUGUGCCAUUUAAUGAGAAGGCUGUUUUGGAAGUCAGAAAGGAUGCUGGGUUGAAAACUCAGAAACCUCAAGUCCAAGAUAAGAUCCAAUUUGAGGUGGAGCAUCCUGAUUCAAAGAAAUCUGAGAGGGGUAAGAAUUCAGAUCAAGACAGUGAAGAUCAUGAUGAAUGCAGUGGCCCUCAACCACAAUCUCAAAGGCAGACUCAAGCACAAGGUUAUCAGCUGACUAAAGAUAGAGAAAAGAGCCAAAUCAUACCACCACAAAGAUAUGGAUACGCUGAUUUGAUAGCAUAUGCACUAGCUGCUUCACAUGAUAUUGAUGUAGAUGAGCCCAAGAGUUAUAUUGAAGCUAUUCAAAGCUCAAACAAAUUAGAAUGGCAGGAAGCUAUGAAUGAUGAGAUAGCCUCUCUUAAGAAGAAUCACACUUGAAUAUUGGUUGAGAAGCCUGGUAACAGAAGGACAGUGGGUUGCAAGUGGGUUUUCAGAGUCAAAGAAGGCCUCACAGCUAGUGAACCUAUGAGGUACAAAGCUAGGCUUGUGGCUAAGGGGCAUACUCAAAGGGAAGGAGUUGAUUUUAAAGAGGUAUUCUCCCCUGUGGUCAGACAUGCCUCCAUAAGGGUACUGUUAGCACUGACUGUAGUCCAUGACUUAGAGCUUGAUCAACUCGAUGUCAAGACUGCAUUUCUACAUGAAAGACUACAAGAAGAAAUUCUUAUGACUCAACCUGAGGGCUAUGUGGAUUCUAAGAAACCAAACCAUGUUUGCUUGCUAAAAAGGUCAUUGUAUGGGCUCAAGCAAUCUCCAAGGCAAUGGUAUCUCAGGUUUAAUGAAUUCAUGUUGUCACAUGGAUACCUAAGAUGCAGUUUUGAUUGCUGUGUAUAUUACAAGCUAAUAAGUUCAAGCCUCUACAUAUACCUGUUACUCUAUGUAGAUGACAUGUUGGUAGCCUGUAAGUCGAGAGAAGAAAUUGAAGCUUUGAAGAAUUUGCUGAGCUCUGAAUUUGAGAUGAAAGAUUUAGGGUCAGCAAAGAAGAAACUGGGCAUGGAGAUCAAGAGGGACAGAAGCAAAGGUAUUAUGUUCAUUUCUCAAGAGAAAUAUAUGAUGAGGGUACUGGAAACUUUUGGGAUGACCUCAUGUAAACCUUUGAUGACUCCAAUGGCAACACAUUUUAAGCUCUCCAGUCUCCAGUGUCCAAAGACAGAAGAAGAAAAGUUAGAGAUGGCCAAGAUCCCUUAUGCUAAUGCAGUUGGCUGCAUGAUGUAUGUUAUGGUUCUAACUAGGCCUGAUAUCUCCUAUGCUCUAAGUGUAGUUAGCAGAUAUAUGGUGUCUCUUGGAAAAGAACAUUGGAGAGCUGUAAAAUGGUUAGUGAGAUACCUAAGUGGAACUCUGAACCAUGGGCUGGUUUAUGAAAGGUCAACGAGUAAGUCUGAAGGGAUAAGUGGAUUUGUUGAUUCUGACUUUACAGGGAACUUAGAUAGAAUAAGAUCUCUCACAGGGUAUUUGUACAUGCUGGAUGGCUGCUUGAUUAACCGGAAGGCAAGCCUUCAACAUGUUGUUGCGAUAUCAACAACAGAAGCUGAGUAUACAGUAGCCACUGAAGCAGUAAAGGAAGCCUUAUGGUUGAAAGGAUUGAUUUUAGAGCUAGGAGUGAGUCAGAAGACAGUUGAUGUAUUUUGUGAUAGCUCAAGUGCCAUUUACUUGAGCAAAAACCCAGCUUACCAUGAGAAAACAAAGCACAUCGACAUCAAGUUGCAUUUCAUCAGAAAUGUAGUUUCCAUAGGUGUAGUCAAGAUGGUGAAGAUACAUACAGAUAGAAACCCUGCUGACAUGUUAACGAAAGUAGUCACUACAGCUAAGUUCAAAGUUUGCUUGGACAUAGCUGGUCUUGGCUGCUGUUAAUUCAUUCUGGAAAUGGAGGGGAAAAUUAGGGGUGAUUUGUUUCAAUGUGGAGAAUUGUUGUUUGUGAAAGCAAAUCCAGAAAACUAAAACGGUAGAAGACUUUUGCGUUUAGAGCUAAAAUCACUUAAGCUCAAUGACAUAGAGUCUUGCGUUUUGAAGAGUAAAAGAAAUACUCUUCUCAACGACAUGUGAGUUUGUCGUUUAAGUUUAAGUGAAGUACGCUUGUAUCACAUGCUUGUGUUCAGCUUGCAAAGGUUCGUUAGAAGCCGUUAAACGCAUGAGGAACUCACGUGAGUUGUUGGGGAAUUUCUGGGUUCAUUAUUGAAGCUGUUAUCGAGCAGCUGAUGUGGCAACAACAGAUUGGUGUGCAGAGAGAGCUGAAGAGAGAGAAGAGGACUGGUUUAUAUAUAGUCAAUUCUGAUCUUUCUUAGUUAUAUAAGCAUUACUUUGUAAUUCAUCUUGUUAAAUCAAUAAAGCUGUUCUUUGCCCUCCCGUUAAUGUAAGCUAGAGAAAUCUAGCUGAACCACGUUAAGUUUCUUUUGUUCUUUGAUUGCUCUACUUAUGUUGAUUUUUUAAUCCAAAUUGGUUAAUCGUCUAGUUCCAUAAAUUCAUCUUAGUUACAGCUUUUCAGUCAUCAAUUUUGCAGCAUCUUGAUUAGUUGGUUGGUGAUCUUGGGGUAGAAUCUAAGGUUGCUUAGUUUGUUCAUAGCACCUUAGUUUCUACAACUCUCAAUAAGUGCUUUUUUUCCUGUGAAUUUAAUUUGCAUGCGACCCGAUUUUCAAUCUGAUAAGAUUUGUAUGAUCAGUUCAAAGUUAAAAUCGUGGGUCUAAUUUAAUUAUUUGAAUGGUAAAGCACGAAAAAAGCUGGACCCAAAAGACUUUAUAGGAUGUUUGUUUGCAGUCACAAAUCCUGUGGAAAUUACUUGUUUGAUGACGAGUGAAUAGGACUCCUCAAGCAAAUAUAAAGAAUGAAUCUAUAUAGAGAGGCUUGAUUUUAUGUUUGAUGGCACAAAAUGGGAAAAUUCCUUAGAAGGCGUAGUUCAUGUUUUAUAUUCAGCUUUUGUAUUAAUUAGUGUGAAGUAGUGCUCUUUCUUGACAAUAAGCAAGGAUUUCUCUUUUCUGAACAACCUAAACCAUAUAUAUUUUGUUUUGGCAAAAUUUAGAACUCCCCUUAGGUUAAUAGGAUUAUAUUUUAUUUAGUAUUAAAUUUAUGCAUUUUUUUUUAUAGAACUCCUAGACUUAAUUCAUACGUAAAAGCUGGUUUAAAAGUUGAAGAUUGUCUAAAACUUAUACUAUUAACACAGUAACUGACAUGGGAUAAUAUCUUCAACAUUUUCGACUAUCAUUUAUUAUAAAAAGAUCGAAUUGCUUGACCUUCAAAAAGUGCAUGUAUCGAUUAACAUGACAAUUAUCGGGGUGUUGUAGUGGGCUUUCAGUUUUUGGAAAAAUCAUUAGUUUUGCCGAAUAACUGGUUUAUCAAUUUCCCUUCCUCAGAAGUAUAUAUACCCCAGUUUUCUUUCAGAAUUUAUGUAUUUCCAUUUUUUAUGUCUUCUUAAUAAUUUAUAAAGUAGAAGAUAAAUAAAAAAAAACACUAUUUUUUUAUGAAAAAUAAACUAUUUUUCCAUUUACGUGAGCAGUUUAAACCAUAAACUACUUAUGUAAGUGUAAAUGGAUUUAUCAAUUAAACGACCAAGUAUCCACGUGUCUGCUCAAUGAUUAGAAAGAGCAUCAACACCAUUUGAUUUUGAUCAUGAUGGAACACAUUUUCAUUGCUAUAACUUUAAGCACUUUUUUAAAAUAAAUAAAUAAGUAAUAUGUUCAGCAAAGCUCGACCAAUUUUUUGUCAAAGUCGGUGGCCUUAACAAGCCAAAUUCAAAUUGGCUUUGACAGCCACCAAUCUAAAAAGAGUAGAAUUCCACAGUAAAAAAAAAAAGAAGAAGAAAAAUAGAAUUUAAAAGCUGCAAAUGUUGAAGGAUUUGGCACCGCCAAGGAAGAAAGAAAAAUAAGAUAAUGGCUGUGAGACAAAAAAAAAUUAAAAUAAUAACCAAUUUUGACUAUAUAAAGGAAGCUCCUCAUCUUAGCUUUUGCAUUCAUUCUUUGUGAGAGAGAAAGCAGAGAGCUUGAGUGAUUUUAAGAGCUUAAAAUUAUAAAGCUCUUGUGAGUAGAGAUUUGGUGUAUUAGGGUUCUGGGUAGUGAGCCAAAAUAUUACAAUACUUAUAAUCCUCAUAUCACUUGUAAAAUAAUUUUCUUCUGUCUUCGCCCAUGGACGUAGGCUAAAAGCCGAACCACGUAAUUUUCUAGUGUCUUCUUUUGUGCUUGUUCUUUAUUUUCUUCCAAUUUUAUUUUAACUGUGACCCUGCUUCACCCAUCAAUUUCCUAACAGUGGUAUCAGAGCUACUGGUUGUAUUUUUUAAAGUUUGUGGUACUGUUCAUGUAUACGAUACUUUUCACGUAUACGGUAUUGUUCACGUGAAAUGGUAAGAGCUGAUCCUAGCAAAGUUAGUUCGUGGUGAAAAGUGAUGGCGGCAAAAUACGAAAUUGAGAAGUUCAACGGAAAAAAUUUUUCGUUGUAAAAAAUGAAGAUAAAACAUGUAUUGAGGAAAAAUAAUUACUUCGCAACAAUUGGAGAAAGGUCCAUGGAGAUAACUAAUGACAAGUGGAACGAGAUAGACGGCAACAUCAUUUCUGAUCUACACUUGGCACUUGCGGAUGGAGUAUCAUCCAGUGUGGUAGAGAAAAAAACAGUAAAAGAAAUAUGAGAUACUCUCACAAAAUUGUACGAGGCCAAAUCACUGCACAAUAACAUCUUUUUAAAAAUGAGACUCUAUACUCUUCGAAUGGCGGAAUCUACAUUUAUGAUCGACCACAUCAAUACCUUGAAUACUCCAUUUUCACAACUCACAACGUUGGGUCAUAAUAUAGAGAAAAAUGAACAUGCAGAGCUUCUACCUCAAAGUGUACCAGAUUCGUAUGAUCAACUCAUCAUCAACCUGACGAACAACAAUCCAGCGGACAAUCUAGUUUUCGAGAUGUUACAACCUCCGUAUUAAAUGAGGAAAGCUGGCGAAAAAAUAAGGAAGACAGACUGGCGAGUUUGCAGCAAGUAGAAGCGCUAUCGGUGACGAGAGGGAGAUCAAUAGAACGUGGCCCCAGUGGGAGUCAGAGUCAUGGUAAGUCAAAAUCAAAAAGUAAGAAAAUGUCAAAUGCUACAAUUGUGGCAAGAAAUGGUACUUCAAGAAAGAGUGUUAGAGUAACUAGAAGAGAAAAUAGGGCAAAGAACCUGAGUCAUCAAAUGCUCAGGAGUGUGUAGCAAGUACCUCGGAUGAUGGCAAAAUUCUCUACAGCGAGGCAACAACUGUUUCAGAAGGCAAAAAAGGGCUAACUGACGUCUGGCCCAUAGACUCAGGAGCUACCUACCACAUGACAUCUCAGAAAGAAUGGUUCCACACAUAUAAGCCUAUCUCAGAAGGAUCUGUAUAUAUGGGCGAUGAUCAUGCCUUGGAGAUUGUUGGUAUUAGUACUAUCAAAAUCAAAAUGUUUGAUGGUACAAUUCGCACAAUUGAGGAGAUACGACAUGUCAAAGGUCUGAAGAAGAACCUAUAGUGUUUGGGACAAAUGGAUAGUCAUGGGCAUAAAAUUCAUGUGGAAAAAAUGGAAUUAUGAAGAUUGUUAAAGGCGCGUUUGUAUUGAUGAAGGCAAAAAAGAUCAGUGCUAAUCUAUUCAUGCUUAAAGGAGAAAUACUACAAGUGGCUGAUGCGUGUGUCGCAUUAAAUGGAGAAGAGUCGACAAUGAUCUGGCAUCUCAAACUUGCCUACAUGUCGAAACAAAGUUUGAAGAUUCUCUCUGAGCGGAAAUUACUUCCGGGACUCAAAUCGGUAAGUUUACCAUUCUAUGAGCAUUAUAUUACAAGUAAGCAGAAUAGAUUAAAAUUCAGCAAAUCUGUUGCCAGAAGUAAAUGUAUUAUAGACUUGGUUCAUUCUAAUAUUUGGGAAUCACUGGAUAUAUCUAUGGGAGGUGCAAAGUACAUGAUGACUUUCAUUGAUGAUUAUUCCAGGAGAUGUUAGGUGUAUCCAAUUAAGAAAAAAUCAGAUGUGUUUCCAGUGUUUAAGGAAUAAAAAGCGCUGGUGGAACUUGAAUCCGGCAAAAAGAUCAAGUGCUUGAGGACGGAUAAUAGUGGAGAGUAUAUAGACGGCGAGUUUCUUGCUUUCUGUAAGUAAGAAGGUAUUCAAAGGCAGUUCACGGUAGAAUACACUCAUCAAUAAAAUAGAGUGGCAGAGCGGAUGAACAUGACUCUUAUAGAAAGGAUAAGAGCUAUGUUGAGAACUACUGGUCUACCCAAUUUAUUUUAGGCAGAUGCAGCCAAAACUGCUUAUUAUAUAUUAAAUCGGUCGACAUCCAUAGCUAUUGGGCUGAAAUAGCGAUGGAGAUGUGGACUGGAAAGCCAACUAAUUACUCUUAUCUAUAUGCAUUUGGAUGUCCUAUGUACGUGAUGUACAAUGCCCAAGAAAGAAAAAAGUUAGAUCUAAAAUCUAGGAAGUAUAUCUUCUUAGGGUCUGCUGAUGGAGUAAAAGGGUAUCGUCUGUGGGACCCCACUGCCCACAAGAUCAUUAUCAGCAGAGAUGUUAUCUUUGUAGAAAAUCAACUACAAAUGAGAGAUGAGGAUGAUAGCACUGUAAAAGAAAAGUCAGAGACUGCACCGAUAUAUGUAAAAAAUAAUCUAAAAAAAGAAGAUUCAGAUUCUUCUGAAGCAGCACCAUAGCACAAGGAAUAAGAACUAAUCGAGUCCGAGACUCCAGAAGUUCGUCAAUCAACUCAUUAUGACGACCACCACCGUAGCACUCACAGUAUGUCAUAGAGAUCAAUGUUGCAUACUGUUUUCUAACAAAGAAUGGAGAGCCAUCAACUUUCCAUUAAGCUUUAAAUAGCUCAGAUGUUACUUUGUGGAUGACAGCAAUGCAGGAAAAAAUUGAAGCUCUACACAAGAACAAAACAUGAAAACUUGUACCACUACCACAUGAAAGAAAAGUCAUUGGUAAUAAAUGGGUCUACAAGAUUAAACGUGAUGGCAAUAAUCAAGUGGAGCGGUAUCAUGCAAUAUUGUUAGUGAAAUGAUAUGCUCAGAAAGAAGGUACUGACUUGAAUAAGAUAUUUUCUCCGGUGAUUUGACUUACAACAGUCAGAUUAGUCUUGGCGAUGUGUGCUACAUUUGACUUAUAUCUUGAGCAGUUAGAUGUGAAAACUGCAUUUCUUCAUGGAGAACUUGAAAAAGAAAUUUAUAUGCUCCAACCAGAAGGUUUUGCUGAAAUAGGAAAGAAGAACUUGGUUUGCAGAUUGAAUAAAUUUCUAUACAGUCUCAAACAGGUGCCGAGGUGUUGGUAUAAGAGAUUUGAUUCCUUCACCAUGAGCCUUGGAUACAAUAGACUCAAUUCAGACUAUUGUGCAUAUUACAAGAGGUUUGAAGAUAAUGAUUUUAUCAUUUUACUAUUGUACGUGGAUGACAUGUUGGUAGUAGGCCCCAACAAAGAUCGAAUCCAAGAAUUGAAGGCACAAUUGUCUAGGGAGUUUGAAAUAAAGGACUUGGGACCCGCAAACAAGAUUCUAGGGAUGCAAAUUUAUCGAGACAGAAAUAACAUGAAGAUUUGACUUUUUCAGAAGAACUACUUGAAGAAAAUCUUGCAACGGUUUAACAUGCAAGAUUGUAAGCCAAUCUCUACCCCACUUCCUGUUAAUUUCAAAUUAUCCUCAAGUAUGUGUCCUAGCAAUAAAGCAGAGAUGAAGGAAAUGUCUCGAGUACCGUAUGCAUCAGUAGUGGGAAGUUUGAUGUUCGCUAUGAUAUGUAUUAGACUAGACAUUGCACAAGCAAUGGGAGCAGUAAGUCCAUACAUGGCGAAUCCUAGUGGAAAACAUUGGAAAACUGUGAAGAGAAUUUUGAGAUAUAUCAGAGGAACCUCAGAUGUUGCAUUAUGUUAUGGAGGAUUAGAAUUUACUGUCAGGGGCUACGUGGAUUCAGAUUUUGCAGGAGAUCUUGAUAAAAGGAAAUCCACUACUGGCUAUGUGUUUACACUUGUGGGAGCAACUGUAAGCUGGGUUUCGAAACUGCAGACCAAUGUGGCUUUAUCUACAACAAAAGCAGAAUACAUGGCAGCUACACAAGCUUGCAAGGAAGCUAUUUGGAUACAAAGGUUAUUGGAGGAGCUUGGGCACAAACAAGAGAAAAUAUCUGUGUUUUGUGACAGUUAGAGUGUCUUGCAUAUUGUACGGAAUCCAGCCUUUCAUUCCAGGACAAAGCACAUAGGAGUUCAUUAUUACUUCAUUCGAGAAGUAGUGGAAGACGGAAGUGUGGAUUUACAAAAAAUCUAUACUAAGGAGAACCUAGCAGAUGUUUUGACCAAGCCGAUAAUUACUAACAAGUUUGUAUGGAGUAGAUUCUCUUGUGGCCUUACAGAAACGAAAGCAACAUGAUAGCGGCGAAGCAGAAAGGAUGGCAUGGAGAUUGAUUGAUUCUCAAUCAAAUCUCCAAGUGGGAGAAAUGUCAAAGCCGGUGGCCUCAACAAGCCAAAUUCAAAUUGGCUUUGACAGCCACCAAUCUAGAAGAAGUAGAAUUCCACAGUAAAAAAGAAAGAAGAAGAAAAAUAAAAUUUGAAAGCAACAAAUGUUGAAGGAUUUGGCACCGCCAAGGAAGAAAGAAAAAGAAGAUAAUGGUGGUGAGACAAAAAAAAUUAAAAUAAUAGCCAAUUUUGACUAUAUAAAGGAAGCUCCUCAUUUUGGUUUUUGCAUUCACUCUUUGUGAGAGAGAAAGCAGAGAGCUUGAGUGAUUUUAAGAGCUUAAAAUUAUAAAGCUCUUGUGAGUAGAGAUUUGGUGUAUUGGGGUUCUGGGUAGUGAGCAAAAAUAUUACAGUACUUAUAAUCCUCAUAUUACUAGUAAAAUAUUUUCAUUCUGUCAUCGCCCAUGGACGUAAACUAAAAGCCGAACCACAUAAUUUUCUAGUGUUCUCUUUUGUGCUUGUUCUUUAUUUUCUUUCAAUUUCAUUUUAUCUACGGCCUUGCUUCACCCAUUAAUUUCCUAACAUUUUUCAGCCCCUAUUUCCCAAAGGUUCGAACUCAACUAGCCAGCCAAAGAAACUAUCAAGCCCCUAAAGGAUAAAUUCUCAACUCCAAUACAAAAGAAUAAUUCAAAUUAGUUAAAAGAACAGAAAAAUAAUUGUUUGGCUGCUAAGAAAGUUGAAGAAAAUGGUCAAGAUCUGGAAUUUUAAUCUUAUUCAAUUGGCUUCUGGAACAAUCUACACCUACUAACAGAUUACUUAUAUAUGUAUAUACAUAUAUAUAUACACACACACACACCCAAGCGCAGCAGCUCAGCUAAAGUUAACAAACUAACUAUUUACAACUUGCCUAACAAAAUCAUCACGUGUAUAUGCACAAGCAGCUACAUAACCACCUGGUGCUGCUGGCAGUACAUGUCAUCACCUUGUAACUGAUCGUAGAAGCUUCUGUGACCUGUGCUUUGCCGCAAAUAUGAGCCUCCUUAACAAAGUUAUAUCCUGAUAAUUAAUAUCUCGCUCCACGACCAAUAAAUGUACAGAGGAGUGGAAUUAGGGUAAGUCCUGGACCCCAAGCUUUAAAAAUGACCUUUAUCUAGGUAAUUUUAUUCUUUGCCCCCUCAGUUUCAUUUUUCGCACAUAUUGCCAGCUGCAUUAAUAAAUUUUUGUGUUUCCAUACGCCCCCCUCGAAUGAAAAUUCUGGCUUCACCAUACGCAGUCACCAGAAUACUCAGCAGAUUUGAAAGAGCCAUUACUUACUAGUAUAUAUGCGUUGAUGGAAUGAGAUGUGUUGUUUCCAUACUAUUAUAACUUAAAAAAAAAAAAAAAGAAGUCAGGGCAUACAUAUUAUACGGUAACAUUAAUAAAUGGUUUAUUAAAACAUGUUUAUUGUUAUAAAACUGAAAUAUUGGAUGGUACGUCAUAGGUCAUUACGUUUAAAUGGAGCCACCGGGACUUUGAAUGAAUGGAACAUGUAAGUCAAGAACGCGAAAGAACUAUAAUCUUAGUCAUGAAGUAUAUGCUUUCAUUUCGACCUUGUCUUCUUGCUUCUUCACAAUCUCAUUUUGAGUCAAUUGAACAAAUUACAAAUAAAUGCUUUUUGCAAGCUAUUAUUAUGCCCCAUCUCUGCACCACCGCCCCCCCCCCCCCCCAUGCUUGUUACUAGAUAUUAUGCCCCAUCUCUAACCACCACCCGCCUUGCAAUUUCUACCAUUUUAAUUUAUUGUAUCAUGAAAGAAUGUGUGGGAUCAUGCAUGCGUUUUCUUCUUGAUGGGUCUCAGCCGUGUGACUUGAUGAGUAUAUGGGCAUAUAUACAUAUCAUUGAAAGCGCCUUUCAUUCAACUUGAGAUUUUGUUUCUUUUUGUUUAGAAUUUCUCUUUCAGAUUACUGAAGGAGACAGACAUAGGAAAAGGAGAAAAAAAAAAGCUGCGGAGAAAAUGAUGAGUUUGGGAUUAAUGCGAGAAAUUUCCUAGAAGUUAUGGUGUUAUUGUGUUAUAUAUUCCAAAAUGCAAGUUGAUUGAACGGAACUUGCAUUUUUAAAUUUAAGUCAAUAGCUUUACGACUUAUUAAAGAGCAAUCUCCAAUUAAGGAGAAUUGUCAAGUGAAUGAAAGGACCACAAUGACAUUUUUUAGAAGUCUCUAACAUACUAUAUGAUCAUUUAUCUUAUUAUGAACCCUACUUUUUAUUUAAUUCAUUUAUUUUUACAAUUAUCCUUUUUAUAGUUUAAAAAGUAAUUAACAAUAAAUGUAUUGUUGCUCUCUCUCAUCUGCUCUCUCAGUAUCAUAAUCGGACUUAGUCUAUCAUCAAUGCCAGUAUGUAUCUUACACAGAGGCUGAUAAAGAAUCACAUUAAAAUUUUAGAUUUCUAGAUAUUAUAAAGGACCAGCAAACAUGAGAACCUCCAAAGAUGUAAAGAAUGGUGGAAUAACGCAGGAUAUAGGACAGCCCCACUAAGAACAUGACAGGUAAUGAUAGAGCUAUAACCACCUUGUACGAAUAAGUGUUUGCACACUAAUAUGCCAUGAGGACAUUGAAUGUAUAAAAUCACAUGGAUUGUGGCGGAUCCAAAUACUUAAAUUACGGGGGACUUGGUUCAGCAGAUCUUAAUUUAAUUUAGGGUAUUUGUUAUUUUCUUUUAUUGUUCACUUAAGCACAUUAUAUUUAAAGUCACAAAAACUCAAAUUCUAUAAUUUCUCUUAAAUUUUAAAAAAUAAUAGUAACAAAUUAUUAGACCUUAUUAUGACUAUAUUUGUAAAAGUAUCCUCUUUUUAAGUAAUUAAUCUCCACUAAAUAUCUUAAAGCUAAAAUUGUAUGCUUAUUGGAAUUUGAAUCAAUUCUCCAAAAUCACUAAAUAGCACUUUUACCAUUAAGCAUUAACCUACAAGUAUUUUACCAUGUGGAAAAUAUAUCUAAAUCCUCUUUAUUUAACUCUUUUAGAAGGAUUUUGGGAUACAUUUAAAAGAAUAAUAAUAGUCCAGAAGCGCUUACAGGUCCAUCCAUGAUUCAUGAACUCACAUAAUUGGGACGCUUCCUAAAUUAUAAGCAAUUUAAACCCUAUGGAUCUUACUUUAUUCUCUAAAUUAUGAGCAAUUCAUGUAUCUCUAUGUCUUCUCAAUAAUUGUUAAAGUAGUAGAUAAAUUUAAAAUAUAUAUAUAUAUUUCCAUUUAUAUGAGCAAUUUAAACCCUAAACUGCUUGUGUAAGCCUAAAUGGAUUUACCAAUUAAACGAUCAAGUAUCCAUGUGUUUGCUUAAUGAUUAGAAAGAGCAUGAACACCAUUUGAUUUUGAUCAUGGUGUUCAUAAUUUCAUUGUUAUAACUUUUGGCAAUUUGUUUUUUUAAAAAAAUAAAUAAAUAAGAUGUUGGAUAAAGUUCAAAUCAAAUUUUCAGCCCCUAUCUCUCAAAGAUUCAAAAUUGAAUAGUCAGCCAAAGAAAACUAUCAAGCCCUAGGGCUUUUGGCACUUAUUUAUGUGUUAUUUGUUGAAAAGAUUAUAACUGCUAAAUCUAAAGGAUAAAUUCUUAGCUCCAAUCUCUAUUCACAAGAAUAAUUCAAAUAGUUGGCUGAUAAUUAAUAUCUUCAUGAGCAAUUCAUGGACAGAGGAGCUGAAUUAUGGGAGAUCUAGGACGCCAAGCUUUAAAAAUGACCUUUAUCUAGGUCAAUUUUAUUCUUUACCCCCUCAGUUUCAUAGUUCUCACAUAUUGCCAGCCGCAUUAAUAAAGUUUGUUGUUUCCAGAUGCCUCCAUCGAAUGAAAAUUCUGGUUUCACCAUACGCAGUCACCAGAAUGCUUAGCAGAUUUGAAAUAGCCAUUACUUACUAGUAUAUAAACGUUGAUGGAAUGAGAUGUGUUGUUUCCAUACUAUUAUAACUAUAAAAAAAAAUAAGAAAAGAAUUGCAGAGCAUAUAAUAUCAUAUUGUAAUUAAUAAAUGGUUUACUAGAACACUUUUAUGGUCAUAAAACUGAAAUACUGGGUCGUACUUCAUAGGUCAUUGCGUUUAAAUGGAGCUGGUAGCGGGACUUUGAAUGAAUGCAGCAUGUAAGUCAAGAACGUGAAAUAUAGAGCGGGUGCGGGGACUUUGAAUGAUUGCAACAUGUAAGUCAAGAACGUGAAAGAACUGUAAUCUUAAUCAGAAGUAUAUGCUUUCAUUUCGACAUUGUCUUCCUCCACCUUCACGAUCUCCCUUUGGUUCAAUUAAACUGUUGUUUGUGAGAGCAAAUCCAGAAAACCAAAACGGCAGAAGACUUUGCGUUUAGAAGCUGGAAACACUUAAGCUCAACGGUACAGGAUCCUGCGUUUUGAAGAGUAAAAGAAAUACACUUCUGAACGACGUAUGGAUUUGUCGUUUAGAUUUAAGUGAUGCACGCGUAUAUCACGUGCUUGAGUUCAUCUUGCAAAGUUCGUUAGAAGUCGUUAAACGCAUGAGGAACUCACGUGAGGUGCAGAAGAUUUCUGGGUUCGUUUACAGAAGCUGUUAUGGAACAGCUGAUGUGGAAGCAAUUGAUUGGAGAGCAGAGAGAGCUGAAGAGAGAGAAGGAAGCUGGUUAUAUAAAGCUAGUUGUGGUCUUUCUUGGAUAUCUAAGCAUUACUCUGUAAUUCAUCUCAAGGAAAUCAAUAAAGCUGUGUUCUUUCCCUCCCGUGGAUGUAAGCUAGAGAAAUCUAGCUGAACCACGUUAAGAUUCUUUUGUUCUCUGUUUCAAUUACUUCCUUUUAGAUUCUUAAUUCCAAUCCGUUAAUUGUCUAGUUCCAUAGGUUCAUCUUAGUCGUAGCUUUUCAGUUAAACAUCUUGCUGCAUCUUGUUCUAUUGGGUUGAGGUCUUGGGGCAGAGUCUUGGGUUGUUUUAUCAGUCUAUAGCACCUGAGAUUCUACAAACAAAUUACGGAUAAAUGCUUGUUACUAGCUAUUAUCCCCCAUCUCUGACCACCCCUCACCUUGCAGUUUCAACCAUUUAAUUUGUUGUACCAUGAAAGUAUACGUGUUACAUGUGUUUUCUUCUUGGUGGGUCAAAAUCGUGUGACUUCGGGACCGGGACAAAUGUUAUUCAAAACGCUUUUCAUGCGACUUGAAUUUUGUUUCUUUUUACCUUAGAAUUUCUCUCUAAGAUUACUGAAGGAGACAGACAUAGGAAGAAGAAGAAAGAAAAAUAAGCUGUGGAAAAAAUGAUAUGUUUGGAAUUAAUUCGAGAAAUUUCCUGGAAGUUGUGGUGUUAAUGUGUUAUUUCAAAAUGCAAGUUGAUUUAAUACAACAUGCACACAUAAAUCUAAGUCAGUGAGUAGAAAACUAAAAUCUUAUUAACGAGCAUCACUGUUAAAGGAAAAUUGUAAAUUGUUGAGUGUCCUCACACGGACCAUUUUUUAACAUUCACUACUAUACUGCUUAAUUCUUUUUACGAGCCUCACAUUUCAGUUAAAUUUAAAAAAAUAAUUAACAACAAACAUAUUUUUACCCUCUCUCAUCUGCUCUCUCGGCAUCAUAAUUAAACUUAGUCUAUCACCACCAUCAAUUAAGAUAUAUUUUACAUUGAGGAUGAUAAAGACAUAUAUGUAUCUUCGAAUGAUCACAAUAAAAAUUUGCACUCCUAGAUAUUAUAAAGGAAUAAAAAACAUGAGAACCUCCAAAGAUGCAAGGAAUGGUGGAAUAAUGCAGGAUAAAGGACAGCCCCACAAAGAAAUUCCAAAUUGCCCAAGGUCCGAAAUACAAUACCAAAUAAACAAUUUCCCAGACAUGAAAAGAAAAUUUAGCCAGAAAACAAGCUUCCAAAGUAAGAGACAAUUUUCCAUCUUUAGAAAGUUGCCAGAAAGUUGCCAAACAAUAAAAUGCAUUGCAGGUUCUAUUGACAAAACUAUGUCCUUGAUUUCACUUGCAUGGUCUGGAAGUGCAUUAGCAAAAGAAAUAGGAAAGCUGGAAUAGACCUUUUAUCAUUGACAACCAGAUGAAGAGAAAGAGUGCAAAGACAAAAGAAACAAAUAAAAAUAACAUUUAUUUCAAUUUGUUAUUAAGGGUAAUUUUGAAAAUAAAUGGAUAAAUUAGAAAGUGGGGAUUAAUGAAAUAGAUGAAGAGAUCAAAUAUCACCUCUCAUGAUUUUAUCUUUGCAGGCCCAAGGUAAGCUUUUGGACCUCGUUUAAAGAAAAUCUUGAAAAAUAAUUAAUGAAUGGUAAUAUUUAACUCCAUUUUAUCUCACUAGACCCUAUUUCUUAAUAAAACUUUUAAAAAGGUAAAAAUAACUUAUUUUUGGCAGCAUGCACAAUGUAAUUCCAAAUUUAUCCUUAUUUUCACUGGCAUCAUUGCGUAUGACCCAUCAUUUGAAACUACAAGAAUCGAUUCAUUUUCGUUAAGUCUAGUCUAAGCUGGGCAUAUUAUCUUCUCUGCCUGCUCAAUAGUUUCAGAUAAGCUAUUUCGGCAAGACAAGUGAAGCUGUAAAGGAAAACAUCUUGCUAGAUUUGGAAACGCAUAAUUGCUCAGCAUUUUUUCUGUUGCUAAUUGCUCAACCUCUCAAAGUUUCUUUUCUUAUUUUUCUCUUGUUAAAAGCAUGCAAAAUGUAUCAAAAAAGCAAUUUCAGCAAUCGGCCAUGGAAGCAAAGCAAUCUUUUCAAACAUGCUGGCUUUUAAUGUUUUAGGCUCUGAAAUUGAUGAUAUCGGCAGAGCCUUUUACAUUUUUAUAAUUAUUGGUAAGAGAUUCGAUCUAAUUAAUUCCAAACUUCCUUAAUUAUUUUCUUUUAAAAAAAUAAAUAAACCUUAAAUGAUGCUUGAUUUAAAAAUCAAUAAAUAAAUAAACUUCAAAUUCCCUUAAUUAUUUUCUUUUAAAAGCUUGCCUUCGGGAACAUUUAUAUGAAAUGAUUGAAAUUAAUGAAUUAAUAUUAAUUUAGUAUAUAUUUUAAUUAAUUCUAUCAAAUAUUGUUUUACUUGAGAUUUUUUCGUAUACAUACUAAUUUGUCUACAUAUGUGCCCGUACUAGUAGUGUAUGUUUGAUGAGAAAUGACAUAAAUAAAUGUAUAUAAAAGGAUAUGACAUGAAUAAAUUAAUUGUAUAAAACUAUCAUAAACCUACAUAUAACUACCACUUUCAAUGUGAAUGCAGUAGUUCGUUAUUCCAAGUAUCUAAAUGCUCCUUUGACAACUUCAAUUUCAAAGCUUGAACAUUUCCAAUUCCGAGCACAAUUAAUUCGAAGCUUGACUUCUGAUUUUCCUUCCUUCUCAGUGACUGUAUAAAAGAAUAGGUAGUUUAAUUGUUUUAGCUGCAACCAAAUACUUUCUCCAUUUCUUAUUGGAAUAAUAAUUAUGUCGAGGUACCAUGGAAGAAUAAAUGCUGCUGUCUCCACUUUGCUUGUUGCCUAUAUAGUUUUGUUAGUUUGUUCAUGUCCCUUGCUUAUAGAAGCCAGAAUUCAAAAUUUCUCAGCCAUCCAAGGUGCAAAUCAAUCUUCACAACUUCAAUUAAUUUCUUGUUAAUAUUAAUCACAGUUUAAUCAUUUAUAUAGUAAUUUUAUUUUAUUAAUUAUUCUUUGCUUUGAACUUCUAAUUAUACGCGACAGGAAGUUUAGUCCAUCAAAGAAAGAAAGAAGGAUUAGACCAUCGGAGACAAAUGAGAGAACCUGGCAAACAAGAUUCUUCUCCGGUAACCGAUCCAAACCAUGGCCAACGUUGCACUGGUUGCUUGCCUUAGUGGUAGCGAGACCCAAAAUAUAUAUUAAAAAUAAUAAUGGCGCUUUCAGUUCUCUCAAAAGAAAGUUAAUUUAGUUGUUCAAUCUGGAUGCGUUUCGCGGAUUUAUGAUUUAUCAGGAACGGUCCGCAUCUCCGGAAAUUUUUUGGUUGUUCGGAGCCAGUGAUAAAUCGUUUAAAUUUCAAAAUUGAGCCGAUAACGACAGAAAAGCUGAAAUCAUAAGACUUCAGCUCGGUUCGGUAUUAUUUGUAUGCGAGAAAUAAAAUAUUCAAACAACUAAUGCAAAAAUCAAGAGUUAUUUAAUUCAGUUUAUAUAUAAUAAAUUUAAAAUGAAUUUGUAGCUCUAUCUUCGUUAUUAUAAACGAAGAGCGUUAUUCCUAUUUAUGCUCUGCUUGUAACCUUUUUAAUUACCGCUGUAUCAUCGAGUUCAUGGCCGACGUACAUAAAAAGCAAAAAUUCCGGAAUUUGCAGCUAUUAAAGAUGCAUAUCGCUACAUUCCAUUUUCACUGUAACGUGGAGCAGGGGCAAACAAGUAUUAACCCCCCAAUACUUUAAGGGAGCACGAUACGAGACUCAUGGAAUUUUUUUUUUUAUUUUAAAAAUUUAUCAUUGCACCACCUUCCUUUUACUUUAUAUUCAUUUAACCACCACAAAAUUUUAACAUGUUCUUUGCAUCACUUUUUUUUUUAAAUUUGUAUCGAUUAGCCACGUUUGCACUAACACCGUUAAAUAAUUUAAACGAAAUAAUAAUUUUACCCCUAAAUAAAUUAAAAGACCAUUUUAUCUUAUAAAAGCUUUGAAAAAUAAAAAAUUAUAAUUAUAAAAAUACCAUUAAAUUUAAUAAAAAAUAAAUUCAAAAUAGAGGCGCCUAGCUGAUUUUUAUUAAAUUUAGAUUUUGUAAAAUUUUAAUAAUUAUUUGUACUAAAAAAUUUUAAUUUUGUAAAAUUUUAAUAAAAAUAACUGAAUUUAUUUAUUAAAAAUUAUAAUUGUACAAAAUUUUAUUAAAAUAACUGAAUUUAUUUAUUAAAAAAUAAAUCCCAAAAUUUUAAUAAUUUAGGAAAUUUUUAUUAAAUCCCAAAAUUUUGCUAUUAUUUUUAUAAUUAUAAUUUUUUAUUAAAAAGAAAAUUGUUAAUUUCCGGAUUUAUUUCUUUAUUAAUGUAGGGGUAUUUUAUAAUUAUAAUUUUUUAUUUUCAAAGUUUUUAUAAAAUAAAAUGCUCUUUUGAUAUAUUUAGGGGUAAAAUUAUCAUUUUUUAAAAAUUAUUUAACAAUGUUAGUGCAAAAAUGGUUAAUUGAUAUAAAUUUAAAAAGAAAAGUGGUGUAGAGAACAUGUUAGAAUUUUGUAAUGGUUGGAUGAAUAUAUGACAAAAAAAUGUGGUACAAUGAUAAUUUUUCUUUUAUUUUUUCAACUUUUAUCUUUACUCAUCACUUGGGAGUCUAGCUAGACAGAAUUUGAGGCUAGAUCCCCGGAUGAAUUGGAAAGUCCACGGCUGGGUAGGAUGCGUAGCCAGGGGGCAGUAGAGGAGGCGCACAUAUUGACCUGCUAGUCUUUUUUUUUCUAGAAAAUCUUUAAUCACAAAAUUUUAUUUUCCCUAAUAACAAAUUUUUAAAAUUGACUUUAAAUAAAAUAAAAAAAUAAGUUCUUAUAUUUUCUUCGCCAAAAUUAUUUUAAUUGUGUAUGUUAAAUCUAAAAUUAAAUAAAAAUAUUUGAGGAAAAUCAAAUUCGUCUAAGUAAACUAGAUUUACCUCCAAUAGAUAUUAAGUCUAGCUAUGCUACUAUAGCGGGGGAAAUAGAAAAUCCGCUACUUUAUAAAUAUAAUUCAACACCACACUGUAGUUUAAAUACUGUGAUUUAGCCUAUGUACGGAGAUGGUUUUUUUUUUAAUCAAUUUGAAUUCGGAUCUUCUUCUAAUCUCAUUUUUUUCUUAAAUUUUUUGAAAUUCUUGAGACAAGAGAAAAUCGUUUUAGAAAAACAAUGUCUUAAAUUAGAAAAGUAAAAUAGCAAAUUUUCAUAAACAAAUCCAAGUCUUCUCUUUCAUUCACUAUUAUUAUUAUUAUUAUUAUUAUUAUUAUUAUUUUCUCCUAAUCCACUUUCCUUAGUUUUCUGCCUUCAUCAUCUUCUCCUUUCGAGAUUCAGCAAUGGCAGCUAUGGGCAAGAUCUCGACAAAUAUUUAAACUAAAGCCAUAUGGUAACAAAAGUUAUAAGAAUUGAAAUAUAAAGCCAUAGGAUAAAAUAGUUAAUUUAGUUUUGUAAGACUUCAAUAGACAAACAAGAAAAAGAGAAAGUACAUGUGUUUUAACAUAUUGAAUGACAAGCAAAAAAACAAAUAUUAUUUACCUCAGAUUUUAUAAGACUUGGGAUUUGUAUCAACUGAGCUUGUCCCAUUUUGGAGCAAAACACAAAUGAAUAUGAAUAUGUACCAUGUAAUUAACAGGAAUAAUUCUUAACUCCAAUUCAAAAGAAUAAUUCAAAUUAUAUUCUGAUAAUUGAUAUCUCCAUGAGCAAUAUAUGUACAGAGGAUUGGAAUUAUGGAGGUCCUGGACCCCAAGCAUUGAAUAUUGAGUAAAUGAACUUUAUCUAGGUAAAUUUUAUUCUUUGCCCACUCAGUUUCAUAGUUCUCACGUAUUGUCAGCUGCGUUAGUAAAGUUUGUUGUUUCCAUGUUAUUAUAACAUGAAAAAAUAAAACGAAUUGCACAGCAUAUAUAUUACAUAUUAACUAGAGUUGGCAACAAUACCCACGGGGCUCCAAACCUGCGGGGCCCCGCUUAAUUUGGGGUGAGUAUGGGGCCCCAAAAAAGUCUGAAAAUAAAUUUGGGUCUAUUUGGGUAUGAGUCUAAAACCCCAAAACGUUUCAGGUUCGGGUUUGGAGAUUUUCCGGAUCCCCUAACUCAACCUGAAAAUAAAAACAAAAAAAAAAAUCUAAUAUUUUAAACUUUGAAAUUAGAAAUUGUAAUGCCAUCGAAUCAAAUUUUUUCCCCCAAAAGAAACCCUAACAGUUCGUGAGCUGCCGUCAUCACUAACAGCCGGUCAGCCGCCACCGUUCGUCGUCACCGACCAACACUCAGCUGCACUUGUUGGUUCUCCUGCAGCAAGGUUUUUGCCUUUUCUACUUUUCUUUCUUUGUUUAUUUAUUUCGAAUUGCAUCUGGUUUCAUUGAUUUGGGUGUCUCUGUGCGUGUGUUUGUUUGUCAGUAAUGAGUCAUUGAGUUGCAUCUGAUUGUCAUUUUUAGCACUUCCUUUGGAUACUGGCUGCAAUUUGUUUGUCAGUAAUAUUAGCUUUAUUAGUUUGCCUGUGCUAUCAACUGAAACUUUAAGGGUUUAAUUGGUUUAUAGCUUGGGUAGUCAUGAUUUUCUUUUAGCUCUGUGUUAAAUUUCCAGGGUUUAAUUGCUUGCUUGCAUAUUGCCCGCUUGCUUUUCUUUUCUUUUGGCAGCUACGUGAGGGAACCAAAAUGAUAGACAGGUGACACAAAACAAUUUACAGAACCCCUUUUUUUUUUAGGUUUGGAACACAUGAAUUAUUUGCAUAGCAACCAUUAGAGGUGUAAAGAAACUAGUUUAGCACUUAAGAUUUGGGCUAGAGUGGAAUUUCCACGUACGGCAAUUAAGGCAGCUCAAUCCACUGUAGAAUUCUUUAAAAAACAGGAAAUAUGGAAACAUUAUAUAUGCAUGCAUUACUCUUACGCAUCAUUUUAUGUGCCUCUUUAGUGUAUUUAAAAAUGACUAAUGGCUCUAUGUUAAUAAUCUAUGUACUAUGCAAGUGGCACUUUUUAUCUGAUAUUUAUUCUCGUUUUUGCAUUAUUCUUAACAUUUUCCUUUAGCUAGCUAGUUUCGAAGCUGAAGGAAUUUAACUAGUUCUAUUUUAGUUUGCUGAAACAUCCAAGAGGACAUUUUUUAUUUAUUAUUUUAAUUAAUUAAUUUACUUUUGUUGAGCAGAAUAAUAAAUUGAGGUAUUGACAAACUUGGGUAAUAAUAUUUCCUUUGGCAUUCUUUAUGGGAUCCCACUGCCCCUUCUGCUGAUUUGGGUUUGUUCAGAACCAAAGCCAUCCUGCUUUUUGAAAUAUUAUUGGUUUUCACAUCUGGGGGUACAGAUUUUGCUCUUGCUUUUAGUUCAGGUGAUAAAGACACACCAUUAAUGCCAGCUUCUUGCUUUGGCGACUCUCUAGUUUUAGAGUUGGCUCUCAAACGAGACGUCGUUGUUGCUGCUGUGGAGUGUGACAUGCUGUUGGUUUUGCUUAAUUCCUGAUGCUGCUUCAUGGGCUCUUGAAUAUCUGGUUCUUUAAAGAUAAACAGAGAAAGAGCAUGCAAUUAAUUGCAAAUUAUGAGACUGUUGCAAAUUAUGAGACUGCUGCAAGUUAUGUAAGGAAAUGACAACUGUUCUGUUAGCUGUUUUAGGUGAAAGUGAGUUCAGAGUGGAAAUGACAACUGUUCUCUUACUCUAAAAUUCUUCAAACCCAAAUCAGCAGAAGGGGCAGUGGGAUCAUAUUUUUUAGGAGAAAUUUAAUAACUUCCAGAAUUUAGUUUUUAUAUUACCUUUGGCAUUCUAUAAGUCAAUUAAGCAUCAUUAACCAUUAAAUAUAACUAGAAAUUAUAGAUGCUCAAUUAGUAAAUGUUCGUUGCAGCCAAAGAAUAAGCGAGUAUUUGUAUUUUAUCUCUUAAAUAUCUUAGUACUAGUUGGUUUUAAAUCCAGUACAUGGUAAAAUCAGAUUUAAUGUUUUGUAUCUGCAUAGUUCUUAAUUGUUUGCUUCUAGUAAAAUGCUAGUUUUAUUUUCAUUUUAAAAUUUUGCUUAUUGGCUUGAUGGAAGGUGAAUGGUGAUAACUAUCCUAUAUUGUCUCAAAUUGCAAGAGAUAUUUUGGCUAUUCCAGUUACCACUGUUGCUUCUGAAUUUGCUUUCAGCACUGGUGGUCGAUUUGUAAGCCCAUAUCGCAAUAGACUUCAUCCAAGCACAUUGGAGGCUUUGAUGUGAAGAUUGAAACAGAUGUAGAGGCUAUAUAGGUAUAUAGUUUUAGUUUAUAUUAUCUUGUCUAGUAUUUAUUAAGUUGAAUUGUUAAAACAUGUUUUUAUUAAUUUUUUUUUUGUUUAUGUUGUUAUAGGUUUAUGAAGAAUCUUAGAAUGUGCAUCAAUGGUGAUGGCUACAAGUUUAUGUUGAAGACUUAAAAUUAUUUUGAUUUGUCAUAUAAAAUUUAAUCAUUGUAAUUAUGUUGAAGGAAUAUGGAGGUUUUUAGAAUUAUUAUUAUUAAAAAAAAGGAAAACUGAAAUAUUUAGAAAUUAUUAUUUAAAAAAUGGGGAUCAGGUCCCCGUUUUAAUCCCCGCUCAAUUCGGAGAUUUUCAGGGAUAUACCUAAACAAUUCCCCAUUACAAUUUUUCUAGUAUGGGGCGGGUUCGGGGGAUUGCUUCUAAAUUGGGUUUGGGUUCGGGGAUCAUGAUCCCCACCCGAACCCACCCCAUUGACAUCCCUAAUAUUAACAUAAAUAAUUGGUUCAUUAAACGAAUUGGUUCAUAAAUAAUUGGUUCAUUAAGUUUGUUGUUUCCAUAUUAUUAUAAUAUGAAAAAAAGGAGCAUAUAUAUUACAUAGUAACGUAAAUAAUCGGUUCAUUAGAACAUGCCUAUUGUCAUAAAACUGAAAUAUUAGGUAGUCCUUUAUGGGUUAUUGCGUUUAAAUCGAGUUGAUACUAGGACUUUGGGCUUGUUUGGUAAUAUUGUAUCUUUUAAAAUAAUUGUUGUUAGCUAUGCUAUAGAAAUAAUCAACUGUCAAGAGAAUCAAUUAAAUAUUUAGUAAAAUUUGUUUAAAAGUUCUGAGAGUUUUAAAAGUAGUUAUAUGUGUUUGGUAAUCUUACUUUAAACUGCUGCAAGAAUAUAGAAAAUUAAAUUGGACAUAACGUUGAAUACAAUUUAUUUACACAUUUAUAAAAAUAUAUAUAUAUAAUAUUUGAUUGUGUAUAUAUAAAAAUUAAUAACUAAAAUAAAUAUUUUAUAUUAUUAAUUUCAUUUUUUCGGGUCCUUUGAAUUAAUUUUAACUUUUCAAAAUAACUUUUGAACCUCUUAAAAGUAAUCCCAAAACAGGUCCUUUGAAUGAAUGCAACAUGUAAGUUAAGAAGGCGAAAUAUAUAUAGAGCCACUAUCGGGACUUUGAAUGAAUUCAAUAUGUAAGUCAAGAACGUGAAAGAACUGUAAUCUUAAUCAUGAAUUAUAUGACAUUAUUUCGAGAUUGUCUUAUUGCUUCUUCACAAUCUCAUUUCCGUUCAAUUAAACAUAUUACAAAUAUAUGCUUGUUACUAGAUAUUAUGCCCCAUCUCUAACCACCACCCACCUUGCAAUUUCUACCAUUUUAAUUUAUUGUAUCAUGAUAGAAUGCAUGCGAUCAUGCAUGUGUUUUCUUCUUGGUGGGUCUAAGCCGUGUCACUUGAUGAGGAUAGCUGAGAAAUGGAUAGUUGAUUAUGAAAGCACCUCUUGCUAGUAUUUGCGAACUUCUCAGCUAUAAAUAUCGUGGUUGAUAUUUAUAUACAAUCAAUUUGAUAUAGUUGUCUGUGAUUUAAUCCACAUAAUUUAAUAGCUUUUCUGGACUUUAAUGGAGUCCAGGCCUGGACCAGAUCAACACUCAUACAUAUAUUACGUAUGCCCCUUAAUUUUCAAUAUCGAUGCUAAUCAAGUUUGUAUUUCUGCAUUGUGGUCCUUAUUUUAUGUCAUAGCAAACUUAAAUUUGUGACUUCUUGAUUUUCGCUCGCCCCACAGACACACCGGGCCCCCAAAACUAGAAUCCUUGUUUCGACCCUGAAAACUGCGUAAGAUCUUAAUAGGAGACGCUAAUACUGGCAAGAGAUACUUUCAAAAUUAUUGAAUUAUAUGUAAAUUUUGAAUUUAUAUGGCUGAAUUUACUAAUUUCUUAACCAUAACAUAAUGUUAUUAAAAGUUGGUGACAAUGUGCUUUGGAAGCAUCAUUUCUUGUGGUUUGAUACCACUUGUGCGCAAACCGAAAUCAAUAAGCACCAAAUUUUCAUAGAAAAAUAAUAGACACAAAAAUUUAAUAUGGUUCGGCAAUAAAGUCUAUGUCCACGAAGGAAAGAGAGAAUAAUUAUUUUACUAACAAUUAACAGAGUACAAAUUUGAGUAACAAAACCUUAUCUUCCCCAAUACCUAAAUACACUUAGUACUCUUAUACAUCUCAAAGAAAAUAAUUUUCUCAAGACACAUAUUUUCUCAUAUCUCUACAAAUAAUGUAGAACUGAACUGAACACCCGAGGAAACGCUCUCCCAAACUUUCUAAUAGCUCACUUGCAGAUACUCCCUUUCUCUGGACUGUCUCAUAGAGAACUCUCUUUGCACUCUUAGAGAGCUCUUCAUCUAAGCUCUCUAUAAUCCUACAUUUUUGGGAUGCUUUCACUAAACGAAAUGGCUUGGCAUUUGUAGGAAAGUUUCACCAAACAUGUGACUUUUGACUUUUUAACAAGGGACUUGAUCGAGUUAUUUUUAAACAAUUUUCUUUAACUGACCAUUCAAGUUUGAAUUUUAAGGGAAGUAAAAACUAAAAUAUCAAUUUUAAUACACACACACGCUCAAAUGUAUAAUCAUGGCACUUUCUCUCAAAGAAAAUUAGUUUAAUUGCUCAAUCUAGAUCUUUUUUUCAUGGAUUUAUCAAGAAUGGUCCUCAUCCAAUGCCCAUGAAUGCUUUAGGUUGUGUGGAGCUAGUGGUAUGAACUCUGAAUCGCACUGUCUUUCACUGCUUUUGUUGAUUAGACGUACUGACGUUCGUUGUGGGCUGAAAUGGCUAAAAAAUGUCAAAGUCGUGUCAUGACGUUCGUUGAUGGAAAAGUUCCAGCACAACCUGAAACUAAACAAUGCAUUGCAUGUCUUACUUUAAAAAGGAACUUUUCCAUCACAACAUCCACGCAGAGAUAUCUUUUUCAACGUUAACAUGCAAUUUAAUCUACACCUAACAUUCUGUGCUUAAACAAAAGAAAUUGGAUGCAUUUCAAUUUUCUAGAGAAUAAACCGUUUUCUCUUACUCAGCUUAUAAACUUAUCAAAAAGCAUUUCACAUACAACUUUAAUAUUGGUAAGACAAAAAAAAGGUCAUUUAUAUCAAAUAAUAUCGUUUAAGGAUCUAUUUGCUCUCCACCCUAUAUUCUAGGGAAUAUUCCCCUAGAAUAAAGCAUGGGCCGCAGCACAACUGCCCCAAAUGCUCGCUAAAUCAAAUAAUUCUUACUAUUGAUAGUCAAAGGAGGAUCCAAUUCUAAUUUUGAUAACUGCAAACUCUCAAAGUAAAACUCUUUAGCAAAAGUCCCCUUCUUCUACAAAACCAAAAGCAAAAAUAAUAAUAAUUUAUAAAAUAAAAUCCAAUUUCUAACAUGAUUAUUUAUUGAUCAUCACUGGUUCACAAAACUCAAACAAAAAUACAAAGUCUCAUACAAUUGACUAGUAUUGCCUCUCUGUUACUCAGAAAAAAGUUUAUUAAAUAUAAAAUUUCAUAUAAAAAAGUUUAUUGAGUUGUGUGAUUAGUUUUAUGCUGAAUCCCGCAAAUUGCUUUGACAGUUCUAGUCCAUUAAAGAAGAACUCUCUAAUCUUCAAUGCCUGAUCUAUAAAUAAAAAUCAUAAACGCAUUAUUGGGGCAACUCGGAAUAGGCACGAACCGGUUUGGGUCGGUGUUUGCUCAAGCUUCCAGACCGGUUUAACCAGUUGUAAUAUGAACCCGACCGGGCGAGCUUCGUAACAGAUCGAACCCCAUCAAAUUGGAAAAUUCCGGUUCAUUUCGGCUAGGUUACAUGAUUACAUCAGAUCAGGUUCAGACAAGAGAAAGGAAAAAAAGAAAUCAAGGUGCUCAGUGACAAUUUGAAUUAUUUGUUUAUAACAUUUUACAAACAAUCCAUUAAGAAAUCAAACCUAAGAAGACCUAAAAUCAUGGCUCAAUUUCCAGAAACUGAAAAUACAAAGCCACAACCUCAAAAGUAAAUCAAUCACAGCCGCCGACUAGAAGUGACACACGAUGCCAAGGAAGAUGGAUGACGGCCUAAAGUUAUAUAGGAGUUCUUACUUUAGGUAGUGUUUGUUUUUCACUUAUCUGAAUAGAUCUGAAUUUGGUUGUAGUAUUAAGAGGAGGUGGCACUACGAGCCGAAGCCUUCGAAACAGUCAUCCAAGUACCUAAAUUUGACACACAUCUCAGGCAUUCCUCAGCAAUCUUUGCUCCUGCAAGACCAAUGCAUGCUUGUAGCUGAUGUUGAUAGCUCAGGUAAACAAGAAAAAAUCAAUUCUAGGACCUUUCUCGUAUAUUUAUUAAAUAUGCUAAACUCUUGUGUGACUCAGUAUGUUAUUUCGAAUGCGGGCUAGGGCCAUGCAAGUUAGCCAUGUUUUAAGAGUAGGCUGCUUCACAAACGUACAAGAAAAUCAACUGGAUGGACCAAUGGUCAAAAGGAAGAUAGGACUACAAAUACUGUUACUGGUUCUCCUAAGUAGUUAAAGUGAAGAGUCUAUUUCAGUAGUGCAAUAAAUAGUAGAAAAUAUGGUGUCUAGUUUCUUCAACUGGAUGCUAUAAAUCUAUCAUUUGUUGCUGCUUUAGUGGGAGCCUUAAUUUAUUAAUGAAUGUCUGUUAUUAUGUACUAAUGGUGAUAAAUUAACUCAAUUUAUGCCUGACUAAUAACCAUUUGCACUUCUCUACUGAUGAAUCAAUGUAUCCUAAGUGACUGAAGUUGCCGACUCCAACACUUAGGAGUAACCAAUAAGAAUAUCAACAUUCAGUUUCAAGAUGCAGAUGGGUUGCUUGAGGACAAGAGGCAAAUUGGAUUCAGAAUGAAAUGAUUCUUGGCUAUAGUUAAUUCAUCAUCAAUGUUCUCAAUAGGAAAAAUCAAUCAUUCUGUUCAUUUGCUCUCUUUGUCUUUGUUAAUUAUGCCUAUAUUUUCCAUAAUUAAUGAGUUGAUUUGUAAAUGUAAGUAUAUUACUGCCUAUUCAAUACUCUUCACACAAAUAUAAUCUCAGUUCCUGUUUUUCUGACAAGAUCACAGUUAUAGAUUAUGGAAUGGAACAAUAUUUUCUUCAAAUAAUGAGAUCCUACAAAAUUUGCUGCCUCGCUGUAGGCAGAUUAUAACAUAUCCAUGCCGGUGCGAACUAUCAUUUCACAAUCUCAUUACACAAUGCCACCAACUACUUUUGAACUCCUAAAGGUACUUGAAUCGCAGGCGUUUCAAGAAUAAUUGAUUCAAGCUCUCCAAAGUGAUUUUCUAGACAACUGCGGUCUGAACUUUGAUUUUGCAAACCCAUUACAUUGGAGCCAGCUUCAGCGUGCUCACUCUGUUCCGCUGCUUUCUCAGUCAAUAUAUCAUCAUGAAACAACUUCAGGGCAUCUGUUGUUGAAAGAGAAUGCAUAUAUUCAUGCAGGUUCUGGAAUUUGUUUCGUUUCUCUUGUAUUUCAAUCAACAUCUCUUUCAGCUCAUUGAGAAGGCAAACCAGGGCACUUCAAGAAGGAAAAACCAUAAUCUAAUUAAACAAAAUACGCAUACAUGUAUAUAUCUCAUGAACCCAAGAAAUUCAAUUUUUUUACGCAAAGCUACAUACGACUUAUAUUUAUAUAAUUUUUUUCAUUUUCUUAUUAGCAUACCUGGUAACACCUCUAACUAGACCCCAAUUGUAUCCAGAAUGAAAUGACUCCUUAAAGCCGAUAUUAAAUCCCUCUUGUGCAGAGGCUUCUUUCCCUGCAAAAAUCCAUCACGAUAUCCAAUGUAGAGUUUCAACGAUGAUAUUAGUGUAGGUUUGGAAAGUAUCAUACCUUUGCACAAAGGAAAAAUAUGAAGACAAAAUUAACAUAUAGUGUGGAAUUGAUCACGUCUCCUCUGCCACUCUCUGUCUAAAUUAGUCUCUCUAUCAAACUCCUCAUUAGAGCCACCAGAAUAAAGAUCCAUCAUCACCAUCCAGCAAAUCACCUCAAUCACAACCUGAAACUAAACAAUGCAUAGCAUGUCUUGCUUUAAAAUUAGAGAUUAACAUAUAGUGUGGAAUUGAUCACGUCUCCUCUGCCACUCUCUAUCUAAAUUCGUCUCUCUAUCAAACUCCUCAUCAGAGCCACCAGAAUAAAGGUCCAUCAUCACCAUCUAGCAAAUCACCUCAAUCACAACCUGAAACUAAACAAUUUACAGCAAAUCACCUCUAAUCUUUAAACUUUAAUUGCGUAAACUGUUUGUUAACCGUUCAGAUUUUUGUAAAAUAACUGUGACCACCCUUAGAGUUUCCGCCUUGGCCGUACAGCAGUGGACCCCAAGCAUUGAAUAUUGAGUAAAUGAACUUUAUCUAGGUAAAUUUUAUUCUUUGCCCACUCAGUUUCAUAGUUCUCACGUAUUGUCAGCUGCGUUAGUAAAGUUUGUUGUUUCCAUGUUAUUAUAACAUGAAAAAAUAAAACGAAUUGCACAGCAUAUAUAUUACAUAUUAACUAGAGUUGGCAACAAUACCCACGGGGCUCCAAACCUGCGGGGCCCCGCUUAAUUUGGGGUGAGUAUGGGGCCCCAAAAAAGUCUGAAAAUAAAUUUGGGUCUAUUUGGGUAUGAGUCUAAAACCCCAAAACGUUUCAGGUUCGGGUUUGGAGAUUUUCCGGAUCCCCUAACUCAACCUGAAAAUAAAAACAAAAAAAAAAAUCUAAUAUUUUAAACUUUGAAAUUAGAAAUUGUAAUGCCAUCGAAUCAAAUUUUUUCCCCCAAAAGAAACCCUAACAGUUCGUGAGCUGCCGUCAUCACUAACAGCCGGUCAGCCGCCACCGUUCGUCGUCACCGACCAACACUCAGCUGCACUUGUUGGUUCUCCUGCAGCAAGGUUUUUGCCUUUUCUACUUUUCUUUCUUUGUUUAUUUAUUUCGAAUUGCAUCUGGUUUCAUUGAUUUGGGUGUCUCUGUGCGUGUGUUUGUUUGUCAGUAAUGAGUCAUUGAGUUGCAUCUGAUUGUCAUUUUUAGCACUUCCUUUGGAUACUGGCGUAAAUAAUAUCAGGUAAUCUUCAGGUUGCAAGUAAAUAUAAAUUUUUUUUAUUUUCAAUUAAUUGAUAAAAGAAAAUUUAUAUUAUAAUGGAUAAAAAUCUCACAUUUAAUAAAGGGAUCAUUGGAUUUAAUAUUAGAAUCUUCACCCUUAAUUUAAUUUUAAUGGAUAAGUAAUUAUGUAACAAGUAAUCUACAAGUUGUGAUAUUUAUUCAUACUUUAAAUUAUUUUUUAUCUAAUCAAUUGAUAAAUAUUUUAAAUCACCAAAAAAAUGAAAGAAAUACAAAUAAUUUGGAAUUAAAAUUAUUAUUAAUUCUCUCACUUUACCAUUUUGCAUUUUUUUGCUUUCACAUUUAGUAUUAGAAAUAUAUUUAAUAGCAUUAAAAUAAAUGAAUUAACAAGUAAUGUUAUUUCAAUAAUACUUUAUAUAAAGAUAUUACAUAAAGUCUUAUAAUAAUUUGUAUUGUAUGAAUUUAAUUACAAACCAUUAAUACCUAAACAAUAAUGAUAAUAGAAGGCAUUGCAAUAAACUGUUAGCCUAAAGGGCUACAAAUGUUGAUUUUGAUGAUAAGAAACCACAUGUUUUGGAUAAACAAAGAUUUAUAUAUUGUGCUUUAAUAACAAGAAAAUGAUUUUUAUGAAAUUAAAUUUUUCUUCAAGAUGUAAACUAAAAUGAAAGAGUUUUGCCAUCUUUGAUUUUAAUAAAUAUUAUGUUGAAUUUCGGAUUUGGACCUAUUUGAAAAUAUUUAAAUAUUUUAGGUCAUUCUAUAAUUUCAUAUAUUUUGGGCCAUAUCAUAAUUUCUAAAAGUUUUGAGAAUAACAAAGCAUUAUUUAGAAAUUCUGAAAUUGAUCCUAUUUAAAAAUUUUCAUAACAUUUUGGGCCAUAAUAUAGUUAUAUAAAGUUUUGAGAUAAAACUAUAAUUUAAGAAAAUAGUUCACUGUAGCAAGCGGCUAACAGGAUUUGACCAGCGGUAGACCGAAUUUUCAGCAGUAGCUUACUGAAAUGAAAGCGGUUAUCCGGAUUUCGAAAGCGGCAUACCGGAUGUUCUAAAAUUCAAAUAUUUGUUGUAACUGUAACAUAAAAGCAGCUAACUGGAUUCCGAAAGCAGCAAGCCGGUUAUCAUCAGAAAACACAUAACAACUAGUUUUUGGGCUCAAACUAUAUAAACUCAAAUCCAAUUCAUUUUCAAGCUCUCUUGCAAGUAAAAACAAAAAGCACACAACAUAUAUUGAGCUCUCAUUUCGCAAAUUAUUAUACAUUAAAUCAUCUUUGUUCUUCAAUUUGUAUAUUUACUUUUUAAGAGAGAGUUUUUGUUGUAAUUUUCAUUUCCUCAUUAAAUUUGUGAAUGUUUAAGUGUGUGAGACACUUGAAUGAAGAGAUUGAGAGAUAAUCUCUUUGUUGUAAAGGUUCAUUAAUACCUUAGAAGUCAAUUGUAAGCAUUUGAAGUCUUGGAAGGCUUGGAUAGUGAAAUCCUCAAGCUUGGAUUGCUUGGAGGCAUAGAUAUAGGCGGAGAUUGCCGAACCACGUAAAAAUCAUUGCGUUUGUUUUCUCUUCCGUUACUCAUUUAUUAUUUUGCCUUUAUUGAAUUUAUUGUUUUCGAAUUUAUUAAAGCAUUAGAUUGGAUUGUUAUGUGGUUUGGUUAGGAUAAAUUUUAAAAUACCAAUUCACCCCCCUCUUGGAUUGCAUAACUUGUAUUCCAUAAACUUUUUUAGAUAUGUUUUACUAAUAAUACAAUAUGAGUCACAACAAAUGAGAAAUAUUUUACACACCAAUUAUUAUUGAAAAGUACAUAUGUCUAUAUAACUAUAGAAUGAGAAAUAUUUUGAUUUAAAUUUUUAACCAAAAUUAAACUAUUUAUUUCAUGCAAUUCAAUGGUGGAGGAUAUAACAUUAUGAAAUGUUGCUUUGACUUUCAAUAUCAACCAUUAGACUAUGAGAUAUUAAUGUCUUAAAUAUUGUGUCAAAAUUUUAAGUUAAAGUAUCUCAAAUCAUGUCUUUAUAAUGGAAAUAUAAAAACAUACAAUGAUUUUUUUUCUCAUUUUGUCCAUUAAAUAUUAUUUGAUGUAAUAUUUUAUUUAUUGUCACUAUUAAUUAUCAUAAUAGAAGUAAUGACUCUUUGUAACAUAAAAAUUUUAUAAUUACUAUCAAAGAAUAACAAUAAAAUAAUCUUUCAUGAUUGAUAAACUAAAGUUAAUUAGGAAUAUGUGUUAGAUUUAACUUUUAUGAAAUUAACAAAGUGACAUUUAAAAAUAAAAUGAAAACAAGUUUGUGAAAGUUAAAUUUUAUAAGGCUCAGAUAAUUUCCUACCAUGUAAAUAAAAAUAUAAAAGAUUUUCUUUCAUAUUUUUCCCACAUAAAUAUUAUUGGAGACAAUAUUUUAUUUAUUGUCACUAUUAAUUAUCAUAAUAAAGUAAUGACUCUUAAUAACAUAAAAUUUAUAAUUACAAUCAAAGGAUAUCAAUAAAAUAAUAUUUCAUAAUUCAUAAACUAAAGCUUAUUAGGAAUAUAUAUUAGAUUUACCUUUUAAUGAAAUUAACAAAAUGGUAUUUGAAAAUAAAAUGAAACUAUAUAGGCUUAUAAAACUUAAAAUUCCUAUCAUGUAGGAAUAUUAAUUGUAAGAUAAACAAAAAGUUCAGAGAAUAAAUAUGUUAAAUAGGUGUUAAAAACAAUAAAUACUUCAUGAUCAAUUAUGUAAUGGUCCUUAAUAUUAUAUAAAAUAAUGAGUAUUUUAAUAUACGAUAUUAAAUUUUAUUAAAACAUGUGUGAUCAAGUAUUUUUUUUUUAUAUCAUAAGCAAUCUCACCAAUGAGUUUAUUGAUGUAAUUAUGACAUUUACUUAAGUAUAUGUACUUAGUUGUGUUAUUUAUUAGUGUUAUAUCAUAUAUAAAUUUUGCAAUUGUAACUUAUUUAUUUGAUUUGAGUUAAAUAACCUACUUGAUAUUAUAUUUUAAACUUAACAGUAAUAGAUUUUGGAAGAUUUAUUUAAAAGAGAUUACUACAUUUCAAAUUUAAAGGAGGGUUGAAAAGUAAUUUUAAAUAAAAUAUGUUGAAAUUGCUUCAAACUCUAAGGGUGGUCAUAAUUAUUUUACAAAAAUCCUCUACCUUUAACGGUUAGCAAACUGUUUCCGAUUAUUUUUAAAUUAUUUAUUUUUUCUUUACUACAAAUAUUGUGUACCAUUGAUUAAAUCUAAUGGUGCACAAUUAAAACAUUAUUGAUGUUGCAAAAAAAAAUUACAGCAUAAUAGAGGAACCCAAAUAAAAAUCAUGAACUCAUUAUUGGGGCAACUAGGAAUAAGCACAAACCAGUUUGGAAUGGUGUUUGCUCAAACCGAUCCAAACUAGUUUGACCGGUUGUACUAUGAACCCAACCGAGCGAGCUUCGUAACAAAUCCAACUACAUCGAAUUGAAAAAUUUCGGUUCGUUUUGGCUGGCGGAAAUUUUUGUUUUGGCUUCUCCCCCGCAUUUGUAGCUUGUCAGCCCCACUUAUUCUUCUUUAUAUAUUGUUUUCAAAACCUAAAUUUAAUAGAAAAUUUCAUCUAACCCUCAAGUUUUUUUAAUUACUUAACUACCCAAAUUUAUAAAACUUUGGGCUUGUACCACCCAAAUGAGAUGGACCUAACAAUUAAAGGUUCCCAACGAACCGGACGGCACGUUGCAUGGCAUGGGCACGGCACGAGCACGUUUCAGCAAGGCACGCGGCACUGUACGACACACACGUGGGUCUUAAAAGCACGGCAUGUUUAGCGGUGGGCCAAAGCACGGCACGCAAAAUGGCACGUAAUAAGCAUGCUUUGUUGGUGGGCUAGCACGCGACCUGUGGGCCAUUAAUAGAACGUGGGCAAAAGUAUAUUAAAGUAAUUUUUUAAUAAAAAGUAAAAAUAAAAUGUUAUGAUUUUAUAAAUAUUUUAAAAUUAAAAUUUUUAAUAUAUUUUAUUAAAUUAAUUUUAGUUUUAAAAAAAUUCUAAUUGUUUUAUGUUUAUCAUUUAUUAAAUAAAUAAAUAAAUAUCAUAAUUUUAAUAAACAAAAUUAUAAAUAUCACGAUUUUAUAAAUGAUAUAUCAAAAUUUUACGACAAUUGAUAUUUCAUUGAAAUCGUUACUUAGUUAACGGUGAUAUGUUUCAUUUGUGAUUUGUGAAUAAAAUGUUUUUCAUAUUUAUACACAAAAAAAUAAAAUCAUGAACGAAAUAUUUUUUAUUUUUUAUGAUAAAUAAAAAGUUGCAUUUUCAUUAAAUGGAGUUCAAGUCCAAUUAUAAUAUUAAUAAUUCAAAUAAAAUUAGGUGUAAUUUGCUUCACUGCAGUUCAAAUAAUAUUGUUGUGUUAUAAUUGAAUUAGUAAUUGUAAAAUUAAAUAUUUAAAUAUAUAGUUACAAAAUUAUGAUAAACUAAUAAUAAAAUAUUAAUUAUUCUCUUAAUAGUUAAUAAAAAUUAUUAUUAUUAUUGUUGUUGUUGUUGUUGUUAUUAUUGUUAUUAUUAUUAGAUGGGCCGAUAAGCUUGGAAAAGUAUGUUAGGAACGUGGACUUAAAAAAGUACGUGGGCUUGAAGAAAAAAAAAAUUGAUAGGCUUUUUUUGGAUACGCCCGAGCACGGCACGUGAGCUCAUUCUGUGGACCUUGCUAGGCUUAACAAAAAAAAAAGGCACGGCACGACCCACCAAUACUGGCCUAUGAAUCUUCACAGGCCUUGGUUUGAUUGUCAGCACGCCCGUUGGCCACCUUUACCAACAAUACGUAGUUGAAUUGUUGGCAUGGCAUGUCGAGCCCCGAAUUAUUCCUCCUUGCGUCGGAAACAAUUGUCACCAACGUAAACGUUAAAAAUGUCUUUGAAAUUAACGUCGUCCUUAAUUGAUAUUUUCUACAAUUGACUGACUCCAACAUACGGCUUCUUAAUUUGAAUGUUGACAAUUUCAAGUUCGAAAGAGGUAAUAUAUAUAUAUAUAUAUAAGCAUCCACAUAGAACUAACACUUAUAUUGUCAGUUGAUUCUUCUUCAACAACCAAAAUACUCAUAUUUGUUUCUUCUUAGUUAUCAUCCCAUAUAUAAGUAAGACUGAAGGAAAAUGCUCAUAUUUGUUUCUUCUUAGUUAUCAUCCCAAAACUGCCAUAUAAGUAGGACUGAAGGACCAAAUUAAACAACAUCAAGCAUUUCACAAAAAUUUACUUUGCAAACAAAACUUCAACUGUUCAACACAGAGUCAAUGGAUUCUUCUUCAUUAACCCAAAUGCUCACAUUGCCAUCAUCAUUGCCUGUCAUUUUAACUUCUCUUCUCUUUUUCUUGGUACUUGUUAGACAUUGGAAGGUCUCCAAAGGCCAAGGCAAUUUUCCUCCAGGGCCAAAACCUCUGCCUAUUAUAGGCAACUUGCAUCAGUUGGCUCGUCAUGAAUUGCCGCACCAUGCCAUUACAGGAUUAAGCAAACAAUAUGGUCCUGUUAUGAAGCUACAGCUUGGUCAGGUUUUUUCUGUUGUCAUUUCAUCAGCUGAAGCAGCCAAAGAGGUGUUCAAGACUAACGAGCUCAAAUUUACGGGAAAGCCUGAGUUAUAUGUUGCUGGUAUACUAUCAUAUGAUCAUCAAAGUUUGAUUUUCUCUCCUUACAAUGAUUACUGCAAACAGGUGAGAAAGAUAGCUGCCCUGGAGCUCUUAAGCAGUAAGCGCGUGCAAUCAUUCAGAUCGAUAAGGGAAGAGGAGAUGUGGAAUCUUGUUCAAUUCAUUUCAUCAUCUGAGGGACAUGCCAUUAAUCUAGGUGAAAAGUUUUAUUCCAUGACAAAUGAUCUUAUUGCUAGGGCAGCAUUUGGUAGCAAGCGCAAAGAUGGGCAAAAUUUUAUCACAGUGCUCGAGGAAACUAUGAGCCUUGCUGGAGGCUUCGACAUCUUUGACGUGUAUCCUUCACUCGAAUUUCUUAGUUCCAUAACAGGGGUCAAGGCCAGAGUAUUGAGCAUUCACAAGAAGAUGGAUAAGAUUCUUGAAGAAAUUCUCACAGAGCAUAGGUUGAAAAGGAAUGGGAAUCAUGUCGAGGCUGAUGAUCAGGAAGAUAUUGUUGACACACUUUUGAGUUAUGAGGAGGAUAAUAAGAACAAGUUUCAUCUCACAAUCAACCAGAUUAAAGCAAUCAUUUUGGUAAGUCCUUUGCACUAAUGCCAUCAUUAUACAGAAUCUUGACAGAAAAAAACAUACUUAUCCAUGUAAUAUAUAAUCAUAUAAAAAUUCUCAAGUGCAGACGUACAAGCAACAUCAUUAUAUGGAAAAAUACUGGCUGAGAUUUUAACAAAAUUCAGACAUAUGCAAAAGAGAAUAACUCUAUAGAAUAACAAGAUGUGUAAAUUACAGGACAUUUUUGCUGCGGGGAGUGAGACUUCAGCAACAUCAAUUGAAUGGGCAAUGUCAGAAAUGAUAAAGAACCCUGGAGUAAUGAAGAAGGCACAAGAAGAGGUAAGAGAGGAAUGCAAAGGAAAGAGCAAAAUCGAAGAGCCGGACAUCCAAAACCUGGAUUACUUGAAAGCAAUUAUCAAAGAAACUUUCAGGUUGCACCCUCCGGCUCCGUUAUCCUUUAGAGAAUCAAUUGAAAGCGGUGAGAUUAAUGGGUAUACGGUGCCGGCUCGUGCCAAGAUCUUCAUAAACAUUUAUGCAAUGGGGAGAGAUCCGGCAAUCUGGGAAGAUCCUGAAAGCUUUAAACCGGAGCGGUUUGAAGGUUCUUCAGUUGACUUUAAAGGAAACCACUUUGAAUUGCUUCCAUUUGGUUCCGGAAGGAGGAUUUGUCCGGGCAUUGGAUUUGCUACUGCAAGUAUUGAACUUGCACUCGCUCAGUUGUUAUAUCAUUUUGAUUGGAAACUUCCAAAUGGCACCAAACUAGAAGACCUCGACAUGACUGAGAAAUUUGUUCUGGCAGCUAGAAAGAAGACUAAUCUAAAUGUGAUCGCCACCACUAUUAUUCCUUUUCAGAACUGAUCAGACACUUAAUUAGGUGUCGUAUACAAUAAAUAUAUGUGGCAACCAUGUUCUGCAAAAUUGCUUUCUGUUCUUGUGGUCUCAUUGGGAGAGGCUGCUGUUAAUUUCUAAUUUUCUAUAAUAUGUAGCAUGCUUCAUUUCAAUUGAGGCUAAUACAGAAUGAGGAAAUUCCUCAGGAUUGCUAUGCCGCAGCCUGUGUUUCAUGCAUUCAUAUUUUUCCGUGUUUUAAUUAACUAGAAAUGUCCUGGUGAGAUACGUUAAGUACCAUGACAUGAUUUCGUAAAUGAAAUAUUGGAAACCGUAAUUGAAUAUCUUGUUUUGAGAAGUGAGAAGCAUAAUUACUAUGGAUAUUCAUUUACUUCUAUUAUAAAAAGAAGGUUUAUGUCCUUAUGUGUACUAAUAAAAUCAUUCUGUUGAUUAUUAUUGUGUCUCUCAUUAUUGUGCUGCUUGUCUAUUGUCUUGGCCGGCCAAGCAAUCUAGUUUUGGUGGGUUCCUUUUGUUUACCAGACAAAUAUUAUAAUUUUUGUAAGCUUCUAAAUAAUCCUUUCGAAUGCUUCAAUACAUUAUCAGCCUAUUUUGACCUUCAAGCUCGAUUAGGACAUUUUCAAACGUCAAAAAUAGAGAAAAAGAUGCUUCAAAUUAUCCGGAUAAAGAAUAUUAAAUUGGUCGAUUUCGUAAUUAAAAAUAAUCUUAAUCAUCACUUAUAUACAGCUAUUUAAAAUUUGUUAUUGGCUUUUUAUUCCUUUUUUUUUAUCAUUUAGCCAACUCAAUCUUCUUCCCAUUUAUGUCAGGAAGAUUUGAAUUCUAUUAACUUUUAUUUUCAACAUAAGAAAUUUUAGAAUAUAUUUUAUUUCCUUAAUUUAACUAGUCUAAGCACCCAUCUGAUCAUUUUUUUUUUUUUUGUAGCUACGUACUGUAUGCUUCUCACUCGAAUGCGACGACAAACAGAAAAAGUUAUUCUUCUGUAAAUCAACCUUAGAAUCGUUAGAUAUUAGAAUCAUAAUUUUAUUUAACAUUCCUCGAUUGGAGUUCAUAUUUUAGUAAAUAGUUAAAAGGAAAUAAUCAGCUUUGCAAAUAAAACUAAGUUAAAGCUAAAACAAAAGGGAACCUGAGCUUGAACUGAACUAAACGGCUGAGAAGCUUCAAUUACUUGGCCGGCCGGGUUCAUUGAUUUAAAAGAAAUAAGGAAAAGGCAGUAUUUUUUUUUUUUAUAUAUUGUCGAUUGGUGUGUUUUAAAUUAAUAAAUUCUCAACGAUAAACAGAGAGUUUGUAAUACUUAAAGGAACAGGUGGAAAAGGAACAAACUGGAUCAUUUUAUUUGAAGUUCAUAAACUAAGACUUCAUAUUAUUGUCUUUAUGCAGAAUGAACCGGCAGUUGAAAGUGUACCCUUUUAUUAAUCAUCCUUUAACUGUUAUAUAAUUAGGACCAAAUGAGUAUCGAUCAUCCUCAAGACUUGGAACAAAAUCAAGGUGAAUUUCACCCAAAAAAAAAAAAGCAAAGGUCAGAUCCCAUGUGAUAAAGAGGGUAGAUGCAGACAUUAGAAUAGAAUGAAAGAUUUUAUUUCUGCAUAACUAGACCUUUACAGCAUGUCCCUUUUCCAGGUCCUAUUUUCCUCUCAUAAUUAACAUUACACCGCCCGGAAAUAUACAGCUUAUAGCAAAAAGAUGGCCAAAGGUAAAGUGGAAGCAGACUCGAUAUUACGACAUUCUCGAGCGUAGAGGGGAAGGUGCCCGUAGCUUGGGAUGAAACUGAGAAGAGAAGACGACAGUUUAGAUUAUGGUUCCACUGGGAAUCAAGGCAUCCUUGAUUAUUGUGACAAUCCCGCUCUUGAUGAAGUAUCCAUCUGUUUCCCUUGCUGCUUCUUGCACACUGUCACUGUUGACGAUCUGUAUAACAAAAUUAAAAUAUAUUUAAGAGAUCAAUAGACAUAGUGACUACUUGCACCAAUUUGAUAAGAUAAACAGGAAUUAAGGGGUGAAAAAAAAUUAAGAAAUAGAACUAUAACCUUCACAUUAUCCCCAAUUCGAGCAUUUUUGUCGAUUAUUGCUCUCUUGAUGUGAGAAUUCUUGCCAAUACCAAUUGGAACACUACCCUUUGCAGCCAAAAACCUCCUGUCCGCAUCCGUCUGGAGCAAGAAAGUAAAAGUGAAAUCAUUACAAGAGCAAAAGAAUUGAAGUAAAAUAGUCACUUGAGCUAAUUGGAAUCCCAAAGCCUUUUAACAUGCAACCACAAAAUUUUUCAAAUAAAUUACGCAUCUAGAAUGGAAACAUAAUAGGAAAAUAUUGUUAAGGCAGGCUACCUACCUCAUAAUAAUCUGCUCCCAUAAGUAAAGUAUCUUCGAUAAUUGCACCUUCUGAUAUGCAAGAUCGAAGCCCAACAACAGAAUGGUGAAUUUUGCAAUUCUGGCAACAGAUAGGAAAAGUUAAUGUAAAAGACAAGACUGUUCGACACUGGAAAGACUAGGUGACUGGGAUUAUGAUAUAAUACAGUGAUCGCCAUAAAUGAUAACCAUCAACGGCAUCUUCAAAGGUUGCUGAACCAAAAUUCAGGAAUUUACCUUAAUCACACAGCCUUCACCAAUUACACUAUCAGUGACAUCAGCAUCAAGCAUCUUAGAAGGAGGUAGAUAUCUAGGCUGUGUAUAGAUUGGAGCAGAACGGUCAUAGAAGCUGUAAAACAGAGGUCACAGUUAUGAUCAUCCCAGUAGCAUGAAAAUAAAUUGAAGAACAGAAUAACAACUACCUGAAAUCCGGAAUUGGCUUUUUGGUGAUCCCCAGAUUCGCAUUGUAGAAAGCCUCAAUUGUUCCAAUGUCUUCCCAGUAGCCAUCAUAUAAAUAUGCUUGCACCUAUAUUGAAAAAAAAAAGCAAUUAGGCACCUGAAAACUGCAGGAACACCGAAGACUGGAAGCAAAUUAAAAAGUUGUAAAGUCAGUGAACUAUACUGCAUCACUUUAAUUGAAAUUUCAAUUUCUCAGAUGGAACUAAUUGCUUCGUUAACAAUGCAAGUAAACGAGAUCUCUGAAAAAAAAAAAAAACACAAAAAAGAAACUAAAAGGAUACUUACUCUCAUCCCAAUGGAAGUUGCACCAGGGAUAACUUCACUUCCAAAAUCAUUAGCUCCAGGAAAUUUAUCCCUUAGCAGAUUUAACAUCACAUCUUUGCUGAUGACAUAAAUACCCAUACUUGCUAUGUAAGGCAUCUCUUUAGCUCUCUCAUCAUCAAGACCUAAUAUGGUGGUAUCAACCUGAAACAGAGCGUUACCACAGUAUAUCACGUCUGAAUCUUUAAAUGAAAAAUAAAUGAAUAUAAAAGAAGUAAAAAAUUACCUUCAUAGCUUUAAGUUGCUCUCCUUUUGGUUUCUCAGAAAAUUCAAUUAUGCGUCCCUCUUCAUCGAUCUUCAUCAGACCAAAAGCAGUAGCCCGUUUUUCAUCCAUUGGCAGCGCAGCUACUGUGAUAUCCGCAUCAGUUUCUCUGUGUGCCUGAAUAAAUCUCUCAUAGUCCAUUCGGUACAAAUGAUCACCAGCAAGAACGAGAAAUUCCAGAACAUUGUGCUCCUCAAACAGCCACAAAUACUGCCUCACAGCAUCAGCUGUACCCUGUAAAUCAUUGAACCUAACUUUGAUAAGAAUUGCGUGGCCAAGAACAAGAGAUUACCAAUCUUUAAUACAACACUUGUUUGAUUUAUCCAAAUCAAAUUAAUAACACACAAGCGUUAACAGUAUCUAAAUAACUUCUGAAACACUAAAAAUGCUGUUCAGUAUCACCUGAAACCAAUUGGGAUUCUCUGGACUCUGCUGUGCAGCAAGAACUUCAACAAAUCCUUCGUUCUUGUAACCACCCAUGUUGCUAGCAUACGCCCUCGAUAGGUGACGAUUCAGGGACGCAGAAUUGAACUGAGUGAGAACAUAGAUCUUUGAAAUGUUACUAUUCAAACAAUUGCUCACAGGAAUAUCAAUCAGCCUGUAAUUAGCUCCCAAUGGAACAGCAGGCUUUGCCCUCUUCUUCGUAAGUGGAUACAAGCGAGUCCCUGCUCCACCUCCAAGUAUAAUCCCCAAAACACUCUGCAAACGGUCACAGAAAACACAAACUCAGUCACAAUUCUUCCUCUUUCAAUCGUGAGUUCAUGCGCUAGCUAUUACACUUAAACUCUACGUAAAAUCUUUUAAACAAACUAUUUUCUUUUUUAAUUCCCUAUUUUGACAUGAACCAGACACAAGUAAUAAUUCAACAAUUAAACAAAAAUUAUUCGAUCACAAUCCAUCUUCUUUCAAGCUCAAGCACUCGCAAAAGAAUGCUAGGAUGUCAACUUUAUCCGUCCAUGUGCAAGCUGCUUCAUGCAAGCUCGGUUUCAGAUUUAUUUAGGAGUUAAAAAAAAAUAUUUUUUUCCCCUACUCUAGAGGAGAAAGAAACUCACUCGACUGGCUUCAGGAUCAAGGCAAGUCUGCGAAUUUUUCGAAUCCGACACCGCUUGAGGAGACACAACGAUCGGACGCCUCUCCCUUCGCCGAUCACCGGUGACAGCUUUAGAAAAAAUCUUGUCACCGGAGAGCUGAGACGACGAGAACGCCAGUCGUUUAACCACACUCCUGCGGCUGUGAUUGUUGGAGUUAGACGACGUUGCUGCAGUUGACGGAGAUGACGGAACUUUGAGCGAUCCGAUCGACGCCAUACUCGCCAUUAAUCGGUACAAUCUGUUAACGUUAACAGUAAUCGUUAAGCGAGCUGAGCCUGAGUGAGUGUGUGCUAGUGAGAGUGUCAACUGUAAAGAGAAAAAUGCUGAUGAUGACUCGUGAUUUUAUGUGGAGAGCGUGUGAUUACGAUGCGUUUUUGGGAUUGUUAUUUGACCACUUAUUGAUAGAGGAAAUUACGGGACGGGACCUGAAAGUUUUAUUUCAAUCAAGGGUACUUUUGGCAUUUCGGAGAAAAAAUCUUAGUCUUGAGGAAUAAUUGGUGGACGUCGUGGUUCGAGAUUGGGGGAGAUGAGGGAUUUGAUUUGAUUAAACACCAACGGUCACAUGGACGAUGGACUUUCUCUCUCUCGCUCUCUCUUUUUUUAAUUAUUAUUUUUUGUUUUUUAUUUUUCAUUCGAAGCAAUUAGCACCGUCAAUUUUUUUUUCUUCUAGAAAAAAAAAAAAUGUUAGUGCUGAUGGAUUUUUUUUUUUUUUUUAGAAGACUUUGUCUCUCACUUUUUUUUAUCAUUAUUUUUUUGUUUUAUUUUUCAUUCAAAGCAAUUAGCACCGUCCUUUUUUUUUGUUUUAUUAAAUUUAAGAAAAAAUGAAAACAAGGGAAGAGGGAGAAACGUAUGUAGAUAGAUAUGUCCAAACAUGUGAGUUUUGCUUCACAUGUUGGGAAAUGUCAGUGUUUACUUUGUAGAUCCUUAAGCACUAUAUAUUUAAUAAUUUUUAUUCUUUUAAUAUCUUUAAUUUCUAGAAAGGGCUACUUGCAUAAGCAAUUAGUGAGAGAUAUUGUAUUCAUAAUCGGGUGUUAAUGACAUCUCCUUCUUGUUUUUUUUUUUUUUUUUCAAUGGUUUGAAUAAGGGAAAGUUCACUCAUUAAAUAUCAAAAUUUCUCUUGUACUCUUACUUAAAUUUAGAUGAAUGAUCGCAUGUGCAAAAUGCAUUUAAUUAAGGCUAAUCAUACUACGCCCAAGGAUGUUUUAAGACAUAUCUUAAUAAGAAACAAUGACCAUAAAUUCUUAAUGGCAAUAAAUUUAUUCCUUUUUAUUCAUUUCAAAUUUGCUUUUUGGUUGAGCUGCUUUCAAAUAUUAGGGAACAAAACUCUACUCCAAACCCUUUGGGCUUUGCUAUAGGAAUUAGGGUAUGUAGCCAUGUUUCAGUAUGAUCGCGAUCGUGAUCGUGAUAAAUAAAUAACUUUGUCAUAGUUCAUGAUUUCAUUUAUUGUGUUUGUAGGUAUAACUAUUCAUAUAGCACAUUCAGCUUUGGGCGAAUAGGCGGAUGAAAUUGGGCUUAACAAAUGGCGAUCGAAUUGAGGGCCCAAGAAUUUGAAACAAUGGGGCGGGCCGAGCCUCUUCUUUUGGAGUGCGGCUCUCGACUUUGAAACCGAAACCCUUCUUUUUAUCCCCCGUUUCUUGAUAUCCAUCAUUGAAAUUCUGAAAAUAUUAGGAGCGUUUAAUUCCAUAAUUACCCUUUGUUUAUCUCCUGCCACGUCGAUAAUUUUGAUUAUGUCUGAUAUUUCAUGUUGGAUUUUUAAAUAUAUUCACAGAUCAUAUAAUAGAAAUUGAAGAAUAAUUGAUAUUAUGGGUAUCAAGAGAUAAGAUGUUGCGAUUAAAUAGACCCAACCUUGCAAUCUAAUGGCCCAUUAGAUUUUGAUUAUGCCUGAUAUUUGAUUUUAGAUUUUUAACUAAAUUCACAGAUCAUAUAAUUGAAAUUGAAGAAUAAUUGAUAUUACUAUAUUAGGGGUACUAAGAGAUAAAAAGUUGGGUUCAAAUAGCCUCAACCUUUAAGGAGAUCCAACCAUGCAAUCUAAUGGGUCAUUUGGUAAUGGCCCAUUAGAAUUAUUGAUAUUGGGGGUGUUAAGAGAUAAAAUGUUGGGUUCAAAUAGGUCCAACCUUUAAGUAAACCCAAGCUUGCAAUUUAUUGUACCUCUACCAAAGAGCCAUUGCAGUUGAGUUGGUCGCUGUAAAAGAGCACUCGCAAUAGAGAAUAGAUUUCAUAUUAAAAUUUUCUACAAAAAAGAUAAUUUUUUAAUUUUUAAUUCCAAAUAAAUUUAUCGUUCCUCAAAUCCGAUGUAUGUCUAGUUUCUUACUUCCAAGUAUAUAUAUCCUCAAAUCUAAAUAUAAUUAUUGUUGUUAAAGAUAAAAAUAUUGUAUUCUAAUUUAUUGAUAUUAGAACCAUAAUGUUGAAGAAUCAGAGUUUCUCUCGACAUUUCAAUGAAGAAGAAAUUUAUUAUAACAUAUUAAAGAGAAAUCUUGAAGAAGAAAUUUAUUAUAACAUAUUAAAGAGAAAUCUAACCAUGUUAUAUACAAUUAAUGGAAAUUGAUGAAUAUUCCUCUUCCUAUGUUUGGAAAAAAGAAGGGCCGGUUCUCCUGAUCUUAAAGCGAUGAAUGAACUUGUUAACCACCAUUUACCUAAAUUUAUCAUUAAUUACAGUCUUUAAAUCGUACUAACCGUUUGUUUUGUCAAAAUUAAUCAUUUCUAAUGAUCAUUAUUAAUCUACAGUCUAUAGUUUGUACUAACCAUUUCUUUCGUCGAAAUAAAUUUCUUUUUUUCUUUUUUUGGUUGGACAAACAAAUUGGAGAUUGAAUAAAGUAAUCAUUCAAUGGCGUCGCCAUACUUUUUCAUUGUGAGAAAAAUAGAAUCGUACACCCCACAUGCUAAAACCAAUCAUACCCAUUAAUUACAUGAGUUAGCUAAAAGAGCUCAAAAGGAAAAGAUAAAGAAGGUGAACAGAAGCAAAAUAAUAGAAGGAUGGUGAGUACUCUCAACUUUAUAUGAUCAAUGGAUCCCAUCUCCAACCAGAAAUCACCUUCUCUUUUAACCACACGCACGGGUGAGUGACUCCGAAUUAUUGAUUCUUUGUCCCCCUACCCCCACAAAAAGUAAAAAAAAAAAAAAACAAAUUGAUAAUGGGUUCUUUGGUCACCGGGGACCACAUGCGUUGCACGUGUAAUCACCACUCACAUCAGAUUGUCUGGCAUUCUAAUUCCAUCUUCACUUUUACCAAGCGGCAGCAGUGAGCGAGCAUCCUAAUAAUCAAGAAACCACAAAAGAAUCAAGAUUUAUUUCUUUCGCUAAUCAACAUUAAUGUACAAUAAUUAAUAAGAAAUUACUACGGUUUAUUAACUAUUUAGGAAGCACAUAAAGAACAUAAAAAGCAUUUCAGUAAUUUUUUUUUUUCUCUCUUAUACAUUCUCCUUCACAAUUGCCCGACGACUCAGAUUAUAUAGAAAAAUAAUGACACGUAGAAGGAGAAUAAUCAAAUGCCAUAGUAUGUGUCGGUGUGUGUGUGUCUCUGUCAUAAUGAUCUCUAAAUUUUUAAUUUGGUUCGAAAUAAUUUAAUUGAAAACCUUCUCCCUACAUAUUUAUAAUAGUUGGUUCUUAAUUUAUUGCCGCUUUUGUGAUCAUGCAUACUGAGAAUGAUCGAUGCAUGCAAGCAUUUAUAUUGAGUUUCAUGGGUGCAUGCAUGGCAUGGCAUGGGUGGCGAUUCCCAUAAUUCCAAAUCAUGGAAUCCAAAGUCACUCCAUAUCAAUCUUCAAAAGCGAUCUUUAUAAAAUAGUAAGGUGGCGUGAUUGUUAUUAAUUAAUUAUAGUAAUAUAGCAAUUAAUCAUUGGCAUAAAAUAUUAUUAAACUUGCUCUUUGACUUUGUUUUAAUAUAUUAUUUUUCUUGAACCCAACAAAAAAAAAAAAGAGGGAGCAAAAAGUAGGGGUGGGCAAACUUGCUCUUUGACUUAAUAACUCUACAUUCAUUCAAUAAUUAAUAUUCACUGUGGUCAGCCAUGAUUCUUUCUAUAUAUUUUUUAAUAAGACGAUUAUGACACUAUUUGAUAAGUAUUGAACAAAAGAGAUCUUACAUAGAAAUUACGGAUUAAUAUUUUUUUAUAAUCAGAACUUUAACUGAGUAAAAUUAUACGUAAGUACCUGAUGAUUAAUAAAUUAAAAAAUAAUCUUCAUAUGCCAUCAAUAAUAAACACAUAAUAUAAUAUAAGAUUCUUAAAAAUGUUAAAGAAGUCAAAUAAAAAAAAAAUCUUAGUCCAAAAACUAAACAAUAUAAUGAAUUAAUUUGCAGCUUUUGCAAUAUCUAUAUUAUUAUUUCAAAAUAGCAAUCAAUUAAUUAUAUAUGUUCACCAGCUCCUAGAAGAGAGCACUGCGUAUUAAUGGGGGUGGCAAUGAUGGGGUGGCACUAAUGGCAUUGAUGUCUCUGGGGAUUUUGUGGAAGCCGGAACUAUAUAGCCAUGGUUCAAGCUAAGCUCUAGUGGUCCUUGUUAAGUGAAUUGAAGUGCAAGCAAAUGAUGUUCUUAAUUAAUUUGGGGAGUAGUUAUUUAUACUGUAGAUAAUAUUUCGAACGAUUUAAUAUUUAAAAUACUCAUUUAUUAAAUUUAAACUAUUUAAUUUUUACUAUGUAUGUUCAAUAGGAUCUAAAAAGUAUCCUCAAUAAAUCUUUUUUUUUAAAAAAAAAAAAACUUUGCACACCAUGCAUAUAUAAUGUAAAAUCAUCUCAAAAAAGAUAUUUCAUUGCUUUCUAAAUUUUUAUAUUCAAAAUUCUUUAAAACUUUAAGAAUUUUAUUCACCAUGUAAAUAACUCUCCUUCUCUCUUACCAAUAUUCGUAUUUCUCAGAUGGUUGGACGGUAUGGGUGAUUGUUUUACAAUAUUUGUUUUUUAUUUUUUAUAUUAAGAAACCAACUUAAAAUCUUUUAGAUUUAUUAUUGAAUUAUUGAGUUGAUUGCUUUUAUGUCUACAUUUUAUCAAGAUAAGCUACAGUUUAUGUAAAAUGGGUAUUAACUGUUAAGAAUCAUUUCAUUUGGUUUAAUUAAACUAAGUUUUGUAGUAAAUUACUCUAAUAAUAUUAAAUUUUAUUAGAAUUAGAGUGUGCAAAACAUUAUUUACAAUACAAAUAGUCCCACUCAUUCAUUCGGAAUAUAUAUACGUGCGUAUUAUCCUCUUUUGAUAUUAUUUUCAAGUAAUAGUUUUUGAGUAUUUAAAGGCCCAUGCAAUUUAAUUAAAUUGUUUAGCUAUAAUUUAACACAAUGUCUUGUUUGUUGUUAAGGCAACGCUUUAGUCUGAGUCCACUCUUACAUUUGGUGGAAUGCUGGUCUCACGUUCACAAGGGCAAGUGGUUCAAGUCCUAGUGAAUUCAACUUUUUCCUUCAAUUAAGAAUAGUUAAGUGGAGGUCACGUAGUUUUUAUUAUAAAAAAUUAUGAGUGAAACUGAUAUCUCUCAAAUAUUAAAAAGGAUAGGCAGUCUAGACAGUACUUUAUAAGAAUUUAAUAUAAACUAUUAGUCCUAAUUAGUUGUACAAAAAUUUAUAAGUGGACUAUAUAAAUCUCAAAUAUUAAAGAGAAUAAACAAUUUAAAAAGUACUUCAUAAAGAUUUAAUAUAAAUUAAUAGUCCUACCUAAUUAAUAGGCAGUUUGGACAUUAUUUCAUAAGAAUUUAACAUAAACUAAUAAUCCUAACUAAUUGUGUAAUUGCAGUACCAAUAAUUGUCUGCGAUAAUAGCAGAUAGAAUUGUGUGAUUGUAUUAUUAAAGGGGGAAAAAAAAAGUCUCAAUCCACUCUUUAAAAAUGCGCGGGGUUCCAUGAUUUGAAUCACCGAAUAAAGAAUCAUAGAGACGCGUGACAGUGGGAGUACCUCAAACUUCUUUGACGACGUGUAGGGCAGUAUAAAUUUGUGAAACAUGAAAGCGAUAUUGUACUUAGGCUUGUACCUAGCUAGCUAAACCUAAGUUAAUUUGACCAAGCUAGGGCAUUGUUGCUACUUGCUAGCUAGCGACAAGCUAGUGAUAUUUCUAUGUGGCAUGUGAUCUUGGCUAAUGUGAGGGCAACUUUUGCUCAUUUGGGUAUCUUGUGGCCAACGAUAUACUAGCAUCAAGUCUCAUGGAUGUGAUCAUCAUCAAUGCAUGACUUUAGCUAAAAGUGUUCAUAAACAAACAAUAAGCAAAAUGAAUAACGCAUGGAAAAUCUUUUUGAACAAGAGAAUAUGAAAUAAGGAGAGAGCUUUACGGAAGGGUGGUUUAUCUUGCAGGUAGCUAAAAACUAAAAAGACAAAAAACAAAAAGGUUUAAGAUUUGGAUUCAAACAUGUGAAAAAAAGAUAAAUAUGAAAAUGAUUUAUUUUGACGAUCAAAAUUCUCGCUCAAAAAUUUUUAGCUAUAUAAAGUAUUGUUACGAAAUUGACUCAAUGAGCAACAAUAACCAUAUUUUGUUAUACUUUAUAAAGAGUAUUAAGUUACUAAUGCAGAGCAGCAUGAACAUAUAAUAUAAAUUGUAGACUUUUGAGACAGAGUUGAGAUUUAUUAAAUUUUCAAUUGUGGACUCUUUUGUCAGAGCAUAAAUAUUUAUCAACAUUGAAAUUGGGUUUUGUAAUACUUUAUGAAAAUUGAAAUUUAAUCAAGGAAAUUUUAAAAGAAGAAAAUAAAUAUUUAUCGCACACAACGAGAGAGUUAAUUAGACCUUCAAGUUUUCAACAGUUCAACUACUUAAUCAAUCAAUACAAAGAAAAAGAUAAGAGAGAAAAGAGACAAUUCGAGGCAAAUGAGUCAAAGACAUUAAAAAUAAGAACAAGAGUUUUGGUCCAACUGACAUCUCCCCGUGCUAUCUCGAACUAUGUGAUUAUCAGACACACUGACACUGAUGCAAAGCUUCUCAUGAAUGAAGACAAGCAUAAAUGGACCAAAAUGGGUAUUUUUAGAAUCUGAGAAAGAUCUCAAAUUUGAAAAUUUACUAUUUUCAGAAUCUGAGGAAGAUCUCAAAUUUGAAAAUUUACUCCAAUUUAAGAUUUUUAAUUGAUUUUUCAAACCAAUAUCAUGAGCAAAUCAGCAAAUGGGUAUGCAAUAUUUCAAACCGAAAAUAUCAUGAGUAAGAUGGAAUACGUACAGAGAUGAUAAAUCUUGGAGUCGAUCUCGACUUCAAUGAUUGAUAAUUAUAUAUGUAAAGAAGUUUACAGCGCAUUAGGGUUAAAUUUGGUACCCACACGAGGGAAAAUGAUAUAAAGAAGAAAAACUAAUGGUCCCUAGGGAAGUAAUAAUAUCGAGGAGCCCAAGAAGAAUAUAUUGCAAAUUGUGCUUUGACUGAAUCGGUGGAAAAUGGAAUAUCAUCUCCCGUAAGAGCCAAGUCAUUCAAAUCAAUAUCAUCUUCUUCUUCUGGAGGAAAACUUAGAUAAGACAUCAGUGGUAACAAUGGAUCGUCUAAUUAAUUAAUGUGUGAAUGUCAUGUGUGUUAAAUGCUUUUUCUUUAUUAUUAUUAUUAUUGGUCAAUUCUGAAUUAGUGUAAAUGUAACAAAAUAUUAACAAAUAAAUACACAGAUAAUAUGGUGCGCCCAUCCUAUAUUUCUCCCUCUCCGUCUCUCUCUCUCUCUCUUCAAUCUUUUUUUUUUUCUUCGGGACAUUCAUCACAAACAUCAUAAUCACUAGCCCCACCCUCUCUGAAUCGAGUGAGUACUGUAUUUCCCAGACUUGGAUCAUAUUUGAAAGAUAAUAGCUUCAAGCUUCAAGUCUGUUGGGUCCUUUCAAUUUAGUACCUAAAGUUUACAUAGAUUUAUCUACCCACCAACGUUUAGGUAAAUAUAUUGGUCAUUCGUGCUUGAGAAAUUUACUAAAACGGUCCAAAAUUAUGAUUAAUUUUAUCUUAAAGCAGAAGCUAACUUGGAUCACUUUGACAAUGAUGCCCAUAGGCAAGACAGCGUCAAUGACGCCGUCAACCGCACGUAUCGAUUAUGGUCAUAGAUACGGCUAGUCUAUCAUUAUAUUUGAGGGUAUUAUUAUCUAAAAUAUUCUUUUAUGACUACAUAUAAAUAAGUUAAAGUUGGUGCGCCAGCGCCAUUUAACUUAGUUAAAUAUAAUUUUCGUUUCUGUAAAUUAAAUUUCCGAAAUACUUCGUGCAAACUAUUGCGAGAAUUCUAGAAUCGUCAUCAUAUAAAUUAGCAUAAAUUCAUAUCCAGUCACCCUAUGUCUUGUAUCCCUGUAUGUAUUGACAUCUUCUUCUUAUUAGUGUAUCGUUGUUCUAUCUAUACAAAAAAAUCAUUACCACUGUACAUAUAUAUCUAAUAUACACAAAAAUAAACAAAUUAUUCAGUUGCAUGCAUGUUAUCAUAGCCAGUCGAUUUCCUUUAUUCGUACGUGUGAUUAAUACAACAUUAUUAUUUAGUGAUACGUUUAUUAUUAUAUUUUAUCGUAAGAUAUUCAUUUUGUUUGUCCACGAAUCUAAUGCAUAAUUGUUACUUCUACCCCCCCCCCCCCCCCCCCCCCCCCCCCCCCCCCCCCCCCCCCCCCCCCCCCCCCCCCCCCCCCCCCCCCCCCCCCCCCCCCCCCCCCCCCCCCCCCCCCCCCCCCCCCCCCCCCCCCCCCCCCCCCCCCCCCCCCCCCCCCCCCCCCCCCCCCCCCCCCCCCCCCCCCCCCCCCCCCCCCCCCCCCCCCCCCCCCCCCCCCCCCCCCCCCCCCCCCCCCCCCCCCCCCCCCCCCCCCCCCCCCCCCCCCCCCCCCCCCCCCCCCCCCCCCCCCCCCCCCCCCCCCCCCCCCCCCCCCCCCCCCCCCCCCCCCCCCCCCCCCCCCCCCCCCCCCCCCCCCCCCCCCCCCCCCCCCCCCCCCCCCCCCCCCCCCCCCCCCCCCCCCCCCCCCCCCCCCCCCCCCCCCCCCCCCCCCCCCCCCCCCCCCCCCCCCCCCCCCCCCCCCCCCCCCCCCCCCCCCCCCCCCCCCCCCCCAUUUCUACCCCCCCCCCCCCCCCCCCCCCCCCCCCCCCUUUUUUUUUUUUUUUUUUUUUGGUUGCGCUGCUUUGUCUGAAAGGAAUUGCUACUUCUACUUUAGUGCAAAACUUGAUACUCAAUCGAUCGAAAGUUGGACCAACAUGAGAUAUUGCACGGUAAUAAUAAUUGAAUACGUGCAUCCACUUGCUUUCUUUUGGUGAGACUUUAUUUUCUCCAUUAUUGUUAUUUUGCUCUUUUCUUGUAAUGAGACAAAGGAGUUUCAAGCCAAGCAGAUUAGUCAAAGAAAGCUGCACCAAGUGCGAGGAAAAUGAUAGGGAAAUAUCGAAACACACUUUUCUUCUUAUUUAAUGGUCAAUGCGUUAAUUUAGUACCUAAAUUAAUGACAUGAGGAUCAAGUGUGACGAUCAUAUUUAAGUUCAAAUAAAAAUGCAAAAAAGAAGUUAAUAGGAACAUGAUAUGCGAAUCUUUUAAGCUGCUUCUAAAAUAAGUACUUUGAUAUCAUAUAUAAGAAUAUAGAUAAAUGGUUAUUUAAUUCAUAUAUUUUUACUUCGUUUAACCUCUUUAUGAAAGUACUUCAAAACACUUUUACAAUUAAAUAUAUUAUAUUAUUAUUACUAUAACAAUAACAUUAAUUAAUUUAUUUAAAAAUUUUAAUUAAUAGAUUAACUAAUAAUUAUUUAUUAGUAAAUUAACCAAUAAAUUAAUAUCAAUAUGAAGGAACUAAUUUUUUUGUACCCGUAUAAUCAUCUUGUUAGUAAUUUAUUUAUAAAUGAAUUAAUAUCAAUCAACUUAAAGCAAUAUUUAAUAUCAUUGCAACAAUUUUAUUAGUAGUUAUUUUAUAGAAAAUUAAUUUACCAAAUUAAUCCUAAAAGCAAAAUAAUAAUAUAAAAUUUUGUGGAAAUUUUUAUGUUACUUCUAAGAAUAAUUUAAUAAAUCAACAUUUUUUUCUUUUUGUUAAUAUCCUCAAAAAGGUAAGGAUAUUGUUAAAAGAGCAUUAUUGUAAAAGGUAAGAAAAAAAUAACAUUAAUUUAAUUUAUUUAACAAUAAAGAUGUCUCGAGAUAUUUUUUAAAAUAUAAAGAUUAUACAAGUAUUUAAGUCAAAAUAUAAAAUCUAAACGAUCAUUUACAUUACACUAUAAUACAGAGGGAGGGGGGCUUUUACCUUUAAGUCAAUGCUACGAGCAUGGUCAUCACUACCUUAUUUCGGCGGGAAGGGAUUUAGUUCAACUUGGGUGCUUUGAGUUAAAACCAAAAAAGAAAAAAAAAAAUGAAACACCAAAUUGGAUCAUACACUGUCAUGAUGAAACCGUUGGGGGCAUGCCACGACCUGCAAGAUAUUUGAUUGAUUCUUGUCUUACGGCGUAGAUUGGAUUUCCGGUUCCAAAUUAAACGUGCUGAAUGUAUUUCUAAACUUGCAUAUAAGAGUACCCCAACCACACUUUUGCUGAUUUGAUAGAAAAUCAUAUGAAGAUACUUUUAAAUCAAGGCCAUUCUACCAAUGAACAUUAUUAUGAUUAAUUAUGACAUUAAGAAUUUAGACUAUAUACCGAUUAAAGGUACUGAUAUGAAUUGAUUAUUAUGACAUCUACAUUUGGUAAGAAUAAAGAUUCAUCUUUUAGUCAUUAAAGUUUGGUUUAAUUAUCCGGUUAAUUCUUAUAUGUUUUAAAUUACUCAAAAGGUACCUGUCGUUAUUUAAUAGUCCAGUUAAUUUAAAUUCGAAGUAAUCUUAUAAUCCAGUAAAUUAGAUAUUUGUAAUUUGACUCAAUAUGUAAUGAAUAAUCCUGGAAUAACAUCGAGAAUUUUAUAAACAAUUAUUCUAAUUAAAAUAUGAAACCAAAAGUGGCACUUUGUUUGACUGAACUUUUUACUUUUCGAGAAAAGGAAAAUCUCUUUCUCGUGGACGCAAUUGCAAAAUUCUACAAGUUACGUACGUAUUUGCAAUAUUAAUUAAUUUGCAUCAUGCAGGACGCGACUAUAUAUAUAAAUAUAAAAUCAUAAAACUCAUUUGGGCAGAAAAAAAAGGGGAAUGAAUAAAAAAUAAGUAUGAAGUAAUAAAAGCUGCAUGAUCAGUAUUGGUUGUGUCCAUGUGCCUGCAUGGGUCGGUCGGUCAAUCUACUUCAAUGUACUUUGCUUAGCAGCUGAAAGGAAUCAAAUAAAAAAAUUUGAACGUAAAACUAAUAUAUAAAUUCAUCAAAAAAAUCCGCUUUUUUCAUGAUUCAUCAUGAAAGCACGAUCCGACGGCCAUGAUUAUACUUUCUACAAGCUCACACGAGCUCAAGUACACCUCAUUUACAACCCAACUAUGAAAUAAAUACAUUUAAUUGUUUGAUAAUUAAUAAUAAUUAUUAUGAUAAUUUUUUCUUUUCUUUUUCUGAAACCCUAGUGCUGUUUAACAGUGGCUCUAGAUGCUAGUCUAGCUAUGUAGGAUUACAUUUCCUAUGCUCUGAUAAAAGUAAAAAUUUCAAUGACUGUAAAUGUAAUUGAAAAAGCCUGCUUGCUUUCUCAUCACCUUUCUUUAUAUAUAGCAACUGGAGGCCAUACGUUUGCUUCCCAAAAGUCUCUCUUAAAAAAUUAAUUGCUUAUUGUGUUUUAAUUUCUUUUUAUCUUCCAUGGCUGAAUUUGUUUCAUUUUGGCUUCUUCUUUUGGUUUCUAUGCUUCUUGCUUUUGUUUUGGGUCUCAUAAUCUUGAACCACAACUUGCCCUUGUUCUUGAGACUUAGCCAUGUCCCUAAGGGAACUUUUGGUCUGCCAUUACUUGGAGAAACCCUUAGCUUCUUAAAGCCUCAUUCUUCAAAUUCUCUUGGCACAUUUCUUCAAGACCAUUGCUCUAGGUAAACUGAGUGUAUGAUGUGUAUCUAUAAAUUUUCCAAUUCUUGCUCUAAGUAAAAUAAAUAAUAAAAAUUUGGUUAUUUUUGAAUUUUCAGGUAUGGGAAAGUGUUCAAGUCUCAUUUGUUCUUCACUCCCACAGUGGUAUCAUGUGAUGCGGAGCUGAAUUAUUUCAUACUACAAAAUGAAGGCAAGUUGUUUCAAUGCAGCUACCCAAAGACAAUUCCUGGCAUCCUUGGCAACCUCUCCAUGCUUGUCGCUGUUGGUGACACUCACAGAAGGCUCAGAAACGCUGCUCUUUCUCUAGUCACCAUCACCAAAUCAAAGCCUGAGUUUCUCAAUGACAUUGAAAAUUUUGCAAUUCAGAUAUUGGACUCUUGGAAAGAUAAGCCUCAAGUCAUCUUCUGUGAAGAGGCCAGAAAGGUACAGUUAUUUUUAAAUUAAUAAUUAAUCUGAAGUUAUAAACGUUAAUGGUCAUGCAUAUAUAAAUUCUGAAUAUUUUUUGUUUUACAGUUCACAUUCAAUGUAAUAGUGAAGCAAGUGCUAGGUUUAACACCAGAAGAGCCAGAGACCACAAAAAUUCUUGAAGAUUUCUUAACUUUUAUGAAAGGACUUAUAUCUCUUCCACUUUAUAUUCCUGGCACUCCAUAUGCAAGAGCUGUUAAGGUGACAUCAAUUAUUAUUAUUAUCAUCAUCAUCAUUAUUAUUAUAUUAUUAUUCUUUUUGUGUUGCAAAAAGAUUAAGGCAUGUGAGCAACUUCUUUUUGACUAUCUUUACAGGCUAGAAGAAGAAUAUCUUCAACUGUUAAAGCAAUUAUAGAGAAAAGAAGACGAAGAAGUAGUAAUAAUAAUACUGCUGAUAAUUCUGAAAAAAAGAAUAGUGAUUUUCUUGAGAUACUUCUUUGUGUUGAUACCCUAUCUGAGGAUGAAAAAGUGAGCUUUGUUUUGGAUUCUCUAUUGGGUGGCUAUGAAACUACCUCUCUCUUAAUGGCCUUGGUGGUUCAUUUUCUUGGCCAGUUACCCACUGCAUUAGAACAACUAAAGGUAAUAUAAAUUAAUUAAUUUUCUAUAUAUGUGUGUGAAAAUUAAUCACAAGCAUCAUCCAUGCAGUACUCCCUCAACUUUGUAAUUUACCCUAUUUAUUUUAACACUGUAGCUUGAGCAUCAAACUAUAAGAAGCAUGAAGCAGAAUAAUGAGCAUUUGAAUUGGGAAGACUACAAGAAAAUGGAUUUUACUCAAAAUGUAAGAGAAUUUAUAUAUUUUUAUUUUCUUAAGUACAUUUAUUAAUUCAUUAUCGAUCCUUUUUUUGAAUUGUUUUAUUGUAGGUGAUCAAUGAAGCUCUAAGAUACGGUAAUGUAGUAAAAUUUGUGCACCGAAAGGCUCUGAAAGAUGUCAAAUAUAGAGGUAGACAAAUUUGUUCAAAUAUUAUAAUUUGCAAAUCAUGCUUUACACAUAGUCAUGCAUGCAUGAACUUUAUGGGUUUGUUUUUACUUUUAGUGUCUUAUAAUGAAAAGAUUAGCUACUUUAUAUAAUUUUUAUAUUCUUUAUGCAGAUUACUUGAUUCCUUCUGGUUGGAAAGUGCUUCCUGUUUUCACUGCUGUUCAUUUAGACCCAUCUCUACAUGCAAAUGCUUUCCAGUUUCAUCCUUGGAGAUGGGAGGUAUAAUUGGUAGCUUUUGAUCAUCAAACAUGACAUAAUUGAAAUAAUUUUGUUUUGCACAAUAUUUAUAUGCAGAAUCAAGAUCAAACAUGCAAGAAAUUCACACCCUUUGGUGGUGGGUCUAGAUGCUGUCCAGGGUCUGAACUUGCCAAGGUUGAAGUUGCAUUCUUCCUUCACCAUCUAGUACAGAAUUUCAGGUAAUUUAUUCUACUAUAAAUCUAUAAAUCAUAUUUAUUAACAAAAUUUAUAUAAGUUUGAUUUAGUUUUAGUCAAACUGUGGAUAUUUUCGGGAUUGUCGUGCUUCUUCUAACUCUGAAAGCUCAAACAAUUAAAGUGUUUAUUAAAUUUCGACUUUUAUUUACAAACUAGUGAUUUUAUCAGACAAAACUACAGAUAAAAGCAUACAUUGAGUGAUUGACCUAUUGAUUAAUGUUUGGCCUUUUGUUUUUGAUUCUAUAGAUGGAGGAAUCAAGAUGAGGAUCAACCUAUAGCAUAUCCUUAUGUGGAAUUUAAAAGAGGCUUGGUGCUCAAUGUUGAAUGUUGUUCUGAUGAAGCUGAGAACAAGCAACAUUAAAUCCCCAGUAUCUUGAAGAAUCAUAUGGGCUUUCUUCUUGUCUUCCAUCUGUUUAUUUUUUCAGAAGGGUCUCUUAUUUACUAUUCUUCCGUGCUAGUUUUAUUUUAUGUAGUGGUUGUAAUCAGUGUAAUUUUUCCUUGUGAAUUAAAUAGCAAUAUAUAAUCUUCUUUGAACUGUCUACUAGUGAACAAGUUAUGUAUAUGAACUACUGGCCAUGAAUCCGGAGGGAAAGAAGUUACUUUUGUCAACUAGAUUUUUCUCUUUUGCUAACCAUUAAUUAUUGUAAUUAAUUAGCAUAACAGAAACAUAGCAAGUCAGCAACAUAGCUGAAGAAUGGAAAUAAAACAUUAAUAAGGCUUUCUUAUAGCCAUUAUCAGAGAAAUUAAAGGCUUAGUCCAGCUCUUAGGCAGGGUUCACCACUAUGGGACUCCUUACUUGGUGUUGUUUAUCAUCUGCCCAUACCAAGUCCCCAAAUACAUAGUCCUUAGUUGCAGCUCUGACCUUUCUAAACUUAAUGGUGACUUUGAAAUUCUUCUCUUCUCCAACCCUUAAGAACUUCAAGCUCCUCGGUUCAACAGAUACUGAGAUUCCUUUCGGAUUUCUGACACGAGCUAUGUAAGUUCCCGGAGAACCAACAUUCCUUACUGUUCGUGACACUAUGAUUGAGCCGGAGAGUUUGGGGACUGUGAUUGAAGGGUAGUUGAAGUUGGCUGUACUAACAUACUCGGGGCAUCUAUAGGUCUUGUCUGAGAAGAGUGCAAUUUGUGUCUUGUUGUAUCCCAAAGCACAAAGAAAAUUCAAGUAAUCAUUCUCAGUUAAGUCGUAAACCAACCCAGGAUCCAUUGCAAGGUUUGGUUGUAUAUGCCCUGCUCCAUAGCUAAAAGGUGUUGCUUUGUAAGACGAAGCAUUUAGAAUUUGUCCCUUAUUAUUAUCUUGUAUUGAUGCUGUGAAACAGAGGGCAAAGCAAGGGAUCAAAAUCGAGUUUUCGGCACUUGAAGCUGAAACCAAGCAUCAUGUGAUCACUAAGGGACUGGUUUUCAUGUACCUGUGGUCAUGAUGGCUGAUUUAAUUGCUGCAGGACUCCAUUCAGGGUGGAGAGUUUUGAGUAGACCAACAAUGCCAGAAACAUGAGGACAUGACAUUGAAGUUCCUGAGAGAGCGUUAAAUGGAAUCCGACGCCUGUCGUAAUCUUCAUUUGUUGGCCCUGCUGCUUCAGUAUAGGCAGCUAUAAUUGUCACUCCUGGUGCAGUGAUAUCAGGCUGUACAUAAAAUUAUGGUAACGAGUUAUUUAAUUUAAAUGACACAAAAGUUUGAAGAAAUUUUAUUUGCCAUUGAUAUUAUAGUACCUUAAGGAUCUCUGGGGCAAUAGAGCUUGGUCCUUUUGAUGAAAAGGCUGCCAUGAUUGGAGCUGGCUUUAAUCCGAGUUCUGUGGUUGCACGGGUAAGGUAACCAACAGGACGCCUGUUCGAAAUAGAAAUCAAAUUAUAGUAACAGUUGUCCCCCGGAAGCGAAUGAAAUGCUGAGAAAUUCUGCCAUCUUACUUGGUUGAAUUGACAUAUCUAAAUAAAUCAGCGCCAUCGGUGUAGUUGACAUGUGAAGCAGGAAGGAGAUGAGGAUCGGCUAAUAGCUCAUUCCCAUUUUCUAGGGCGUUUGCAAGAACCAUGCCUACAGCACCAGCCAAGAGCGCUUGCUGUCCCUUAUCUAUCCUCGCAUUAUCUCCGCGAAGGCAUACCAAGAUCUUUCCUUUCACCUUCUUAGGAUCAAGUGUUCCUGCCUCGCAUAGUAGGCUGCAAUGUGAAAUAAUUAGGUAGUUAAUCCACAUCUUUUUACAUGCUACAUAAGAUACCAAUGUAGUUAAAAUUAUUAUGUUCUCACGCGACUUCAGUUGAUGCAUUAGCUGCUUUAGCAUCUGCUGCGCUGAUUAGUGGGAAUAACUUGUUGCGCGGUAAGCCUUUAGAUGAUAAGCUUUGCCCCUUCAGAGUCAAAGUAUGUUAAUAUAUAAGUUCACGUUCUUUAAAAUAUGCUCAAAGAUUAAUUUCAAGCAUCGAAAAAAAAGGAAAGUCAUUAACCUUGUAGCGUUUGUUAUUGCUAACUACAACAUAGCUCGGAAAAUCUCUAUCCAUUGUGCUAGCGCCAACUGUGAUUUGCCAAGGCGCAAUAUUUGACACAGUGCUAUCAGUAGGACCAGAAUUACCCGCAGAACAAAUGACAACCAUUCCAUGCUUAACAGCAUGAAAAGAACCAAUUGCAGUGCUGUCAUUGAAAAAUUUGGAGGGCCCGCCACCGAGAGAAACAGACAACACAUCAACGCCAUCGUGAAUGGCCAUAUCAAAGGCUGCCAAUAUAUCGGCAUCAUAGCAUUCGUUCCCCGUCACAGGCGGCCAGCAAACUUUGUAAGCUGCUACUCUGGCUUUCGGUGAUCCUCCUUUUGCUGUUCCUUUGCCCAAGCCGAAAACACUUGCCUUGGCUACGAAGUUACCGCCAGCUGUUGACAAUGUGUGUGUUCCAUGGCCAUCUUUGUCGCGCGGAGUAUCAAAGGAAGAGUUGAGUGGUCCAACAGCAGCUGCGUAGCCUUUGUUGAAGUAUCUUGCUCCUAUUAGCUUCCUUCAGGGCACACACCAAUAAAAUUAAAUUACAAUUUUCAAUCCCCAAAUGACCUGUAAUAUUUUAGUCAAUUUACAGUAGAAACAUGAACAAUUCUGCCUGGUAUCUCAACUUGCAUAUAAAAUAGUGAAAUUGACGAUGCUUUGAUUAAAUCAUAAUUAAUCAUGCCAGCUAGAACUGAAUCCAAGUCAAUAGUAUGUGAGAUUUGCAUUGAAUUCAUAAAAUUAAGAUUUAUCCUCAACCGACGGAUUAAAAAACAAGGGAUUGACUUUCCACAACUAAAAUAUUAGACUUGUCAAAGCAGCAAGAUAGAUGUGCUAAUUACUAUUAUUUUUUUACAACUAAACUAUUAGACUUGUCAAAGCAGCAAGAUAGAUGUGCUAAUUACUAUUAUUAUUAUUUUAAUCUUGUAUUCAUUGCUUUUUUUGUAGGAAGAAUGAAUAGUGAUCAUUUAUGUUAUCAAAGUAAGCUUCAGCUUUAUGAGAAAUUUUCAAAUGAAUUUGUUUUGUGGUACCACUCCUACCCGCAGAGAAAGGAGAUUUAAGAUCCUUCAUUAUGAGAGUUUAAUCUUAAUUGAUUCCAUAAACAAAGUGUUGGGGACCAAUUACAAUGCAAAUUGAUGAAAGCUACUAUUUGAGAAAUUUUUAACAUAAAAAUUAACCCCAUUGACAAAAGGGGUAUUAAAGGGUGAGGAUUCAAAUUCAAUAAAGAUGCAAAAAGGGUUUUGAGAAUAAUUCUUAUCCAUUCAUGGAAUGGACAAAAGGUUUCAACAAGAAAAGCACUAGUGCAUAAGCAUGGAAACGUAUAGGAAUGAAUGAGAAAAACCUGUUGCAAAGAAACUUCGCAUCUUUGUCAUUUUCACAAAUUCCUUUCCACUUUGAUGGAAUCGGUCCCAAGCCUUCAUCACUAAAGCUUUUUGAUUCAGGCCAGACACCUAACACAACACAAUAAUCCCCAUUGAAGCAAAAGUGAUUCCUAUAACAGAAUGUCAAACUUGAUAGUGAAAGAGAAAGAAAUAAUAAAUUGGCACACCUGAUAUCAUAUAGUGUUUCAUAAUAACAUAUAUGUAUCUGGACCAUUUUUCCAACAAGAAAUCAAUCAUGUAAGUUCCCACUAUGGAUUAAAGAAACCAUUAGACCCAACAGCUUAAGUUGAUAAAUUAGAGUUUGCACAGGGUCUUGGCUCUGAUGCAAACCUAAAAAGUAAGAAUUUAAUUUCAAGUUACAUAAGGAGAAGAAUUCUUUAUUCUGCAACAGCUCGAUCAUUUUUUCCGAAAGUGGUUGUCUAAAGUUGAAUAUAUUAAACAUCUAGAAACCACUAAAUCAAAUAAUUUUGUCAUUGGUGAACUUGGAUUAGUCAAAAAGGAGAGUUUGUCUACAAACAUGGUUCAUAUGAAUUUCAAGUUUAUACUGUAUCAAAUUAUUAACAAUCAAAACAUCGUUUUCAAUUUUCUCAGUCAUAUUAUGGUGAAUUAUCUUUCUUUCCACGCAUGGAUAGAGUCAAAAAAUCGGAACUCUAAUUUAAUAAUUAUACCAUAUGUUAGAUCUAGUGGCUGUCAUGUAGUAUAGAUAAAUUAUAUUAAUAUAAAAAAAUUAUAUAGUAAACUAAAAUGGUCAAAUAAUUUUAUUUUAUUUUUCUAAAAAACAAAAACUAGAACUCACCAGUAUCAAGAUUUCCAAUAAUGGUAUCUUCACCAUAUCUUGCCUUCUUCCAGAUUGAGUUUGAUUCAACUCUGCCGUUGCGCUCGAGUCCAAGAAAUUCCCAUGAAUGUGUUGUGUGUAAUUUUCUUCCUUGAUUCAAGAAAACCGAAACAACUUUUGGAUGUUCUGCAUUAUGUAAAGAACCAAAAGCCAGUUACUCAUCAAGAAACAACACAAAAAUGCAAGAACAGAGAUGAAACAGAGGAGCCCUGUUUCGGUUUCUCACUUGCAAUCUCAGCUGCUACAGCAUCAUCUAGCUUUGCAGCAAAACCAUUGAUGUGUCUAGUGUAUGAGUAAAAGAUUGCAUCUUCAGGAUUGUCAUUACUGUUUAUGAAGUUGAAACAAUUAUGUCACUCAAAUUGGAUGCGAAUAAGAGACGUGCAAAUAGAUAGAUAUAUCAUAUGACCAAUUUUUCUUGAACUUAAAUUCAUUACCCAUGCAAAAAUGACCCAAGAAACUCAUAGUGAGACUCAGUGACUCGAUGUAGAUCAACAGCUGAUAAUUCAGGUCCAUGAGAGUGCGCACCUAAGUAAACAACAUAAGACUAGAUACAAGAAAGAUUAUGAAAUCAUUAGCAACAUUGGCUGCAAAGAGAGAGUUUCUAAUUUUUUUUUUUAAAUCACUAAUAAUGGAGGGAGUAAGAGGAUUAAAAUGCUUACCUUUUUGGCAGCAAUGGUGGGUCUGUAGCAUAGAGAAAAGAAAAGACAGGAUAAGAGGAAAAGGGAAGGAUUUAAAAUGAAAAUCCUCAUUGCUUGCUACUGCUAGUUGCUUUGCUACUUUGUUGUUGGUAUUGUGCUGCUCUGCUUCUCCUCCGUUUUUGUAGGGUCUCAUUUCUUUUUAUACACACAAUAAUGGAACAGAGGAUAGCAAUUUGAGCUGGGUAUGAUUAUGGUGCGUUUAGGAUUGAGGUUGCACUAAAGUAUUUGGUAAACACUAAUUGUUAUAGCUUGUAAGUUAUGUUGAUAUAAUUUUUCACUUAUAUAAUGAAAAAAUUAUUGUAUCUUUAAUAAUUUUGUCAAAAUUAUUAUUUAAAAUUUAUAUUUACUGCAUAUUAUUAAUUUUUGUUUGAUAGUUACAACUUUUUUUCCACAACAGUUGUAGCUUAAAAGCUACAGUACCUCAAUCCCAAACGAGAACCUUAACAUGUCAUCAUCAUCCUAAAAGUUACACUCAAUAGUCAAUACGAUACUAUUUUAGUAUAAUGUUAUGUCAUUACUAAUGUGAUUUCUAAGUGUGCGCUUUAGGUUAUAUGUUAAGGAAUCACAACCCUUAUCCUUAAAAAACAAGUUACUCAAUUUUUUUUUUAAAUUAUUCUAACCUUUCUUACUCUCUAAAAUAAGCUCAUAAGUUUUUCCUUUUUUUGUUAAAAAAAAAAAUUAGAAAUGGAGAUCAAUGUUAUAAAAAGUUAUUAACGAGAUCUUGACGAAUAUCUAAUAAGAUGGAUAAUAUAAUCUCUUCUCUUAUUUAACAUGUGAGUUAGGGCACAUGUUAAUGUAAUUCUAAGAUUGAAAUGUUCUUAAAAUUAUAUUUACGUCUAUAAUUUUGCAAAGACCUGCACAGAGAAAUUUUAUGAGUCAAAUUUUGAACGUGAAAUGUUCUGACUUUGAAGAAGAUACGGUGUAAGCAAAGCAAGAAUCUCAAAUAUCUCAACCUUUCCUUUCCCAUUUUUAUAUAGCCAAAGGCUAAAGCUCGUGUGCUAGUUGCCAAAAUAGUGUACUAGUAUAGCAAACAUAAUUGACCAAUCACUAACUGCCACAUGCAAAACUUAGGCUUCUUUACCAUAAGUUAUGGGCAAAACUAGGCCGGGCCCACCUCUAGCCAACUCAUCAAGGGCCUGUAAGUUGCCUUAUCUUUAUUGUGUGCGUAAAAUUAUAAUGAACUCAAAAUUUUCGUGUUUGAUUCUAAUUAAACAUCGUGAUAAGUAAACAAACCCAAAAUCAAAUAUAUCUCAAGGUACAUAUGGGUUUUUCCAAACAAUUUUCAAGUAAUAUUCCAAGAGAUUUCAUUCAAGUAAUGCAUCAUUCAUGGGUUUUCUCAAUCAUGAAAAUAUUAUUGACAAGUUUGAAUAAUUAAAACUAAAAUUUUAGGCUUUUUAUACUAACGAUAAAUAUCGAGAAUAUACUAGAAUAAACAAAUUCAAAAUAUUAUUUUAUAACAAAAUUUCCCUAGUCUAAAUAUGAAAAAUAAAAGAAACGGUACCCAAAUAUGAUAUCUAAAAAAAAGAUAAAAAUCUCAAAAAAAAUAAAAAAAUAGAAAAAUAAUUUAAAACAGUAAAAUAAUUAGAAAAGAAAUAGAAAUUUCAACUCGAUCACAAGACAUAACAACAAUAACAGUUUUGAGAUUUAAUUCGUCUCGUCGCAAGUUUUAAAAUAGUAUGUUACACUCCCAAAUGGUAAAUUUUAAUUUAGAUGAAUUAUUGAGGGGGUUAUCUAAAAUUUCAACGAUUGAAAGUAGUUAAUUUGUAUUUUAAAAGAGUAUAUUGAUUAGUAAAAAUGAAGAGAAGAAAUAGGCUGAUAGUAAUAGAUAGGGAUUCAAUUUUGAUCAAACAUUCCAACGUAGGUAAAUACAGAGACACGUGGAUUUGACUAUCUAUAUGUAUAUGGGAUGAUAAGGUAAAGGGAAAAAUUCAUUGUGGAAUUCAUCCUGUCAAAUUUGGAUUUCUCGCGAUUAUAAUUUUAUGCCCAAGCUGGUCAUGUCACUUUUUAUGGAAUUGAGCAACUGCGAAUAAACUGUGACCAUUACUAGGGCACGGUCAACAUGUACAGGGUUUUGUUGACCAAUGGAAUAUAGUGUCAAAAUUUUAGAAAUCAUUAUUUUCUCUGCACCGAAUUAUAUUCGCAUAUAUAUAUAUUCAUCCUAGUCAUCCUACAUACUAGCAUAAAGAUAUCUGGUUGGCCAAUGGAAUAUAGUGUUCAGUUGUCAAUUAAAAAAAUUGUUUUAAACUAUUGGUAUGUUUAGUUUUAUAUUACUAAAACUAUUUUUCAGAAAUUAAAUUACCAAUAAAAAUAUAUAAAAGAUUUAACUCCGUAAUCAUCCAAUUUUAAUAAAAUACACCAAACUAUCGAUUGAUAAGAAAAAUCAAUCAAUAAUAUCUUUCGUGUUCAAAAUUUAAAACACAAUAAUAGGAUAAUUUUUACUUUCCUCCCUUGAGUUUUGGGUUUUUUACACUUAGAUGGCCAAUAUCCAUUUAUUAGUAAAGCUCCCCUUACCAUCAAUUAAUUUUGUGCUUGACUGUUAGUUGAAUUGAAAAAGAUUGAAAUGCCCCAGUUGGAUUUUCAAGAACUUUCACAUCUCAUACAUUGGGCGCGAAAAUUAUAACAACCAUAAUAUUACCAUUAUACUCCUUAAAUUUAGAUUAUUUACAAUUGCACUCAACAAAUAAAAUGAUAAUUCUAAUCCUAAUCAUAAGUUACAUCAACCAAAAUACUCAUUUAAAAAGGUCAAAAGUUUAAGUCAAGUUAAAAGAAAUACUCACGAUUGCAAUUUGAUCGUUGGAUCCCAACGGUCACAUUGCCACAUAUUUACCUAUUUAAAGGCUUAAAUACAUAGCCUUGUUUACAAGCAUCACUACUUCCUCUCAACACUUUGCAAGCUCAACUACAUUUCUGUCAAUCUUUCAAUCUCAACAACAUGGAUUCAGAGGGCUCAAGUGUAGUAACCAACAAGAAGAAUAGAUAUAAUAAAGGUAGUAUGAAAUGGAGGAGUCAAGUUAAUGGAAAUCAAUGUUAAAGAAAAAGUUAAAAUUUAGUAAAUAGAAAAUGCAAAGUGUAGGUGAUUGGUAAUAACACAAAAAUGCAGCAUAUCAUCUAUUAGAUGCCAACAAAUUUAGUACAUAACAGAACUAUACAGAUUCAACACCAUCUAACUAACUUAAAGAGACUUAUCAUUCUAUAUGAAAACAUUUCAAGUUGUCGGAAUAACAUUAUAUCAAUUAUCUAAUUUAAGACUAUUGAGGCAUAUCUUACAUUAUGCAAUUAAAAACAAUUAUCAUUAAGUGUUUUAAACUUCAAUUUUUCAGCUUUGUAUAACUGUCAUUAAGACCAAAAAAAUUUGUUUAUACUUUCCUACAUUUUUCAUGCCUAUUAAAACUCAAUUAAAAAAGUACAUCAUGAAUAUUACAUGGCAUAAAUCGAAUGCACAAUCUACCAUAUAAGUUGAAACCAUAUGCUUGCAAAAUACCCAAAAUGGCACAUAUUGGAAAAUUUUUAUGUUGGAAAUUUUUUUCUCAAUUUUAUAUUUCACAAUUCCAUAAACAUUAUCAAAGUUGUGUCAAUAAAUAAAGAAUGAAGCAUCCACUUGACAUUUACAAACAACUCACAUAGUAUCAAUACACUCUAAAUGGAGCCCAAAAAAAAAAAAAAAAGCUUUGUUCAAAACUAACCUAUUAUUAGUUUCAACAUAGUGAUUCAAGUCUUUCGGGUAUCGGUGAAAUUCAGAGCGGUACAUGAUGUAGGUUUGAUAUUUCUUCUUCACUUUAGACAAGUAAUAGAUACUGCUUUGUUAGAAAUAAAGAUUUUUUUAACCUCCUAAACAGAGCUCUCAGCUAAGCUUCAUGAAAGAGAAACACUCAAUUUGAGAGAAAAGAGAGGAAGAUCUAAGCUUUGAAUUUUUUUACAAUUUUUUAUUUAUAUGAAUAUUUACAAGACACGAUUUUUUCGUAAUGAUUUGACAAUUCACUGUGCUCAUGUCAAUCAAAAUGCGCAAAAGUUAUGCUUGUCAAAUUAGAUUACCAAAUUGCCCAUAACUAACCAUAUGAGAACUACCGUUUGCAUUCCAUAGGGGAGUCUUUACUACUAAUAAAUGGAUCUUGGUCAUCUAAGUGCAGAAAGCCCAAAGUUUAGGGGAGGAAAGUAAAAAUUACUCCACAACAAUAAUAUAGUCUUCCAAAUAUAUAGUUCUAGACAAACGGUAUCAAUUAUUAUUACAUAAAAAAAAACAAUGCACAUAUAAAGCAAAGAUAAAAAGAAUGUCAAAUGAAAAAUAAUAGUGUACAUAUAAAACAUAGAAUUUCAUUUCCAGGAACAAAAAAGAGCAACACCGAAAUAAAGACAGAAGGCACCCGGCAACAGCAAGUCCAAUAAUUCAAAAAAAGCAAAAAAUUAAAAAAAAAAAAACAACUUAUGCUGUGUUCGUCAACAACUUUAUACACACACACGUAUAUGAAAUUAAUAAAAUUAUGUACGUUUAUUUUUAACAUUAUAUAUAAAAAUGAGAAGCUAUUUUGUCUUUACUAUUAAUUUGAACUUUUAAUAAUAAAGACAAUAGUUUUUAGAGAGCUCAAAAAAUUUAUAUUUCAAAAUUAACAAAACACCACAAUUUUUUUUUAAAAGAAAAGCACAUAUGACCUUUACAAAAGGCAAUACCAAAAACGUACUUAAAAAGUUUUCAUAUUUGCUUAGGCCUUGACCCUAUAAUGGUCCACUGAGAGAAACUAUAUAAGUUUUACCUUAUUUACUCGUGAUGCUAUUACCACCCCUUUAUUAUCCUUUUCGAACUUAUUUUUUAAUUGUGUUCGGGUGGGAUAGUUUAAACCCACCAAACUACUCAAUAUUCAUGUGGCUGGAGCAAUACCAGAAUUCGUAAAAGGAAAAUUAUUUGUUGCAUUUUUUAUUUUUCAUAUUCAAUAAGUGAGACCUUUUUUUUCAUAUAUUGUGGCAUAUGUCUCUAGCUUCGUGACGAUGAUGAUAAUAGAGGACGAUUAAACAUCUAGAUUUCAUGACAGAGAGACAUUCUCUCAUGGAGAUAAAAAUUAUUUUAAUGCUUUAGGUAGAACUUACAGUCGUAGGAAGAGAAACGAGUGACGAGUUUCGUUUGCGUUGGGAACAUUUUUGUUUUUUAAGGAAUACUAAUUUUUUUUCCCCUCCCAAGUGUUGGUAUUGAUUUUUUAUGAUUUUUUUUUAAUUCACCGGACAACUCGUUUUCCCUUGCAUACAUAGUUACAUACAAUUGUGAACUCUCUUCCUCAUAUUUUCAUUCUAAAGAGGUGCAAAUUCUAGGCGAGUUCUAAUCGGAAAAAAAAAAAUUACAAACACAGAGAUAAAAAUCACUAUUUGAAUAUAAAGAUGGAUUCAAAGAGUAAAAUUUAUAUACACACACGAUAAUUAUAAUUUGAUUUAGAAAUAUUUUAAUAAUUAACAAUUAUUUUUUAAAGGUAGAUAUAGUGAAUAAUUUGGUGAGGUAAAAUAGUCCCACUCUUUAUGUCCUAUUUAAUUCAUAAAAUAACCUUCAUUGUUAAACUUCCUUAAUAAACCAUGUGAGUGACUCUCUCUCUCCCCCAUUUCAAUCUUCUUGGAAUAUCAUCUCUCAGCAGAUUUUCUUCCUCUGUAAACACCAAUGAUUGAUUCUCUCAUUCCAUUUCAAAAAGAAACAAAAUGGGCACAAAAUAUGAUUGUUCUCUAACAUGUUCAAAAAGUUAAUAAUCUAUGACAAAACUAUAUUUCCCCAAAAAAAAAAAAUUGUAAAUAAGUGAGUAAACUUAUUUUAAAUCAAAUUCUUACUUUUUUAAUUGCCUUGUUUUUUGUUUGUAAACCUUGUAGAUUUAAAGAGUUUGUGAUGGAGAAAGAAAACAAGAGCAAAACCAGAGGCGGGUUUAAUUAGAUAGGUUUUAAAUCUCUUACACAUUUUAAAAUAAAAAGGAUAAAAUUAUAAAUGCAAAGCAGUAGGGGUUUUAAAAGAGAAAAGAACGGGUGCCAGUAGGGUCAAUCUUUACCCAGAGACAGGGUGGACCAAUGGGCCUUGUCAAAUCAGGGUCAAAAACUUCAAGCCCACAGCCGGAGAGCACGUGGUAGUUCCGGCACGCGAAUGGGUCCCAAAAGCCAAGCUGUCAAUCUCCUAUGAGCAAUGUUUUUUUAAAUUUAAAAAAAUAGGCCCUCAAACGGCCGUAAGAAAAUCCGUUAAACCACCCAGAACGAGGCAGUAAUUUGUCCCAUGCGCUGGCUCUGGCUCCGUCUAAUACAGGUCAAAAGGCCGUCAUGGACUUGAUUUGACUCACCCCCACGUUGUUAUCAUCAACCAUCCCUAACACGCAGUGAUGCAGACACGCAGGUCCACAUUUUUUAUAUUAUUAGAAAGAGACAAAAGUGUUUAAUCCUCCAAAAAGCAAGAAUUGGGGUUUAAUUUUAGCAUUAUUGAAGCUAAUAACGGACUAUUAUUGAAAGUAUUAAUUGUCUAGUAAUAAAGUAAUGAUGCUCCUAGUAAUAGUGGCCGUCUCUAUUUACACUCCAUCUCUUAUCUCUGUAUUUUCUGUUGUCUUUGCUUACUUCAUUUGUCUUUAAAAUCCCAGUUUAAGCAAAACUAGAAUCUCAAAUCAAAAGCGAAAGUGAAGUGAGUGUUUGGCUACGUAGAAAGUGGAGUCAUAAAAAAUUUCCAGAUAUAGCUCAGGGGAGCAUUUGCUUAAUUGAUUUAUUCAGCUGACAAAAUUUUAACUGCUUGAUUUGAGUUUUGCAGGAUACGCUUUGAUCUGCCUGGCUCCCUGGAUGCCAAGUAAGAAGCUUGUCGACAUGUGUCGAUUUCUCAUUAGUUGGCAUCAGAGGAGCCAUGCAGAUGCACCAAUGCCCGCCCUCCGAUUAAUCAGAUGAAAGGUUGGUACGAUAGAGCUAAUAGUCUUUUGAUAUAAUUUCUAUGGAAAGUGUUCGCAUGUUGUGAAAUUCAGAUCAUUUGACGCUAUACAAUGAAGCAUAGAUGCUAAAACUACGGUUUAUAGCAUUAAAUCUGAAUAUUUCUAACGUGUAAACAUCCACACUUGAGAAUUAUUGGUUCAUCUGGACUGAUUGCUCCUCCACGCUAUGAAUUCCAAUCUCUCCGAAUUUAGCUAACUCUGUUUCUCAGCGUCCCUGUAUGUGGCUCGCUGUGUAUGUGUAUAUGUAUAUUUGUUUUUACAGGAUGGAGCAACUGUAGGGGUCAUAGUCUCUAACCACGCAAACAUCGUAAUGAGGCAGUGGCGCCGCAACAUGAUAAUUAGGCCACACCACUGGCUCCGGAUUGGCCUCAAUUUUUUCAUCAUCCAUGCUCUGUUCACCAGCACCAGCACCAGCACCAGCAGCGCCGACGCUCACCACCUCCGCAUAACCCACCUUCUUUCUUAACGAAGUCGUGAGCGCAACCGCAUCUACCCCGUCUCCCGUCACCUCUAUUUGGCUCAUGUCGUCUCCUUUCAAUGCCACUGAUUCCACACCUAAGCAUGAAGAAAUGAACCAUGACAUAAUCAUUGCGGAUUUCAAUUAUAUGAAAACUAAGUAAUAGUUAAUUAAUGCGGACUCGUGCAUAAUUGGUCGCAAUUUAACACUGGAUUGCUACUACCAAUGUACAAGUUUGUAAAAAGAUGUCAGCAUUAGAAAACGAUUAUUUUACCUGAAAAUCCAACUGCGACCUUUAGGGCCUUCGAGCGGGACUUGUGCUUAUUCAUAUAAACUUUGAUCACCAUCUUUUGCUGCAACAAUUAAACCAAAGUUAUAAAGAACAGCAAAUAUUGACUAAACUUUAACACGCAACAAACACUUAUGAACACAAUAAUUUUUGAUAUUUUAACUUUGUACACAUAAUUAGUUUAAUUAUCACAGGGUUUUAUACCUUCAUGGUCUUGCUCUGUUGGAAAUUGUUUUGAUUCUUGAUUUCUUUAGGAGGUUUGAAGGCUUGGAGCUGUGUUGGGCUGUUGGCUAUUAUUGUGCAUUUAUAUAGCGCCUCUUGUGGUUCUAGUUCAGAAGUCGUAUAGAGGGCAAUUUCUUGGUGAUCUCAAAGAUAAUGACAACUUAAAUUCAUUGUACCUUCAUUCCAACUAUUCAAAAUUAAAAGCAUACACUUUGCUUUCUAGAAAUCAAAUUUUUAUUCAACCUAAUAAUAACAUGAAGAAUUUUUUCCCAUAAUAAAAACAUCAUUAAUUGUAGUAGGUUCUUCAGAAUUAUAUAAAUUUUCGUUGUUAAAUUGGGACUGGAUCUGCACAACAUUAUUAUAUAGCCAAAUGGAUUUAAGACUAUUGAUAAAUUUCUUUCGUUUAAGAUUCAUUAUGAUAUCUACCAAUUAAAAAACUGAAGUGGCAAUGUUCCUAUUUAAUUAAAUAAGUAGGAAAUGAAUGAGACCAGAAAUGUUCACAUUAUGACUUUGACUAUGCAAUGGAAAACGAAGGCAUGUGGAAAGACUAACUAGUGAACUUAGCAAUUAGUAUUAAAUUAUGACCACCAAAUAUGAUAAUGAACAAACAAAAGGUCGAUGACGUUUGACAUGUUAACCAUCCCUAAUUUGUCUUCAUUCAUUUAGCUUUACAGUCUCAAAGUCAUUGUAAAACUAAUUUUGUAUUUGGCAAAAGUGGGUGAAAUAGUCCAAGUAGUUUUUUUUUUUUUUAAAAAAAAGAUAUUAUCAUUUUAUCACUUAAUUUUUUUAAUAUGUUACUUUAUCAUUAAAAUUUUUAAGCAAUUAUUUUUUCCACUUAAUAUUUUAAUUUUUAUCGUUAAAAAUAAUAGAACUUUUAACAAAACUUUGAUUAAAAAUCUGUUUUAUCCCUAAGAUCUGUAAAUGCUAUUUAAUCCUCUAAAAUAAAAUAAUAUAAAAUUAAUUAUAGAUAGAGUAAUAAUGCUUAUAUUAGUUAAUUAGUUUAUAUAUCUAAAAUAAUUAAUUGAUAAAAUUAAAAAUAUUUUAAUACUUUUGGCUUAAUAGAUUGAAGUUCCUGAAGUACAGCUGUGAUAUCAAUAGUUUCUUCACAGAUAAUAGAUUGGUGAUAAAAUGAUAAAAGCUAAAAUAUUAGGUGAGAAAAAGUAAUUAUUAUAAAAUUUUGAUGGUAAAGUGAUAUUUAAAAAAAAGGUAAUAAAAUGAUAAUAUUUCUUUUGAGAAAGAUUUUCGAAGGUUAUGUGGCAUGACUCUUGUCGCCUUCCAAAUUAUAACUUUUCUCAACUUUAAAAUAGUUUAUUGUUUUGUGGUGUAAGUUUUAUUUGCUAAUAAAUUCCUCUUGAAUUUGGUGCAUUUUUUGAGAAUAAAAUUACUUCAACAAUCAAGAGCGAGAACGAAUGGCGUAAUCUCAAAAAAUUUCGCCUAAUUUCAGCAUUAUCGAGCCAAUAAUGAACCCUUAAUUCAGAGAUUAUGAACAAUCAUUAAGACUGUUUUAAUAAGUUCUUUGCUGCAAUAAAAAAAAAAAAGAGAUUCUCAAUUUUUUCUACUGAAAUUAUAAAAUACAAUUUAUCCCCCUACUGCAAUUAGUAAGAGAUUCUCAAUUUUUUCUACUGAAAUUAACUGUUUUAAUAAGUUCUUUGCUGCAAUAAAAAAAAAAAAGAGAUUCUCAAUUUUUUCUACUGAAAUUAUAAAAUACAAUUUAUCCCCCUACUGCAAUUAGUAAAUAUCACUUAUCUGUAGUUUAAUAAUCAAUAAUCUUCCUGACAUCAUAACUUUAUAGUGUUAUCUUUAUUUUCAAAUACACUUUUAUUCAUAUUUAUUAUUAAUUAAAUAAAUUGUAUGAACAAAAAUUAAAAUACUAAAAAAAGAAUAUAAGUUUUGAUGUGAAAAAAAUUAAUAAUAAGAUAUUUUUAAGUAUCUUUACUUAUAAUUAAUAUAUAUUUUAUAUUUAUAAGAUAAAAUAUUAAGUAAAUGACUCAUUUACCGAUUUACACUUCUUUUCCUUUAAAUUAUUUUAUGCCAAAAGAGUUAUUAGCUAUUAUAAAAAUAAUAUGGAGUAAGUAAUGUAUAGUAAUCUAAAUAGAGGAAAGCUAACAAACGAGGGUGGACAUUGAUUUGGUUCGGUUUCGGGACAAACUCUCAAUUUUGCCUGAGGGAAAUGGAGGACAUGGUCUUAGCCCCGACUUUAGUGUUGCUGGCCCGCGGGCCUCUGGUUCAAAGAAGUACUUUAAAUUAGUGAAUGGAAGCAAGUAUCGUAAGCAGUACUCUGCUCGCUAUCUCACUUUCAUACGGUUUCUUUCGUUAGGCUUUACAGUGUUCUCCCGCUUAUUCUUUGUUUCUUUUAUUUACUUUUGCUAAUUUUUUCUUGUUGGCUAUUUCUUUCUUGAGUUAGAGAGUUUGGUUUAUAUACCCCGAAUAUUUUUUUUUAUUUUUAAUUUACAAGUAAGGGAGUCAUGCUUAGCUCGCACACCCCAUGGGGGGUUUUUAAUUUAAAAAAUCCUCCAAUAUUAUUAGUGUAGAUGGAGCACACGUUUGUUUUUUUGUUUUUUAAAGAGAUUUUCUUUCAAAAAAGGUAGGGGAAUAGGAAAGUGGAUAAGCAUAAUUUUUUAUACCUAAUCAAAUUUAAACAGCCAAGUAAAUAAAAUUGAUUGAUAACUAAUUGCUCGAAUGUCCUUGGGAGUAAUCUUCUUUCAAAGAGACCUAAAAUUAAAACCAAGAGAGUAAAGAUAUUUUUGCAGGAUUUAGAUAAUCCACUAUAUUUCAAUAAGCUAGAAAAUUUUAACAAAUUUUCACAUCACCUUGCUGAUCUCUACUUUCUCCCACAGUAAUUAAAAAAAGUUUUUUUUUUUUAAUAGUAAAUCAAUUAUUUAUAUAUUCACACAACAAAUUACAAUAUCAAUACAGUAUUAAACUGCAUGCUUCUCCCCUGGAAACGCAACCAAUUAAUCAACUUGCUUCAUCAGAAUUUCAAUUCCCUUUCUUUCUUUUUGUUCGUCUAUCAUCUCCAACCCCAAGGUCACACUAUAACUACCCCAAGUGCAGUGCAAAUUUUAAUUUCUCAAAUCCUCUGUGUCAUGUCUCUGUUUCUCUUCUCACAUGAUGGAGCAGGGGUCAGCGUAUCGAUCAGCAGAAACCACAUGGUAAUCAUAGUGAGGCACCCACCCGCCGUAAUAGGGAGGCAAGUAUUGAGGUGGUUGUGGUUUGACCUCAGGAUUCUUUGGUUUGUUUUCAUCUUUCUUCUCACCGGCGGGACCAACGCUCACCAGCUCUGCAUAUCCGACCUUCUUUCUCAGCAAACUAGUCAGCAAAACAGGGUCCAUCCCAUCUCCAGUCACCUCUAUCUGGCUCUUGUCGUCUCCUUUCAACGACGCCGAUUCCACUCCUGUAAUAAACAAUUAUAUAUUUAGUACCCAGAUACACUGUAUGUUUGCGACUGUUAUGCUUCUGCUUAAUAUAAAAU
rnacentral:lncRNA from 1 species